rnacentral:lncRNA from 1 species
UUUUUUUUUUUUUUUGAUAACCGAGAAAUCCGUUUGUGACCCGCCUUUUGGACCAAUCAUAGCCUUCUAAACUUGGUGGAUAAUGAGCCCGCCCCUCUACCCUUCUCCACUUAAAUACCGGGCUUCGCUUUGCAUGGUGCGGGGAUUGGACCUGCGACCUAAGCCACAAAUCCUCCACCUUUUGCCACUUGAGCUAGGCCUUGGGGGCUGGAUGGAACUUUUUAUAAAGUAAAUUUUAUAAAUAGUACCAAGGAGGUACAAAAAAUGUGACAGUCAAAUUAUGUAUUCAAACUGAGAAGAUAAAAAUUUAAUUGUGAAAUGACCCAUUCUAGAGAAUUCCUAAGAUAGUUGUGCAGCCACCCCUCGAACAAUGAGUCAGAACCAUGCAACUAGAAGCUUCAACAAUAAACUUGCGCAAGAAAUAAAACUCACCGCUGUCGAUAGCGCUUGUCUAUAUCUGUUAAGCCAUGAUAUUUGUCCGGCAAUGGAAGCAAUGACUUAGUGAGAAUUGAGAAUGAGUUCACGCAUACAGAUAGCUCCCCUGAAAAGAAAACAAGAAGAAAUACUUCAAUGAAAAGGGCUUCAAGACAACAGCUCAAACAAUAACACAAACAAAAGAAACAAGGUUCAAAAGAAUAUGAUUCACGUCUUUGCAAAAACCUACUCAAAAUCAUGCACUUCUGUUUCAGGAGUUUGGAAUUAUAAACCAAAUCAAACUUAAAUUGCAAGCAUAUACAGAACCUGAAGACUGAAUUGAUGCUAGUGACUAAAAGGAAGUGAAUUUUAAAAGCAUGCUAUGCCAACCAGAGAUUUCCAUCUUAGGCAUGUAUAGGAUACCACAACUAUCUGAAUGCUCAUGUAUAUAUCAUCUGCUUCCUUAAAAGUGAAAAUCGAAGAACUAGAAGAUAGGAUGACAUUGAUGAGUGAGUAACAAGUGUCUAGCAAACCAUACACGUGGACUAAAAUAUACUACCUCUGUUAAAAAUGUUUGUCAUACCUUCAACUCUGUGUUUUCCCGAAAAUUACUCAACAUCCCUUAAACUUAAAAGAAGGAAUUUGAUACGUUUAAUACCAGAGAGAAAAAAUCUGAUUGCAUCCACAUUACUCUUCCAGAAUCCAGACACAACUUCAUCUUCUAUUUUGUUCUUUUAGAACACAAAAAUCAAAUAUGACCCUAUUUUCAACUCCUCUUAAUACAAUGUCAAGUUGAAAUGCAUAAACAAAUUGGACUGAGCAUACCAAAAUACGUAUGUAAUAUCUGCAAAGAAGUCGUGUUUAUUCCUAAGGGACCUAAAUUUGGCAUGUUCUUUGAUGUAGGGCAACACUUGAUCUCAUAGAUCUCUCAUAUAUGUUAACCUCUAAGGUUGUAAGCAGCCUACUAAGUGAUUUUCUAUGCAGCAGGGAUUUUAUUGUUCUUGUAGUUCUCUUUUGUCUAAAAGCUCAUGUUUAUUCAAUUUGAUCUGUGUUUUUUCUUCACCCAAGCAACGAUAUGAUCAAAAGAAGAAAGAAGACAGAAAAUUAAAGAAAAAUCCUUUCUUGAUUGCAACCAUAGGGACAGCAAAGAAGAUAGUAUAUAAUUCAAUUUCUUGCUACAGAUAUACCCUUGAUGUGUCCUCCACAUGUCUUCAGCAUGUCAACAAGAAAGCAACAUAUUUUUAACUGGGUUGCAAGCUCAAGUUAGGACCUUAAAACUUUCAGCAGAUAGACCCAAACUGACAAUAAGACGAACAGGAAGAGGAGGAAGAGGAUUCAAAUACUUCACAAGACUACCAAAGGCAAAAAAAUGCACAAAUGUCUUUAUGAACUAAUCUGUGAUAGGUUUAAAUUACUUCCACGUUCAAUGAUCCAAACUGUUGAAUACAGAUGUAAGUGAACUUAUGCAAAAAAGAAAUAAGAAUGGAUGUCAAAGUAGAACUAGGAUGGGUACAGACACAAACUUACCUUUCUCUGUGCGCUUGAUUGAACCAUUUGCACCCAAUAUAUCACCAAUAUCAACAAGAGUCUUCAAUUGGUCAAACUGAUCACCUAGAAGCCUUUCCUUCUCACAAUAAAGCUAAAACCAACAAUAACUUAUUUCAAUAGAGUGCAACAUUUGUCUAUUCAAAAAUUGCUAAAUUAAAAGGUAAAAGAUAAAAGGUUGCUUAUCCAGAAGCACAAGAAAAUCUAUUAUAACAGGUUCUAGGGAUACAUCUCAGAGAGGAUCCUAACUUUUAAAUCACUAAAUUGUCAACUGAACCUAAAAGUUCAAGAAAUUGCAAUCCCAGUUACUUCCAUACAUAAUUACUUAGAGCUAGAUAAAAAACACAUGAAAUGUGAAGUACAGAUUAAAAGGAAUAUGCAGUUGAAACUUCGCAUAGCAAAUAGAGGAUAGGCACUAUCUAUAUCCAGUCCUAGAUAGAGCCUCUCUAGUAAAAAAUUGCCAGUAUCAUCAAACAUAUUUAACUAGAUGUCUCAAAAACUGUAUUUUAUAGUAAAGCAGCACUACAGCUAUUGCAGCUAACAGACAGCGAGCAAUGUAAAACACAACAACAUACACAAUGUAAGCCCACAAGGUGGGGAUCUGGGAGGGUAGAAUGUAUGCAAACCUUACCCCUACCUCAUGGAGGUGGAGAAGUUGUCUCCGAAUAAAACACCCAAAGCAAAAAACAGUAAGUAGAUUAUGGCAAAUAUAAAAACCUGAAUCAUGCCAGAAUCAUCUCUCAAAGUUAAAAAAGCAAGCUUUCCAAAAGCUCUGCGAGCCACUAUUCUUCCUGAUAUAGAAACAUAAUCAUUUUCGCUCUUUGAUUCUUCACCAUUUCCCAGAUUCUUAUAAAUUUCUUGCAGUUGACUGGCACUGUGAGUUCGAUCCCACUUGUAAGCAUAGGGUUCCAAGCCAUUGCUUCUCAAUUCUUCCACCUGUGAGCAAGCAGAACACUUAUGCUCUGAAGAUGAAAUUGAAAAAUUACAUUGGACAUGGCAUAGAUCCAGUAGAACAAGGAAAAUGUAAAGAUCAAAUGUCUUAUGCUGGUACAAAACUGCCAUUAGUGGGGAAGAUUACUACAAAAUCUUUUUGAAUCCUUAUUAAUCCUUCGGUGAAACUUCAAAGAUAAAUUGCAUUACUCAAGGUGCUUGCCUUCACAUGCUAGGGAACAAUAGUAAGCUACAUUUUACAAUCAUGUUCCCAUAAGUCAUAGUUAAAUCUACACACGCUUAGAUACACCAUGCAUCUUGAUGUCCAAUGUCAAGAAGAAACUAGCAUAUGUACCCAUGAUAAAGUCAAGAUUCAUAAAGACUGAUGUUUAGACAUCCACAAAGCAUUGAGGUCGGUUUUUAUCCUGAGAAACUAGAACACAUGUUCUUAAUAAAAUCAAGAUUCAUUCCCAGAAAUUCUCAAUAGGUUCACAACACACCCUUUACCCCAAUAAAAGAAUAGUUACAGAUGCAAACUCUAUAGCAAAGUCUUAGCUUCACUCAAUUUAUAAAUCAAAUAUUUCCUUUUAGGACGUCACAAAAUGUUUGAAACCAUUCUGUUCCUAUACAACUUUCAAAAAUUCAAUUUCAUCAAACUGGAAAUAUGGCACUUGGGUCUAACUCAAUUCCAAAAGCUAGCUCUUGAGGGGAGGAAGGCCCCAGUGCUUGUACAAGCAGACGACCAAUCCAUUCCCCAACCAAUGUGCGACUCUAACUCACUCUAACACCCCCUUCAAGCCCAAGACCAAUUGGAGAGUGGACCGGAAACCCAAACAGGGAUGAACUUGUCUAUGAUACCACGUGAAGAUAUGGCACUUGAAUUUAACUCAACCCCAAAAGCCAGCUCUUGAGGGGAGGAUUAUCAAGUCCACACAAGCAAACCACCCGUCUAUUCCCCAGACAAUGUGAGACUCAAAGCCACUCUAACACAGACCAUUACUAUAAUAUAUAAAACUUGAACUUCGUACCCAAUCAAACACUGUCAAAUUGGAUGAAGAGAGUAGUUAGUUGAAAGAGGGUGUUUUACUUGUGAAUUCCAAUAUUUAAAUGGUCCCAACUACGUCAAGAAGCAUUUCUUAUGAUUUUUUUUCUUGAUAAAUCAAACAACUUUAUAAACGUAAACUGCACCAAGUAGGUGCUGAUAUGUACAGCAAACUUCAGGGUCUUUUGUAAAUGCAGGUUGCUGAGGAAAUACCAUCAACAUCUAGUUCUUAUGCAUUUAGCAUUUCACACCAAAAAGCCAAAAAAGAAAAAGUUUUAUAUUUACUUCUAUACUGAUUCUUCCUUUCCUUCAAAAUACCUUUGAUUCUGUUCACUCCAAAUAACUCAAAAGAAAAGAUGCAUAGUGGGAUGAUAGACCCUCUGUGCUCUUCGUCAUGCUCCUAACUGACCAGCACCAGAAAACUUCUUUAACAGACUAUGGCAUGAGCCAUGUAAGCCUAACUAUGGAAAAUGUCACCGAUUCUUAAGCAAUGCAUGGGAGUUAGGACCACACUGUAAAUGCAGUUUCAGGAAACAUAAAAGGAAUCUGCCUUGUCAGCAUAAAUUUUAAAGCAAAAGAAGAAUUAUAAGUGAAUACGAAUAAUUAUAGUAUGCACUAGUAUUAUGUAUAACUACUGAUUUGAAUUCUUAAGGUAAUGGAAGGUCCCAAUGAACCACAAGUUAACAAGAUUGGAGAAGUUUCCACACCUGUACUGUAUCUAAAUUAAGUUAUCACCUCAAAAUGAUGUGAGCAAACCACAAUAAUGAUAUGAUCCUAAAGUGAAAGCAAUAUUAAGUUAACUAUAAAGGGAGAUCAAUAUUCGCUGAUCCAUAUGACACUGACAGUGAUCGUUAUGUCAAAAAAAAUUGUAAAUAAAAUUUAUUGACCCCUGUUACAAAACAUUUUUUAUCCCCCAAAUAGAGUAGAAUGGUUACAGAGGAUUAUAACGCCUACCCCAACAUAUUGGUAACAAACAGUGCAGGAGACGGACUUUCACUAAAGGGUUCAAAAUAUGAAAAGUGAACACAUGAAGAAGUCAAAGGGGAUUCAACAUAUGACAUCUGCUAUAUAUAUAUAUAUAUAUAAUAACUUUAACCAUGUAUAAACAGUGUACUUUUUUCAUCGGAGGGGGUUCCCAACCUAGCUCCACCCCUGGUAACAAAGCCUCCAAGUUGAUUGAUUACCAAAUAUUUGAUUGUAAUCACGCCACUAAUCUCAGGAAGCACUCCCAUGAAUAAUCUCCAUAACUACUAAAAAGGCCAUUGUCAUAAAGAUACAAUUUCACACUCAUUACUCCCAUAUUCAACUAAAUUCCAGUAAUUUCUACUGCACCUUUUUGAUCUAACAAAAGGGUAUGACCUUUAACACUGAGCAUUGUAUAAAGAUGCAAUCUUUACACUAACUACUCACAUAUUCAACUAAAUUCCAGUUGUUUCUACUGCACCUAUUUGUUCUGACAAAAGGGUAUGAACUUCACCAUUCACCAUUGUAUAACGAUGCAAUCUUUACACUAACUACUCCCAUAUUCAGCUAAAUUCCAGUAUUUUCUACUGCACCUUGUUGUUCUAACAAAAGGGUAUGAGUUUUAACAAUGACCAUUGCAUAAAAACUCAAUCUUUACACUAACUACACCCAAUUCAACUAAAUUUCAAUUGAUUUCAUACCCAAAUAUUCACAAUCAUAAUUUUUUCAAGAAACCAAUAUCUUUCACAAGUAAACUAAUCAAGUAAAGUUACCUUCUUGAUACGAAUGGCACGAAUAGCUUCUUUAUCAGAAGUGGAAGUAGAGGUGCCGGAAGAGGACCUACGGUUGCGGCCACCGCCGGCGGCGGCUCUACCGGUGACUUCAGUUGUAGUGGAAGAACAGCAACGAACAAUGAAGAAAGAAGAAGAAGAAGAAGAAGGUCUAAAUCUGAGAGAAGUAAAGUGGAUAAGUUGCUUCAAUGGCUGCAGAGCUUCCAUUCUUUCUCUCUUUCCCCAAAACAAACACUAUCUACACUAUAACUUCUACCCAAAUUUUUCAUCCAAUUUCACUAUUUAGGCUUUAAUUAUGUGUCUAUAGUUUGGUUUAUAAAAUUCGAAAAUUAUUUUAUAUUUUAGAUAUAUAUAUUCUACUUAUAUUUUCAAAUAAUUAUGCAUCUUACCACUAAUUAAAUAAAAAUUAUCAUGUAUUGAGAAAGAUACACCUAGAUACAUAUAUUUUUACUAUUAUAUAUACUAAAAUAGGGAGAAAGGUGAACGAGAUGGGAGGGAGGGAGGGAGAUGAGAAGGGAGAUAGUCAUGUAUCUCAGAUACAUGUGAAUCAUGUUAUAUAGAUACUAGAUAUAUGUAUUUGUAUGUAUCUUGUCUGAUUCGCAUGUAUUUGGGAUACUAAAUACAUAGGAGAGUGGCGAGCGAGACCGGAGGGAUGCGAGCGAGAUUUUCUAUGUAUCCCAGAUACAUAUGUAUCUACUUGGAUACAGUGUAACUGAAACAAAUUACACCUAACUUUGACUCAUGUAUUUUGAGAUACAUGUAUCUAAAACACCAAAAUCUUGUAAGAUUCAUAAUAUUGCAAAGUAAAGUGUAUAUAAGUAAUUAGUUCAUAAACUAGUGAAAUUUUUGUGAGUUUUCUUUUUAAAAUUACCAUACCAUAUUUACUUUGUCAGAUAUAUGUAUCUGUCAUACUUAGAUAGACGUAUCUCAAAUAGUAAUUUGUUCCACAUCUAUUGUGUCCAAACUUGUUUGUAUGUAUCUCGGACACACUAACUCUCUUACUCACUUGCGUAUAUCUCUAUUUUAAAAUGUAUCUAGUAUCUCAAAUAUAUUUAUCUAGUAUGAUCCGCAUAUAUCUGGAAUGCACUAACUCUCUCGCGCACCUCUAUCUCCUCUCUCGCUCGCCUUUUUAUCUCUGUAUAUGUAUAUUGAGAAUGUAUCUCUCUAUUUGGUAUCAAAGAUACAUGUAUCUGACAUGAAAUCUGAAAGAGUAGUGUAUCUGACUUAAUAUCUAGUACGAAAUUAUUAAUUAGUGAGACAAUAUGUAAUUAUUUCAAGCUAUAGGGUGGAUUAUUAUUUAUGGUAAAUAUUUGUAUAAUUGGGUAGCCUUUCCAUUUUAUUUUAGCUAAUAAAAACCUAAAACAUUUUAGAGUUAAACAAAAAUUAAUAAGAUCAACAAAGAAGGAGGCAAACUAUAUUUUGAUUUCAACUACAUAAAAUAGAAAAUAUAUAUAUAUAUAUAGUACUACUUUAUCUCAAACUAUUUCUCGAAAUAUUUGGUUAAAACUAAACCCAAACUCUAGUUUUUAAUGUUAAAAUUGACCUCUAAAAAAAUAUUCCUUUAAAUUUUUUCAAGAUAUAUUUUUAAUAAAAGUUGAUGAAUGAUGAGGUUAAUUGUUCUAAAAUCUACUACUUUUUUUACCAUCAUAAUAGGUAUCGAAAUUUGUUUAAUUGUCCUCAUGAUUCAUUUUAUAAAUCUUUUUCCCCUCUUAUUGCUUAUUAAGAAAAGAAUUUUCGAUUAUUUGACAAUUAUAAAAGUGAUUAAAAUGCAUAAACUAACUCUAAAUGAAAAUGUUUGAUCAAACAAGUGCACUUUGCCAUUUUUUUGUUCUCAAAUUCUCAACUCUAAAAUACUUCACUUCCAAAUUGUUUUAAAAACUCAAUAUAGCUUCUUUUUUUCAUUUGAUAAAAGAAAAAUUGAGAGUAUUUUAAAUUUUGGUUUUUAAAAAUAAGAAAAUAUAUAAUUAAUUAGAAAGAAAUUACUAGCCUUGUAUAUAUUUAAUUAAUUAAAGUCAAGGCAAUGGCAAUUGUCCAAACCUCCUCACUUCGCUCUCCACUUCUCCCAUUUAACAAUAUCCAAAUCAACAUGUUAUCACACAAUUAGAAACAAAUUAACCAAAAACAAACAACAACAAAAAAAAUUAACACCCCAAAUUAAAGUUUACAUGACAAAUUUUCAAGGUUUCACUCACAAAAAAAAAAGUAAGAUCAAUGGGAUACUUUAGGUACUUAUUAGGGAUCCAAAUGUUAUAUGCGGUGGCGUAUACAUCAACAUUGUCGUUCGUGACAUCAGAAAAUAAUGAUUCAUCAAUCUUAUCUACAACAGAAACCAAUAAUUCAUCAAUGGCUUCUUCAACAAAAAAUAAUGAUUCAUCAAUCGCACCUAUAACAAAAAUCAAUAAUUUAUCAAUGAUGUCUAGAACAGUAAAUAAUGAUUCAUCAUUGACGUCUCCAACAAAUAAUAAUGAUUCAUCAAUAGCAUUGUCACCAGAUGAAAAUAACAGUUCAUCAACGGCGCCGUCAGGUUUAAAUGAUGACAUCGUAAUAUGUGUUAGAGAUUGCAUGCGAAUCUGCAUGAAUUUAGACAACGCCACCUCACACGAUUGCGAGGGUGCUUGUCGCAAGGGAUGUAGACCAUUGAUUUCUAGGAAAGAAAUAGUAUCACUUGGUAAUAAUAAUAGUUCAGAUUUCAUUGUAGACAAAUUCAAUAAACCUCUUGAUAAACCUAAUUAAUGAUUAAUUAAUGACUUUUUGGAGGUUGUUUGUAUUUAGAUAUGUAUUUUCGUAUGUAUAAAAAUCAUAAUAAUUAUUUAUUUAUUUAUUUUGCUUUUGACUCUAUUUGGUUGUGGACUUUGCCAUGGAGGCCCAACUAUAAUGGGCUUUGUACUAGUAAUGAAGGCCCCAAAAAAAGUUGCUCAAUCCGUUUUAAUUUAUAUGACCUAUUUUAACUUGACACAAUUUUUUUAAAGAAAAGAAAUUGAUUUUUGUGAUCUUAAAUUAAACAUAUGCAAAUACAUAAAAAUAUUCGUUAAUCUCGUGGUCUUAUAUAUAUAACGUAGAAAGUUGAAAUUAAAGAGUUGUUAAAAUGGAAAAAAUCAUUCUUUUAAAGACAGACUAAAAGUUCAUGUCAAACAAAUUAAAUUAAAAUGGAUUUAAUUUUUGUACCGCAAAUAACUUUUUUGUAUGACAUAAAUUUAUAUUUUCUCAUCUAUUGUGAUAUUUCACAAGCCGUAUUGAAUGACACCCCAUGACAUGAAUACGAUAAAUUAUUGACAUAAAUUAUAUUUAAUUUCCACCGCACUAAUCACGGAAAUACUUUUUUUCCUUCUUUGUAAUCAAGACAAUCAAGGGAAAAAGUCAACUUUACAAACAAAAGGAAAAAAAUUCAAUCAUGUCAUGCAAGAAAAUUAAAAAAAGACAUAUGAUAUGAAUAAGUUGAGCUAUUAAUAAUUUUCCAUAAAUACAUUACUUCAAUGUUGCUGCUGAUUUUUUAUUUUUUUUUCUAUUCGAGGUAAUUCAGAAAGGAAUUUAAAAUAUAAUAGUGUAUAUAGUCUUAUCAAGCUAGUAGGAAGUUUUGUGGACUUAUAGAAAGCUAAAAGCAAUUAACGUGUAAUUAGUUUUUGUAGUUGGUAAUGUAUGAGGCAGAUAUGGAAGUGAGGUUUGAUACGUCAAUUAUUUAAAGAAGAAAAAGUUUCAAGUAUUUUAGGGGUUAAAAUAUAUCCAAGGAAAGAAAGAGAUUGGUAAGAAUGUCACUCGUCGUAUUGGUAUAGGGUAGAUGAAAUAGAGGUUCACAUUCAAAGUAUUAUGUCAUAAGAUGUCAUAUCAAAACUUUAAAAAUAUAGAAAUGUAGUUAAACCAAUUGUAUUGUAAGAAUUGUUGAAAGGUGCGGAAAUGAGAGGAUGAUGUGAAUGGAUGUGUGGGCGUAUUAAGAGGAGAGAUAGGAUAUGAAAUGAAGGUAUUCAGAAUAAGGUGGGAACGACUACUAUGAACGACAAAAUACAAGAAGCGAGGUUAAGAUGUCCUCAGAGAUAUAAAGAGGAGAUGUUUGGAUGUCCCAGUGUAAAGGUAUGAACGAGGCUGACUAUAGAUGAGUUCAGGAGAGGUAAAGAUAGAUCGAAGAAAUAUUGGAGAGAGAUGAUGAUUUACACUGAAUAUAACACAACUCUAACUUACCAAAGGCACAACAUAAGAUACGAAGUUACGAAAGAUACAAAUUAAAAUAAAAAAAUUAGUAGAUAGUCGUGUUUAACAUCAUUUGUUUGGAGAAGAAAGUCAAAGCAGAAAGGAAAUUCAUGACCACUUCUUUCUCUUUCUUUUUCCCCACUUAACCUUUAGGAAAAAGUUAAUUAAUAGCUAGCAGAAAAUUAAGGAAUAUUAAUGUCUUAAUAAUAUCUUUGUUUUCAAUUAAUUGGUGGUUUCACCAAAUAUACAAUCAUGAAUCAUCAUGUAAAUGAAAAAUUCAGAAGUGACUUAAAGGCAUAAUAAUAUAUAUCAUUAACUUAACUUAUUAGAAUCUCAAAAAAAUAUUAUCAUUAGUUUUUUGUUCCAACAUAGCUACUACAUUGGUUUAUCAAUGUUCAUUUGUGAUUCUUCUACUUACACGGGGGGAGGAUAGUAUUAAGUUUGAUUGUAUUAGUAAUACUGAGAUUAGAUAUGCUAAUAUUAGUUAUGCUUACAUUUGUUUAUGCAUUAUUUGGUCUGGUGUAUUGAAAAUCAUAUGCAUUGCAUAAUUUCUAUUAAAAAAAAUAUUAUUUACAAAAAAUACUCUCCACAAAUAUCGUGAAAAGAAUGUAAAAAAAGUUUUGAGGGGAAAUUGUCUCUUUAACCAUGCUAAUGAAUGCAUGCAUUACAAAACCUUCAAUUGCUAAUGGCAUCAUGAUUUGUCAUAUAAUGGUUAUAUAAAAUACCAAAUAGAAUGUAUGACUAAUGAUUGCAUUAAUUGAAAAUAUGAACAAAUAAGAUAUUUAUAAUAAACAAAGCUAAUACAUGCAUUAUUUUUUCUGUCGGAAAACUUCUUGGUAUAACUAAAAUCUUCUUGUUUUUUGUCUUCUAGCUAGUUUCCAUGUGUAUUUCCAAUUUUCCCUAAUUUUUUACUCCUAAUUAUGCUAAUUGGAAACAAAUUGAGUGAACAAAUUAACAAACAAUUAUGAUUAUUAUUGAAUCAUUAUUUAUCUUUAAUUAAUUACCUAUUGUGUCCGUAAAAUCCAAACUAUUGACAAAUAUUAGAUCAUAUUAAAUCACUUUUGUGUGUACUAGUAGUUUGUCCAAUAUUUCUUGUCUCAUACAAAAUGACAAAAAAUACUAUAUGGUACAUAUUCAAACAAUAAUGGUUCACGAGUUUACUAUUAAAACUUGUCCCAAUUUUCAUGAUGGGCAGCGCGCGCACAUAUAUAUAUCUAUAUAUAUAUAUAUAUAUGGUAAUAAAGUUAAGUGAUUAUUUUGUAAGUUUGUAUUCAGACUAUUUUGCAAAAAAAACUUUUUGUAGUACUUCUAUUAUCUAUGAUUAAAGUUGAUGAUAUAUAGUGACAAACUCUUCAAGAUUUUCUUCUCUAAUAAAAUCUAUAUAUAUUCAUAUUCAUAUUAUCAUAUAUAUAUAUAUAUAUAUAUAUAUAUAUUAUGAUUAUUUAUGCAUGCACCAACAAUCACUACUGCAAAAUAUGAAAUGUGUCGGUAACUCCUAACUAGCUAGUCAGUCGCUAAAAAGUUCAUAGCUAAUUGAAUUUUCUUAAAAUUCAUCACUAAACAAUAUCAGCAUGAGAGUUUUGCUCUAAAAUUGUAUCUGUUGCUAUUUCUUUGUUUUCUAGUAGUGAAUUAAUGAUUUAUACUCCACUCCCUUUGUUCUUUUUUACGCGUCUAAUAUUAACAAUAUGUACAUGCAUCUUUUAUUAGGUCGCUCAUUUACUAAGGAAAUCCAAAUUUGACUAUUAGUAUUUAAGUAGGUCGGAAAAUACUUACUUGACGAUAAGGAAGUUAUUUGAAAAACUAAAUCUUAUUACAAUAUAUUUUUAGUAUACUGGACUAGUAAAAAGUUAAGGGCGGAUGGGGUAUAUAUUAAUCUAUAUUAUCUAUAGCUUCUCAUUCAAACUUCAAAGAAAGUUUAUUAUGAAAAGGAACUUUUGUGACAUAAUAAUCCACUAAUCUCUAAUAAAAAACUACGCAUGAUGAUAAAAAUAUGUUAAUUAUUAUUAUGAUUGAAUGAACAACUAUGAAAAAGAUUGAUGAAUUCUACUAUAUUCUAUUUUGAUUCCAGAAUAAUUUUGUAUUAUAAAGCCAUCUAAACCAUAAAAAAUGCUUUUGAAAAAAAAGGAGAAGAGAAAAGAUGAAUCAUUUCUGACUUUAUAGCAAAUCAAUUAAUUAAAGCAUGAAGAACAAUCUUUACAUAUCUCCAACAUUUUUUUUCAUUUCAUUUGGCAUUUUUCAUCUCAUCUUAUCUCUAAAUCUUACCUAAAUCAAAAUUACUAUAAUUUCACCUUUUCCUUCUGCAUAUCGUCUAAAAUACCAUGAAUAUAUACUUCGUCUUCAGAUACCGAAUAUGUAACGCGUUAUAUUUUUUAAAAAAUAAUAAUAAAACCUUCAAUAAUGUUUAAGGAAAAAAAAAACAUCAUGUCUAUCAUAUGGCACUUUCAUGGGACAAUUUUUUUUUAACAUUUAAGUGAUCUCAAAUUUGUACAAUUAUUUUUAUGUGAGAAAAAAAUAUAUAUUGGUGAUUGCAAUUUCAUCUAGAAUAUUGCCCCCACUUUCUUCUGACUAAAUAAGACACUUUCACAUGCUAUAUGUAAUGCGAUGUGAUGCAACACAACAUGUAUCAUCAUAGUCAUUACAAGUCAUUUAGGUUCAAUUUUUUAAAUGGAUUUAUAGUCUUAGUUAGCAUACACAUAAUUUUAUUUAAAGAGAAUUAUUGAAAAUAUCUCGGAGUUUGAUGCAAGUUAUUAAUUUUAUUUCUGAAUUUGACGUAAGUUAUUAGUUUCAUCUCCGAAAUCUGAACUUGACGCAAGUUAUUAAUUUCAUCUCUAAAUUCUAAACUUGACGUACGUUAUUAGUUCCAUCUAUGAAUUCUCAACUUGAUGCAAGUAUAUUAGUUUCAUCUCUAAAUGAUUAUAGCCUAAAAAACAUAUUCUUGAAAGAAAAUCAAAAGAAGAUCAACUUUUUAAGAUAUUGGGAAGUGAUAUAUAAAAUAGAAUAAAAAAAUUAAUUGGGUGGAUUCAUGUUUAUGGGAUGGUUCCAUUCUUUGUGUUAAAAUAACAUGAAAGCCCACAUAUAUAUGAGUGUUAUGUCAAAAAGGAGCAAUUGUGAUGCCUAAAAGUACUAUGACCCUCCACCUAGAUUCACACUCAUAGAAAGUGUCAAAAUAAUUGCAUUUAUAAGAACAAUGAUUCAAUGAACUUUGUAUUUAAUUAUUUAUUUUUCACUCAUUAAAAUAACAUGGACAAAAUAUUUCUCUAAAAAAAACUAAUAACGUGAAUCGACGAAUACAUAAACCUCAAAUUCUAUACGAAAAACACUCAAACAUAUCAUCGAACUUUGAAAAAUGAUUCAUCUAUACCAAUCAUUAAGAGUCAGACUCAUUUAUGCCAUUUCAGUUUGAAAAAAUGGCAUAUCCAUAUUAGAUGAGUACUUUCAAUUUUACACAGUGAUUAAAAAAUCAUUAAUCGAUUAAUCAACUUUACUAUUUUACUCUUUGUUCUUAUUUUUAACAUCUUGAAAAAAGAAAUUCUUAGAUCUUCAAAAUUCGUUUAAACUUCCAAAGUCAUAUUAAUUGUAGGGAUAAAAUGGGAAAAAAUUAUUUAACUAUAUUCUGAUUUAGUAAGUGAUCAAGUAAUAUGAGACAAAUAUUUUUAGUAAGAUGUCCAUCUAAUAUGAGACGGAGAUGGUAUAAUCAACACUCUAUAUAAAUAUCAUCAAAGACUUAGCGACUCUAAAUUCUAUGACAUCAUCGUUAAAUUUGUUAGGGAAAAGGACGAAUAUACCCCCCGAACUAUCAUAAAUGAUAUGCAGAUACCUUUCGUCAUAUUUUUGGAACAUUGAUGCCCCUACCGUCUAAAAACUAGAGCAUAUAUGCCCUUCACUCUAACGGAAGACUAAAUAGGGACACGUGACACAAUCUUAUCCGUCGAACUGAUAUUUAAUAAAUGUCGGGUCAGUGUAUAAGAUUAUGACACAUGUAUGUCCGUUAGUAUAAAGGGUAUAUAUGCUCUAGUUUUUGGACGGCAGAGACACCAAUGUCCCAAAAGUAUGACGAAUGAUAUCUGCAUACCAUUUACGAUAGUGUAGAGAUAUAUUUGUCUUUUUUUCCAAUCUGUUAUCACUAAAUAUCUCUUUUAUCAUAGUGUCGAUACCAUAAAUAUUUACCAUUGGAUUCUCUUUUAGCCAAUUGAGUAAAACACCAAAUCAAACCAUGAAAAAAAUCUCACUUUUUGCAGAAACAUGCAUCGUGAUUCGUGCAGGGGCAUGACAGGUAUUUUGACUAAGUAUUAUUACUGUUAUUCUUCACGGAGCUCAGCUUUUAUAUGACGGACGUUGCACGUGUAUAUUAAAAAAGGACGAUUAGAUUUAACGGCGUUAGUGUUGAAAAGUAACGGUAAAGUGAUUUUUAUCAAAUGAAUAUAAGUUAGUUACUCUCAUCAUGAAAAUAAUAAUAAUAAUAUAUUAUGUAAGUUAUGGUUGUGAACUUUCUAAGGUUGAUGUCAUAAAAUAAGAAUUCAGGAUUUUUUUUUUUAUUGUUAUAUGUUUUAGUUCAUAAAUUAUUUGUAAUAUGUUUGAUUGAGUCUGCCUAUUCAUGAUAACCUAAAAAAUGAUACUCAUUACUUUUCGAGGAUAGAUAUCUUCUUCCUUUUUUAGAGUUUUUGAGUCAGAUGACAUGAAUUCAACAUUAUCUCAAUUUUAUGUGUGUAUUUAUUCACGAAGAUUCAAGAAUAAGUAUGAUCUAGUUUGUUUGAUCAUAUAUAUAUAUAUAUANNNNNNNNNNNNNNNNNNNNNNNNNNNNNNNNNNNNNNNNNNNNNNNNNNNNNNNNNNNNNNNNNNNNNNNNNNNNNNNNNNNNNNNNNNNNNNNNNNNNNNNNNNNNNNNNNNNNNNNNNNNNNNNNNNNNNNNNNNNNNNNNNNNNNNNNNNNNNNNNNNNNNNNNNNNNNNNNNNNNNNNNNNNNNNNNNNNNNNNNNNNNNNNNNNNNNNNNNNNNNNNNNNNNNNNNNNNNNNNNNNNNNNNNNNNNNNNNNNNNNNNNNNNNNNNNNNNNNNNNNNNNNNNNNNNNNNNNNNNNNNNNNNNNNNNNNNNNNNNNNNNNNNNNNNNNNNNNNNNNNNNNNNNNNNNNNNNNNNNNNNNNNNNNNNNNNNNNNNNNNNNNNNNNNNNNNNNNNNNNNNNNNNNNNNNNNNNNNNNNNNNNNNNNNNNNNNNNNNNNNNNNNNNNNNNNNNNNNNNNNNNNNNNNNNNNNNNNNNNNNNNNNNNNNNNNNNNNNNNNNNNNNNNNNNNNNNNNNNNNNNNNNNNNNNNNNNNNNNNNNNNNNNNNNNNNNNNNNNNNNNNNNNNNNNNNNNNNNNNNNNNNNNNNNNNNNNNNNNNNNNNNNNNNNNNNNNNNNNNNNNNNNNNNNNNNNNNNNNNNNNNNNNNNNNNNNNNNNNNNNNNNNNNNNNNNNNNNNNNNNNNNNNNNNNNNNNNNNNNNNNNNNNNNNNNNNNNNNNNNNNNNNNNNNNNNNNNNNNNNNNNNNNNNNNNNNNNNNNNNNNNNNNNNNNNNNNNNNNNNNNNNNNNNNNNNNNNNNNNNNNNNNNNNNNNNNNNNNNNNNNNNNNNNNNNNNNNNNNNNNNNNNNNNNNNNNNNNNNNNNNNNNNNNNNNNNNNNNNNNNNNNNNNNNNNNNNNNNNNNNNNNNNNNNNNNNNNNNNNNNNNNNNNNNNNNNNNNNNNNNNNNNNNNNNNNNNNNNNNNNNNNNNNNNNNNNNNNNNNNNNNNNNNNNNNNNNNNNNNNNNNNNNNNNNNNNNNNNNNNNNNNNNNNNNNNNNNNNNNNNNNNNNNNNNNNNNNNNNNNNNNNNNNNNNNNNNNNNNNNNNNNNNNNNNNNNNNNNNNNNNNNNNNNNNNNNNNNNNNNNNNNNNNNNNNNNNNNNNNNNNNNNNNNNNNNNNNNNNNNNNNNNNNNNNNNNNNNNNNNNNNNNNNNNNNNNNNNNNNNNNNNNNNNNNNNNNNNNNNNNNNNNNNNNNNNNNNNNNNNNNNNNNNNNNNNNNNNNNNNNNNNNNNNNNNNNNNNNNNNNNNNNNNNNNNNNNNNNNNNNNNNNNNNNNNNNNNNNNNNNNNNNNNNNNNNNNNNNNNNNNNNNNNNNNNNNNNNNNNNNNNNNNNNNNNNNNNNNNNNNNNNNNNNNNNNNNNNNNNNNNNNNNNNNNNNNNNNNNNNNNNNNNNNNNNNNNNNNNNNNNNNNNNNNNNNNNNNNNNNNNNNNNNNNNNNNNNNNNNNNNNNNNNNNNNNNNNNNNNNNNNNNNNNNNNNNNNNNNNNNNNNNNNNNNNNNNNNNNNNNNNNNNNNNNNNNNNNNNNNNNNNNNNNNNNNNNNNNNNNNNNNNNNNNNNNNNNNNNNNNNNNNNNNNNNNNNNNNNNNNNNNNNNNNNNNNNNNNNNNNNNNNNNNNNNNNNNNNNNNNNNNNNNNNNNNNNNNNNNNNNNNNNNNNNNNNNNNNNNNNNNNNNNNNNNNNNNNNNNNNNNNNNNNNNNNNNNNNNNNNNNNNNNNNNNNNNNNNNNNNNNNNNNNNNNNNNNNNNNNNNNNNNNNNNNNNNNNNNNNNNNNNNNNNNNNNNNNNNNNNNNNNNNNNNNNNNNNNNNNNNNNNNNNNNNNNNNNNNNNNNNNNNNNNNNNNNUAUAUUUGUGAUGACUUAAGUGAAUGACAUUCAUUGCCUCUACUGGAUAGUUGUCACCUUUUUGGAGUCUCGAGGUCAUGAAACAGGAAGUCAGGAUUGUCCAAGACUUUUGUGUAUCUUAAUCCAUAUUCGUUUUGGAAUAUGAUUAACCAGCUCCGUUUGACUCCAAAUUUUAUAGGUCCAUUUGUGUAGACAUAAUAAACGAUAUUUCUUAUCUCUACAUGAUUGACGUCACUUUCUUUUUAGAGUUUUGAUGUCAUAAAACAUUAAUUUAAUUCAAUAUUUUUGUAUAUAAAAUCUUAUAAAAGAGAAACUCAUUUGAAACAUCUAAUCCAUUUUGUGAUAUUUUUUCCUCAUCCCAUCCCAAGAAUUAAUAGUGUUUCGACUUAUUCUUCAAUACUAUAUUUAUCGAUAAUGAAGAUGUUCAACCCAUCUAAAAAAAUAUGGAUUUUAAAAUGCAAUUUAGAAGGAAUUUCCAAAGUUUUGACUAGCUAGAUAACAAGAAAUGCUAGCUCCAAUUACUGGGAAGUUCAAAUACAUUAAUUUGUUUUCUUAAGUUCUAAUCCUGUUUUUUUGUCAAAUACUUAGCCAAAAACUUGUCUUUUUCUUCUUCUUCCAUAGAGUAAUUAUUAUUAGAAUAAAUACAAAUAAAUAAAAUUAUUAUUCGAAUAAAUACAAAUAAACUGCAAAAAUCAUAAACUUGGAAAUUGUGCUUUUUACAAAUAAUAUUGACCAACUUAUUAUUUGACCACUGUCACGUCAGAAGUAUAUUCGUGUUUACUUCAAUUUAUUUUACUAAUAAUUGUUAAUUUUUUUAUUAAUUUAAGUGUUCAUAUAUAUGGAAAUAAUUUUUUAAUUUUACUUGUAUUAGAAUAUAUCAAAAGCAUAGAAUCUUUGUCUAAGAUGAAUUAAGAACAAAUUAAUAAAGAUUAUCGUGGAUGAGACUCCAAGUUGGCAGUGGAUUCUCUGACUAAAAUAUAAUUAAUUAAUUAAUGACACAUUUUUUCAUUGGAUUCCACUCAUCUACAUAUAUGUUUUUUUUUUUGGUUUGUAUUAUGUUAAGAAAGAAAUUAAAUGUUAACCUAAGUUGUCAAUGACACGUAUUAUCUGAUUUGAAUUCAAUAGAUUUUCACAAUUUUGUUCUUCGGGCUUACAAUAAUGGAGCUCAAAAUCAUACGUUUCGUAUGAAUCUGUGUUAUUAGCUGUCUUAUAUAAUGUUAUUUAUGUUUCUACAUUCAUUUUAGUUUGAAUUAUAUAUGUUAAGAAGAAGUUAAAUGUCAUAAUCCAAGUCAAUGACACGUAUUAUCUGUUUUAAAUUUAAUAGAUUUCAUGAAGUUGUUGUUCAGACGUACAAUUAUAUAUCAAACUUAAAAAUUAAAAUUGUGCGUAGCAUAUGAAUUAUUUGUGUUAUUAGCCUAUGUUGUGUUGGUCGGGCUCUUCAAAAUUGAUAUCAUCUAUAUAUAUGUUGAGUCAUUAAAAAAAAUACACACUAUUUUUUAAGAAUUCGCUAUGCACACAUCGAUAUUCCUAAAAAGUCCGAGCAACUUAACUAUCAACUAUGCCAUAUAUAAAGCUAUUCAUUUUUCUCUCUUAUUCACAUGCGAGAUUCAUUUAAGAUGUAACAUUCAUCUAUUUUUCAAAAACUUGCUAACGAUUAGCAUAAAUAGCUAGAAUCUUGUCGAUCUUUCUCUUUGACUCGUUCUCAUCGACCUGCCCUCUGUCAUGAACGUCACACAUCUUAAAAUACAAAAAAGAGGCCAUACUUUCUUAAUCAAUUGAUGAAGAACUCACAUGGAAGGUGAGUCAGAUAUUCAAAUUAAAGAAGGAUCAAUCCAGAAGGUAUGUAUACGUGCAUUAUUCUUCUAAUAAUAAUUAUUUUACUACUAAUAAAACAUUAAGAUUUUUUUUCUAAAAGAAAGGAACUUUUUAAGGAAUAUUAUUAUUAUUACAAUAAUUUAUAAUUAGUGGCCAUUAAUUAGGGUGAACGUGGAAUAAAGUUAGUUGAUUAUAUAUGCUCUAAAAAUACUAAACACAUUUGGCUUUAAUCAUCUUUUUUUUUUGUUCAAUAAAGAUGAAAAGGAAAAACUUUUAUGGACCAAAUUGACUUAUAAUUCAUCUUUAUUCUCACGACUCAAUGGCAAAAGAUGCCAUGUGCAAAUGCAAUAAGCAAUUAUUCGGUUUGAUUUUAAUUUGUGUGUCUAGUUUAAUUCAAUAUAGAAUUUAAUAAAAAAAAAAACUUUUGAAUCUUAUGAUCUUAAAUUAAAGAUACGUAAAAUAUAUCAAAAUGUUCUUUUAUUUUGUAUUCUUAAACAUGUCACAUGAAAAAUUAAAAUUUUAAAAUUGCCAACCAAAAAAAGAGACAUUCCAUUAAAUUGAAAGGAGUAAUAUAAUAUUGCAUAUAGUUAAUUGAUAAAUAAUUUAUAAAUUUGAGGAACCUGGGAAUAAUCUUGUAGUAUAUAAUUAAUUGGGAAAUAAUCUGUAAAUUUGAGGGACUUAUGAAUAAUACGGUAUAGUUAUGGAAUAAUCUCUUUUAGUAUUGAUUCUCAAGAUUUAUAGGUUUUUUUCGACAACUUCUUUUCAUAAGAUAUUAGAUUUAUCUCACUCCUUAGUCCUUUUAACACCUUCACUUAUUAUAAUUCGAUACUUACACAUAUAUGAAUAUAUAGAUAGACACAAACAUGUUUAAAUAAUCUCAAUAGAUUUUUCUUAUGUUAUCCUCAUGAUUACGUGUUAUACCUGUAUUUUACUGACAAAUAUAGUGAUCAUUUAAUCAUAUAUAAUAUUGUAUGACAACACACUCAUAACAUAUGUAUCAAAGGCGAAUCUAGAAUUUUUAGAAUAUGAAUGCAUUAUUAGAGAACAGAGAAACACCAAUAUAUUAGGUUAGAACCAUCCAUGUUCCUAUGAGUAAGUAACACAUCAUUCAAUUAAGCGCAGUAUCAACAAAGAGAUCAUGAAUUCACACCGUUAUAACUUCACAAAAAAAUCAUCCUUAAUAUGUUUAACGAGCCUAAAUAUCUAAACUAUUGAUAAAAUAAACAAUAUUUUAUUUAUUAGUCUCAUAUGUAUUUUGUGUAAAGAAUCUAAUAAAACAAUAUCUAUUGAAUUAUAAAAUCUAUCUUUACACCAAAAAAUAAAAAAAAGUUGGUACCAACUAUUGUCUCGAGAUGGUAAAUGGAGGGACAAAUUCGAAAUGAUAACGGUUAAAAAACUUUUGAAUAACAAAAGGGCAAAAACAUAAUUUCACAUUAAUUUAUAGUGUGGACCCUAAUUUGAAAAAAAGAAAAGGACAUCAGUGGUGCUGCAUUUUCUCCACCCACCGUCCUUUUUUACCCCUCGUGUUCACCAAAAUAAGAUAUACUACCCAACAAUAUGCGGAGUCUAUAGAAUGUACGCAAAAUUUACUCAUAUUUCGUGAAGGUAUAGUUUUUUAAAAAUAUUUUUUGGUUCAAAUACGAUUAAUUAAAGUAUUUAUAAAAAGUAUAGUAGAGCAUACAGAAAAGGAACAAUAAUAAUAAUGCGAUAAUCGAAAUACAACAAAUUAAUAACAAAUGAUAACAAAUAUCAAAAGCAAGAAACUAUAGAAUACGAGUCAUUUUACGUUAGACACCAUUAAGCCUAAAAUCAUUAAAAAACAAGAUAGCACUACAUUAAUUCGCGACCUCCUCACAUUCUUCUAUCUAAAGUCAUGAAACUUCCGACUAAUUCCUAUAUUACUAUUACAUGCAUAUUUAUAACCAGCUACAAGGCAAUUCUCACCUUGUUUGGAUGGUUGUUAUCCGUUGUAUCGUAUUGUAUUGUAUUGUUAGUUUUAAAUACAAUGUUUGUUUUGAUUGUUACUUAAAUUCUACUGUAUCGUAUCGUUUAAAUUCAUCGUUAGGUAACAACAAAAAUAUCCAUUUUAUGUAACGACCGAUUUGGUAUGGUCACGUCGUUACCUUAAUAUUUUCUUCUCAUUUUAUCUUUAUUUAUUAUUUCAUAAUUACAUUUCAUCUUUUAUUCUACCUUUUCAUAGUAGCUUUACUUCAUACCCUGCUCAUUUUUUUUAGGUUUGUCAUUCAUAUUAUGUAAUGACAAAGAAGAUACAAUCUAUCCAAACAAUGUAUUCAUUAAAACAAUACAAUAUGAUACAAUACAACACAAUACAAAUUAAUACGAUAUAUUAUGAAACAAUACGUAACAACCAUCCAAACAAAGUAAAUUCCGAGAUAAAUUAAUCCCAAUUAAACAUAAAAUAAACUCGAUUAAUUAUCUCUUAUCACUUGUAUCAAACGAGUAGUAAGGUAUAAACAAAUUAUUAUUAUUUUCAAAAAAGAAUUACUUAAUAAUUGAAAAGAAAGAGUAAUAAAAUACAUGGGUGUGAAUAUGGAAACAGAAAAAGACAGACCCAUCUCUGCAUUUUUAUUGGAUUUAUCGAUAGAAGCAGAAAGUGGAGAGAGAAGAAACAAUCAAAGCAAAAGCUUUUUUAGCCCUCACUGUCCUCAAACACUUUGGGGUUAUAGUAAAGUGUGUUUCUUUGAGGAGGAGAAGAAAAAAAAAGGGGGUGCGUAGGAUUAGCAGAGGGGGGUGUAGUUUAAGAGCUUGGUUAUCUAGCUAUGGUGGAGUUGAUUUGAGGUCAAAAGACACUGAAAUUGUUUAUUGGGUAGUGAUUUUAGCUCAAAUCUUGACUUGGGUCUUGCUUGUUUUCUUUAUUUGAGGUGGUUAGCUAGGUCAGCUUAACUUCAAUGGCAGUUGCUGUGCAGUUUAGCUGUUUUAAGAGGAAGAGAGGAGCUUUUCUUGUUGUUUUCAUGUUGGUUUACUUGUGGGGUUCUUUGAUUUCAUUAUCUUGUGCUGCUAGACUAUCUGUUUCAAGACAGAAGCUUGAGGUUGAGAAACACUUGAAAAGGGUCAAUAAACCUCCCAUUAAAAGCAUUGAGGUACUUAGCUUACUUUUGAGAUAGUUACAAUAAAAAAAAUUCAAUCUUUUUCUGAGUUUUUAAGUUCUUGCUGGAGAAAAAUGAUGUUCUCAGUGUUUUGUUACAUUUGGGUUUUUGGGAGUUUGUUUUGUGUGUGUGUGUGGGUAAGGGUUCUCUUGUUUUUGGUUCCAAUUUGUGUGUUUUCUUCCUCCUUUGUUCUUGGAAGUUUUUCAAAAUUAUUUAAGAGUAAUAAUGGCAUCUCUGAGAUGAAGGGAAGUGACUAAGAUUAGAUUUUUAAUGUUGUGAAUGUAAUGAUUAUACAGAGUGUAGAUGGGGAUAUCAUUGACUGUAUACACAUCUCUCAGCAACCUGCUUUUGACCACCCAUUCCUCAAAGAUCACAAAAUCCAGGUCUAUAUUUCUUUUUUUUUUGUUCAUUGCUUUUAAUACAAAUGGCUUUAUCAGUUUUUGAAAAUUCAUUGUAAUAUGCUCAGAUGAGACCUAGCUACCAUCCAGAAGGGCUUUAUGAUGAGGAGAAAAUGUCAACAAGGUCUAAAGAAAGUACUAAUCCCAUAACUCAGUUGUGGCAUAUGAAUGGAAGAUGCCCUGAGGACACUAUUCCUGUUAGGAGAACAAAGAAAGAUGAUGUUUUGAGGGCAAGUUCUGUCAAAAAGUAUGGUAAGAAGAAGCCCAAAGGCAUUGCUAAGCCAAGGUCUACAGAUCCUGACCUUACCAAUGAAAGUGGCCAUCAGGUGCAAAACCAUUUCUUGAUUUCAUUGUCAUUUCCUUUGGAGUUUGUGUUGGAGUCCAUAUUCUGACUUUUUUUUUUGUGUGUGUAUUUCCAGCAUGCAAUAGCUUAUGUUGAAGGAGAUAGGUAUUAUGGAGCUAAAGCAACUAUUAAUGUAUGGGAACCUAAGGUACAACAAUCAAAUGAGUUUAGCUUAUCUCAGCUUUGGAUUCUUGGUGGUUCUUUUGGUCAAGAUCUAAACAGCAUUGAAGCUGGUUGGCAGGUAUAUUAAUUAUAUGAAAGAUGUUUUAGCUACAUUUGAACUAUUUUGAGUUAAGAAGUUAGUUCACCUUCACAUGUCAAAAAGUAUUUUUGAGUCUAAUAGUAAGCAUACAUGUGAAUGUCAGGUUAGCCCUGACCUCUAUGGUGACAAUAACACAAGACUAUUCACUUACUGGACUGUAAGUUUCUUACUAAUUUGAGUAAAUUGAUUAGCUCUUGAUCUCAUUUUCAUUUGAACAUUAUGUAAUCUUUUCUUGAAUCUCUUUUGGUUACUAUAUUUGCAGAGUGAUGCAUAUCAAGCAACAGGUUGCUACAACCUUCUUUGCUCAGGUUUCAUUCAAGUCAGCAGUGCUAUAGCUAUGGGAGCAAGUAUCUCUCCUGUUUCAGCCUUGAGAAACUCUCAGUAUGAUAUCAGUAUUCUUAUCUGGAAGGUAAAAAUCCACUUUCAAGAUUUUCAGCCUAAUAUUCUCUGCCUUCUGUGCCAAAUUAUUGCACCAGUAGCCAGCAUCUCAUAAAGUAAAUUGAGUGUAAGAAAAGUACAUUCAACAUCAGUAUAAGGAAAAAUGCAUUUCUGAAUACAUAGAAAGACUAAAUCUUUAUUAUUCAGAAACACACAAGUUGUAUUGAUCUGUGCAUUCUUGAGGAAAAUAUUAGUAGUUCAAUUGGUCGACUACAUGAAUUCGUUUCCGCACUUUGUUAUCCCCUUUCCCUAACCCCCCUCAAAAAACUAACUGUGCAUUCUUGUACCUGAAACACACACACACACUAAAAAGAAGGUUUGUUCUUGUUGGUGUAAUCCUUUUAUAUUGGACAUAUUUAUUGUAGGAUCCAAAAGAAGGACAUUGGUGGAUGCAAUUUGGAAAUGACUAUGUAUUGGGGUAUUGGCCAUCUUUCUUGUUUUCCUAUUUAGCAGAGAGUGCAUCCAUGAUAGAGUGGGGUGGUGAAGUGGUGAAUUCACAACCAGAUGGUAAACAUACAGCUACACAAAUGGGAAGUGGUAGAUUUCCAGAAGAAGGUUUUGGCAAGUCAAGUUAUUUCAGAAACAUUCAAGUUGUUGACAGCUCAAAUAAUCUUAAAUCUCCAAAAGAUCUUGGCACCUUCACUGAGCAAUCCAACUGUUAUGAUGUCCAAACAGGUAGUAAUGAAGAUUGGGGCCAUCACUUUUACUAUGGAGGCCCUGGUAGAAACCCUAAUUGUCAAUGAAGCAAUAAAGAACGCUCAAAAACAAGAAAAAAAAAGAGAAGAAGAUCUCAUUAUUGAUAAUAGUCCCCACCCUUGUAAAAUUUUAAUCUAGUCUAAUGCUCUCUUUCUUGUAUACCCCUUUUGGUUUUCUUGAUUUUUUAGGUUUGAGUUAGUAGUAAAAAUGUGAACUUUUUUUUCUUUAGUGGGAAGUUUUGAUCCUUUUGCUUUUUUUUUUCCUUCACCUUGAAAGGUGAUCUCCCAUGUAAGUGAAUGGGAAAGUGUGGCCUAGUUUCUCAAAAAAAGCUUGAAAGAAACAAAAGGCCUUUUGUCAUCUUCUUUGUUUUUCAUUUGUUUAUAUACUCCACUCUUUGGAGUAAUGUCACUCUAUGGAUAAUCAAAUGUAUCCUAUUAGUAUUCAUUUUACAACCAAGUCUUGAUUUGUGGUUUGUUGGUUCAAAGAAUGUGACUUUUUAUUUUGUUUUAUAAUGUGAGUAAGUUGAGUGGAUAGAAGAAAGGCAUAUUGGAUGGGGUGUUAGUGGAUCUCACUAUAUUUUAUCAUCUGUGGAUGGUCCAUUAACUUUUUCUAGAUAGCCCCACUUUUGUCACUCCCACUAAUCACAUUGUGUCCAAUGUUUAUCUGUCCUAGAACUUUUCUUACUAUGAAGUUCGAUUAAAUUUGGAUUUGCAUCGGAAAGUUAAAAUGCUUCCUAACAAAAACAAGUCUUUACUUAGGAGAUUUGAAUUUGAGACCUCUGGUUAAGGAUGAAAGAGUAUUUAUCAUUCCACCGCAACUCUGGUUGGUUAUCUGUCUUAAAAUUGUUAGAUGACCAUUGCAUGAAAAGUGAUUGUAAAGUUGCAACCUUUUUAUGAGUUUAUAUUAUUUUGGAAUUUGCUUCUCUUUUUGGAAGAAUAUUUUGUAGUAAUACAUGUUAUGAAUAUAUUAUAAUACUCAUAAUGAUUCACUUUUUUUCAAGAAUAUUACACAAACCAUUAGUAGAGAACACUGGUCUUGUAAGAACUUGCAUGGUACUUUUAUACACUAGUGGGUAAAAAAAAGUGAAAGAUGAAUUCAGAAUUGUAAGUGGGGAAAUACCAAUGUGAUCAUUACUCUUUGUGAAUAUGUUGAAAACUGCAUCCCCUCCUGAAAAAGUCUGUUGUGAAGUAAAAUGCCAACCUAAGACCAUGUCCUUAAACAUAUACAUUGAAUUGCAUCUUCGGGUGUGGCGUAAUGAUCAACGAAAUAAUCUAAGAAUCAUGGGAUCUCCAGUUCAAUAGGCAAAAACAUUAGGUGAUUUCUUGCGAUCCAUCCAAGUCGGGGUGAACUAGUACAUGCGAUGAUGGGCAGGGGCGGAUCCAAGUGGAGAGAAGAGGGUUCAUUUGAACUCCUUUUGCGAAAAAUUACACUAUAUAUAUGUAAGGUUAAAUUAUUUUUUAUGUAUAUAUAUAGUAUAUGUUGAACCCCCUAAUUUUUUUUUGUAUGUUUACCUUUUUAUAUUUUGAACCCCUUAGGGAAAAUCUUGGCUCCACUACUACAUAUCGGAGGUAGUAGGUGUCUGAUAAAAUUACUUGAAGUAUGCGCAAGCUUACUAAAACACCACAGUUAUAACAUGUACAUUGAAUUAUUAGUUAAUGAAAAAGAUUAGCACUAAUAGUCCAGAGUUGCUUCAUGAAGUGGUUAAUUUUAAUGACUUAGCACUAAUGCUAGUGGUGAUAGUAAUUAGUACUUACUACUACUUGAAAUGAUCAAAACUAGAUAUACACAUUGGCAAUUAGCAUAAAGAUAAUCAUUUAGCAAGAACAAUGAAUUAGGCCACUAAUCCAUGGGUUUUUGGGCCUCUAGAACUAACUAAUACAAUACUGGACCUAGGCCCAAACCUUAAGUGCUCGUUUGGUUCCACUAUAAUCUUGCAUUACUAAUUCGUACAUUAUAAAUAUCCCUUGCGUAACUUGUCUUUAAACCAAACGACCUCUUUAAGAAAAAAAAGGGAAAAUUAUAUAUAAUAACAAACUAUUAAUUUAAAUUAAAUGUUAUAACCACAAUUUGAUUUAAUUGUAACCCAUAGCAAACUGUUGUUGUUCGCCUCUCUCCCUGAAAUUCUCACUCGCCACUCUCCCUCUCUCGCUCGUCAGCCUCACUUUAUACAAACACAAAUGUAUAAUUUAUGUUUCUGUUUGUAUAAAGCGAGAGAAAAUUGUAUAUACAGAUGCAAAUAUAUAUAUCUUCGUCCUAUACACUUAUAAUUAUACAAUACAAAUCUUUCUCUGCCCAGUUCUCUUUUGCCUUUCUCUCUUUCUCGCUUUAUACAAACACAGAUUAUACAAAAUACAAUGUAUAAUUUGUGUUUGUAUAAAGCGAAAGAGAGAGAGAGAGAUUUGAUAUACAAACGUUUUAUUUCGAUUCAAUUGUAUACAAAUUCAAAUUUUAUGCAGAUAUACAAACACAUAAAAUUGAAUUGAGAGGCUGCCAACGAUUUAUACAAACGAGAGGCUGCUGACAAUUUAUACAAAUGAGAGGCUGCCAGCGAUAUUAUACAAAUCUGAUGCCCCCAGCGGUUUAUACAAUCUGAUGCUCCACAACAAACAUAAAGUUUGCUAUGGAGCGCAAUUAUGCAACCUAUAGCUAUACAUAACAAAUAUGAUUUUUAUGUUUGCUAAAUGUGAAAGUUGCUCAAAAAAAUUUUGGUGUCAAAGGAAAGUCCUAACCUAAGUGAAUUAACAUAAAGCCCAAGAUUAAAAGGCUAUUGGGUUUGUGAAACUUUUGGGCUUACAGACUGGACCAUGGAAGCCUAUAAUCUAGUUUACUGGACCUCCUUAUGUACAUUUUAGCGCUACAAGAAAAUAAGAAAUUUGUGACGAUCAAGAAUUUCAUUCUAAUCUCAUUUAGCUAUAAUUAGUUAUAGACUAUAUGAAAAUCCAACUAGCUAGAAAUUAUUUAGCGAUAGAUUAGCUAGGAAUAUUGAUAAAUUUCGUAGGUAAUUCCAUGUUUUCUAGUAGUCUCUUAGUUUAACUGUUUUUGUUAUUCCAAAUUUCUACUAUAACUUCCUUAAAAUCAAUCAAAAAAUGAAAAAAAGAGAAAGAAGAUCAUAGUUUAUUGAUAAAUAUAAGAUAUUACUCUAUUCCAUAUUCUUUUUAUAAUAAGGUUGUGCUUAGGAUCGAAUAUCUGGUUAUGAAUUGACACUUUGUUAAUUAAAUUGUAAGUUUGAUAAUAUAAAUAUAUCCAAUGUAGAACUUAUGCAUAUAAUAUUCGAUACAUGUAAUAUACGUAUGUAUAAGAAUUAGGUAAGAAUAAGGAUCGAACUGAUAAUAUAUAUGUAAUACAAACAUAAUUAAAAAAAUUGUGUUCUCAUCAAAAAUAUCAUACGUAACUAAUUUGAUGUGACAUUUUAUGAGAUAAGUAUGCUAGUAAGACAUUAUGCUAUAUAUAUAUAAGUCGAUAGAAAGAAUAUUCAGUCAACUAAUCUUAAUAAUUGAUUAUAUAAAAAUUAUAUAUCCUCAACAUCCCAUGAUCAAAUUACCAUAAUUAUUGAUAUUGAUGUCAGAUUUAGUUGUCCACUUAACAAAAUUAUGAAUAAAUAAUAUUAGAUGGAGGGAAUAUUUGAAUUUAUAUCUUCUCACAUGGCUAUUGAAAUGUUUAAACUUUAAAUCUAGACAACUCAGUUUAAUAUAUCUAAUCUUAAGACAAAUAUUGAUGAGCUUACUCAUAUUGUUAGUUUUAUAUUCGAAUAAAAAAAAAGAUUUUGAUUGCUGAUAGGUUGGCAUCUAAUAUAAAAUUUGCUCGAUUUUUAACUUGAUUGGAAUAUGAUAUGAUUGAUGAUGCGUAAUUAUUAUUGUUAUCUACAAAUAUUUGGAACCUUUAGUUAAAAUUUGUACUAUAUUUUGUAUAUUACUUAUGACAUUGUGUAGGGUAGGACAAGACCCCUAUAUUGUCAUCUUUAUAAAGUCAUAGGUCUUCUAGACAACUUCUAGAAAACCUACCAAAAAAGAAAAUGUCAAUAUUACCAUCACAAAAUUUACGAUAUUUUAUUUAUGACUUAUGUUUUUCCUCUGUUGAUAAGAUUGUGUAAGAAUUGAGAAAAUUUUGAUAACUUUUUUAACUUGUGAAAUUUUUAUGUUUAUGAAAAUAAAUACAAUUUAUGAAAUUUAAACUACAUGUUCAAUUAAAAUUUUAAUUUCACAUCAGUCUGAUUUCAUAUCGCUUGUUCAAUCAGGCUCUAAGAUUCAGUUCACCUUCUUUUCUAUCGGAACAAGCAAAUAAUUCCCUUUAUCCACUCUUGAAUGGACAUUCCCUCUUAUUUUCAUUUUUCUUUUGUUUCCUAUUUGAUGUCACAUCAAGACUUUGAUUAAUUUAAUUACACGUCAUAUAUAAAUUUUGUUUGACAAAAAACAUUUUUUAUCAAGUUUUUUUUACAUUCAAAACUCAAAUACGGAAUCUCUGACUAAAGAAAGUGGAUGGUUGAUGAUAUUAACUUAUUUUCAAUUAUUUCUGCAUAGAAAAGUUUGGCUCCAAGUCCCCACUUCCCAUGAUAGAGAUAUGCAAUUAGAAAAAAAAGAAAGAAGCAUAGUAGUUGAUAUAUUUAAUUUAAAUUUAAAAAUAAAUAGCAUCUCACCUAACUCUACAUUAUUAUUUAAUUAACUAUUCCCAAACAAUUGCACAAAAAUUUGGCUAUUAUUAUUAUAUAUAUAUAUAUAUAUACAUACAUAUAUAGCUGGUUUUUGGCUUCACAUAAAAUCAUUUCACAAUAUAUAUUUAUUACUAUAUAUAUGCUAUCAUUUUCAUGCCUCUAUUGUUAUGUUUUUUAGAUAAGAUAUUUUUUGAACUCUGAAAAUUUUGCAAUUUUUGAAUUGUUCUUUAAUUAUCCUCAAAUAUUUCUGACAAACCAAUGACAGAAUUACACAUAUAUAUAUGUUGCCUUUUCACAUAUAAAAAUAUCCAAAAAUAAAAUAAAAUGAAUGAUGGAGGAACAAGAAAAGGACUUUUACUUAAUUUGCAUAAAUAUGUGUAUAAAUAUACAUAUAUGGGGACCAAUAUAAUAUAAUAUCAAUGAGGAUAAGGACUUUAUGUUCCUUAUUCAUAUUUUAGAUAAUAGAUAAUAACUUCAGAAAAAUAGAUAUUAGGAUAAUAGUAGUUUUUGAUUCUUAAGUUAUUGGUAAAAUUCUAGUUUUGGUCAUUUUUGUAAUAUAUAUGAUUUAGUAUAUUUAAUAUUCAAUUAACUAAAAUAUGUGUUUUUUUUUCAUGUAGAAAAUGUGUUAUAUAUUUGACUAUUUAAAGAAUUAUAUUAAAAUCAAAUAUGAAAUAACAAUACAAUUUUAAUAAUAUCACAUGAGUAAUUAAAUGAUAUAAGAUGAUUAAUACUUAUAUUGAAUUUAUGAAUAUUCACAACGAAAGAAAUUAAAACUGCAUAAUCCAAUUAAUUGAAAGUUUAAUAAUCUACAUAGUAUAAAAAUGAAAAUCAUAAUCUACCCGUAAAUGAGGAAUCAAAAGUACUACUAAUCCUAGAAAAUAAUACUUCACUAUUAUAAGUUCCUCUAUUAUCAACAUGGUUCAUUUGUAGUUUUUGUUUAUGAUGUUUGAUAUUUAUAAUGAGGAUCGAGUCCAAACCUAAUUUACUUGUACUUAUAUGUUAAACCAUCAAUGAGAACCAAAAAAAAAAAAAAAAAGGAUGAGGAGUAUCAGAACAAAAGUACUUUUUGGUCUAUUUCACCUAAUAAGUUGAAAAAUUCAGAAAGAGACAAUUGAACUUGCAGCCUUUACUUAAUCUUUGAUUUAAUACCUUUCGAUGUUUGAUAUUUACGUUGAUUUUGAUUAGUUUAAAUUCGUACCAUAUAAAGUUUUAUUUGAGGCAAAUCGUUCUUUAUUAAUGAUUUUUUUAUAUAGAAGAUUCGAACCUAAAACUUUUAAUUAAAAAUAAAGCAACUUAUCCACUGCAUUACAUUCUUAGAUAUUACCUUUUUAAAUGAUCAUGAUAAAGAUUAUUUGUAUUAUAAAUAUGUUAUUUGUCAUUUAUUUUUAGUUAGUAAUAGUAAUUAUUGAAAAUGAAUAUUCUUAAAAAGACAACCAAAAGAAAAAAAAAAGUAUCCUUAGCUCAUCCAACUCCUUUUUUUUUUCCUCACUUAGUGUCUACUAUCCAUAUAAAAAUUCGAUUAAAUCUCAAUUUUUGAUAUUUACUAUACGUAUAAAAAUUCGACUAAAUCUCAAUUAAAAUAUUUUCUAACAAUAAUUACUAUCGAACCAAGAUCAAGACCUCUGAUUGGUAGCUCAACCAAUUCUCUGUUUGAUAUUCAUUUUGACACUUGAUUAAAUUUAAAUCAAGAAAAAAAAAUACUCAAAUCAAGAUUCCCAACUAAAAAUAAAAACGUAUUUACCACACCAUCGCAACCCUCCUUUUAGGUGGCAACUCAACUCAACCAACUCUCAGUAUAUAUAUAUCAAAGCAUAGCAGACUCUUGUGCACUCUGCAUUUUCUUCUACCAACUUUUCUCCAUUCGGCUGAGAUUUCUCUGUUUAUUUUUUCUCUCAGUCUGCAAAAAUGGCGUUUCAGAAAAUCACUGUUCAAAACCCCAUCGUUGAGAUGGACGGUUAGAUCUCUUUCUCUCCAUUUUGAUUAAUAGAUCUGUUUUUUUAUUUUAUUUUUGUAGAUCUUACUGAUUGACUGUUUAGCUACUGAUUGAUUUGAGCUCUGUUGUUUUUCUUGAAAAAGGGAAAGAUUGAAACUUUAACAAAGGGGAAACAUAACUAUGGUGUUUUCUUGAAUUUUUACUUGUAUAUAUCUUGUGGGGUUGUUUAGAUCAGAGAUAUUAACUUGUCUAUAUAAAAAUUGAUCAACAAUUCAAGAAUUGAUAUUGAGUUCUUUGAUGAAAAAAGAUCCAAACUUUUUAACAAAUGGGAAAAGAUAUAUGUUGGUCCAUUUUUCUUUUGAUGACCCUGGCGUCCGAAUCAGCUUUCGCAUCAAAAGAUACCAUUAUGACAAAUGAGCAGAAUUACCUAUUUUUUUUUUGUCUCCGUUGCGUAUGCUGGACUAUUACUUGCAUAUAUAUAUGUCUUGUGGGUCCUUGUUUAUACUGGGUUUGAUGCUGAAGAAUAUAUCUUGUGGGGUUGGUUAGAUCAGUGCUGUUAACUAAUCUAUAGAACUAUUGAUUUAGCUCUUUGAUGAAAAAAAGAUCCAAACUUUAUCAAAUGGGGAACAUAUAUAUGGUGUUUUUUUGCAUUAUUACUUGUAUAUAUAUAUUGUGGGGUUGGUUAGAUCAGAGUUAUUAACUACUCUAUAUAACUAUUGACCAUCCAUUUCAAGAAUUGAUUUUGAGCUCUUUGAUGAAAAAAAGAUCCAAUUUUUUAACAAAUGGGAAACAUAUAUGCUGGUCUUUUUGUGUUAUUACUUGCAUAUAUAUAUAUAUAUAUAUCUUGUGGGGUUGGUUGGAUCAGAGUUGUUAACUAGUUUGUAUAACUACUGACCAUCCAUUUCAAGAAUUGAUAUUGAGCUCUUUGAUGAAAAAAAGAUCCAAACUUUUAACAAAUGGGAAACAUAUAUGCUGGUCUUUUUGUGUUAUUACUUGCAUAUAUAUAUAUAUAUCUUGUGGGGUUGGUUGGAUCAGAGUUGUUAACUAGUUUGUAUAACUACUGACCAUCCAUUUCAAGAAUUGAUAUUGAGCUCUUUGAUGAAAAAAAGAUCCAAACUUUUAACAAAUGGGAAACAUAUAUGCUGGUCUUUUUGUGUUAUUACUUGCAUAUAUAUAUAUAUAUAUAUGCAAGUAAUAACACAAAAAGACCAGCAUAUAUGUUUCCCAUUUGUUAAAAGUUUGGAUCUUUUUUUCAUCAAAGAGCUCAAUAUCAAUUCUUGAAAUGGAUGGUCAGUAGUUAUACAAACUACUUAACAACUCUGAUCCAACCAACCCCACAAGAUAUAUAUAUAUAUAUGCAUGAAAUAAGACAAAAAGACGCGCAUAUAUGUUUCCCAUUUGUUAAAAGUUUGGAUCUUUUUUUCAUCAAAGAGCUCAAUAUCAAUUCUUGAAAUGGAUGGUCAGUAGUUAUACAAACUACUUAACAACUCUGAUCCAACCAACCCCACAAGAUAUAUAUAUAUAUAUAUGCAAGUAAUAACACAAAAAGACCAGCAUAUAUGUUUCCCAUUUGUUAAAAGUUUGGAUCUUUUUUUCAUCAAAGAGCUCAAUAUCAAUUCUUGAAAUGGAUGGUCAGUAGUUAUACAAACUACUUAACAACUCUGAUCCAACCAACCCCACAAGAUAUAUAUAUAUAUAUCUUGUGGGGUUGGUUGGAUCAGAGUUGUUAACUAGUUUGUAUAACUACUGACCAUCCAUUUCAAGAAUUGAUAUUGAGCUCUUUGAUGAAAAAAAGAUCCAAACUUUUAACAAAUGGGAAACAUAUAUGCUGGUCUUUUUGUGUUAUUACUUGCAUAUAUAUAUAUAUAUAUAUAUAUAUAUAUAUAUAUCUUGUGGGGUUGGUUGGAUCAGAGUUGUUAACUAGUUUGUAUAACUAUUGACCAUCCAUUUCAAGAAUUGAUAUUGAGCUCUUUGAUGAAAAAAAGAUCCAAACUUUUAACAAAUGGGAAACUUAUAUGCUGGUCUUCUUUUGUGUUAUUGCUUGCAUUUAUAUAUCUUGUGGGUCCUUGUUUGUUCUGUGUUUGAUGCUGAAGAGGAAAAUCUAGUGACUCUGUCUUUUUUAUUUAUUUGUUUAUUUUAUGUUUGUUCAAUAUUACUUGGGGACUAUUUGGAUUGGAAUUUUUCAAAAUCAAUGUUCAUUAUCGUGUGUAGAGGAAUCACUUUCUCAAUUAAAAAUAGAUAGUUCUUCGAUUAGUAAUCACUUAUGUGAAGAAUCAGAGUGGUUUUCAUAAUCCAAACUAAACAGAUGUUAGUCUUCUAACCAUUCUUUUGAUAUGCGGGGAUGCGUAAAAAAUGGAAACAAUCUAAUUUUCUUAAUUUGAAGUAUUCCCACCAUUCUUGAAUUAGUUCAAGACUGAUCAUAUGAAAGGCUUCUUUAAAAUUUUGUCUUACUUGAUAGUAAGUCGUACUUUGUGACCUCAUUUAGGUUUCUAUAGUAUUUCAUUAUAACAUUGACUGGUGACAUCAUUUCAGAAGUCAAUUUAGUUUUGGUUAUUUUGGUCCGAAGGAAUCUUUUUAACGUAAUUUUUAUCUAAAUUAUUCAUGCGACUUUGACUGUUAAAGACUACAAAUUUUUAUCUCUUACUAUCUUCUUCUUGAUUAUGUGAUUCAGGAGAUGAAAUGACACGAGUUAUUUGGAAAUCUAUCAAGGAUAAGGUAACAAAUUUUCUUGGAUUGUUUCUGAGUCAGUAUGGGUUUCUUGUCACCUUCUAACAAUAAAAUUGCAAGCCACUAAUAUAUGAAGCUUCUUUGCUUGCUUUAGCUCAUCCUUCCCUUUCUGGAAUUGGACAUAAAAUACUUUGACCUUGGCCUUCCCCACCGUGAUGCCACAGAUGAUAAGGUUACAGUUGAAAGUGCGGAAGCCACUCAGAAGUAUGUUUUUAUUCAUCUUUACUUCCUAGUUUACAACUAACGGGAAAGAAAAUAUCCAUUUGUUGGAGCAAAUCCAUUUGCUGUUCUUUCCUCUAUUCAUGUCUUCAUUAAUUUUUUAGAUUACUGGAUAUCUCUCCAUUUGUGCUUCAUAUUAACUUUAACUGGUAUCGGUUGUCCAUUAGUUGUAACUUUUCAGCCUCCUUCUGGUUUCUUAAUGUCUACUGUAUGGUCUAACUGCAGGUACAACGUAGCUAUCAAGUGUGCAACCAUCACCCCAGGUGCUUAUUUCAGUGUCCAACUGGACUCUACUCCUUUUUGUUGAGCUUUUGCUCAUAUUUUCAGCAAAAAUCAAUCCUUUCUGUUGACUAUCAUUCUAAAAAUGUGCUAUUUUGCAGAUGAGGCCCGUGUAACGGAGUUUAACUUGAAAUCCAUGUGGAGGAGCCCAAAUGGGACAAUCAGAAACAUCCUAAAUGGUACCCCUGCAUUUCUUCUUGUUUUUGGAUCAUGUUCUUUCUUAGUUAUGGCGUGCUUAAUUAUAGCUUGUUGCACUCAUUGGCAUUGUCUACAGGAACUGUCUUUAGAGAACCAAUUAUGUGCAAAAAUAUCCCCAGACUUGUCCCAGGUAUCCCAGAUUUCUUGUGCUUUCUGCUUUUGCGUCUUCCCUCAAGUUGAUUUAAUUGUACAUGUAGUUAAGUGAAAUCUGCUUCUUAAACCAGGUUGGACUAAACCAAUUUGCAUUGGUAGACAUGCUUUUGGAGAUCAAUACCGAGCUACUGAUACAGUUAUUAAAGGAGCUGGAAAACUCAAAUUGGUGUUUGGUAAAUUUUUGUUGGUUGCUUUACUUGAUAUGAACCUAUUAGAUAGCAAUGCUACUCAUCUUAUAGGGUCUAUAUUCCAGCCUUUUCUUAUUAGCAAAGGGUUUUGCUUACUCGCUUAGAAUAUCUUUACUGAAAUAUUCUUUUUAAUACGUUAUCAGUGCCAGAAGGAUCAGACGAGAAGACUGAAUUUGAAGUUUACAACUUUACUGGUGCUGGUGGAGUAGCUUUAUCCAUGUACAACACAGACGAGGUUUGCUUACAAUUGUUUGGUUUCCAUUCCAAAUUUUGAAUAUUAAAUUGCUGCACACUUAUAUCCUUUCACUUUCACUUUCUUGAUGUGAUGCAGUCUGUUCGUUCAUUUGCUGAGGCUUCAAUGAACAUGGCAUUCCAAAAGAAAUGGCCACUCUAUCUUAGUACAAAGAAUACCAUUCUUAAGAAAUAUGAUGGGAGGUAAGCAACCUAACAGUUGAUCUUUCUGCUUCCCAUUUGGCCUUCACUUAAUCCAUUUUAAAUUAGGUUGGCACCUCGAGCCAUUUUUUCCCCCUCACAUAUCUAGUGGUUUUUGUAUACAUUCUGUUCCUCUGAACUACCAUAAAUACUCUUAUAAAGGUUCAAGGACAUCUUCCAAGAAGUUUAUGAAGCAAAUUGGAAGUCCAAGUACGAGGAAGCUGGAAUCUGGUGAGUUCCACAGUUCACUUGGUAAGCAUGGUUAUAAUAUCACAAGUACAUAAACAUUGACUAUUUCGUGAUGCUUUAUAGGUACGAACACCGUCUUAUCGACGAUAUGGUUGCUUAUGCUUUAAAGAGUGAAGGUGGUUACGUAUGGGCUUGCAAGAACUACGAUGGGGAUGUUCAGAGUGAUUUCUUAGCACAAGGUAUCACACAUGUGUUUUGUAGCCUUAAGACUGUCAUUUCGACAAAUCUUCAUAGAAUAUGUUAUGACGUAUUGACGUGCUAAUUGCUGAAUUUAGUAUUCCUGUCUUUCUCUCUAUAAUCUCUGCUCCUAGAGGUUUAUAAUUUUAUCCCUUUUCCCUUGGAACAGGUUUUGGAUCCCUUGGUUUGAUGACUUCUGUCCUGGUAUGUUUAUUUUCAAUUGCUUCAACCAACUCCUUGUGCCGUUUUCAGUUUUUCUUUUUUCUAUAAUUCUCUGAAAUAUAUGACAAUGCUUCUGGCUCUUUAGAUCAUUUUCCUUCUCGUCGCUGAUAUGAUUCGUUGUUUUGGAUUCUGAAAAGUUGUGGAUGUAUGGUUCAGGUGUGUCCUGAUGGCAAGACCAUUGAGGCUGAAGCAGCCCAUGGAACUGUUACCCGCCACUACAGGGUUCACCAGAAAGGAGGUGAAACCAGCACAAACAGCAUUGCCUCAAUCUUUGCCUGGACUCGUGGACUUGCACACAGGUAGGUUACUAUAGUUCUCGAUCUGCUGAGCUUUAGCCUGGUAUCACAAGCGUAGGAAGUAUGAGUACCUAAUAAAAUGCUUGUGAACAGGGCAACAUUGGACAACAAUGAAAGGCUCUUGGAUUUUACUGAGAAACUAGAGGCAGCAUGCAUUGGUGCAGUGGAAUCUGGAAAGAUGACGAAAGAUCUUGCACUCAUCAUCCAUGGAUCCAAGUAAGCCUUAUUGUCUACCUUUUCUCGUUUGUCUUUGUUAGUCGAGUUCCCAUUCUCAUCCCUUUUAAAUCCGUUUCCUCCCUUUGAAUAGGCUUUCACGAGAGCAUUAUCUGAACACGGAAGAGUUCAUUGACGCUGUUGCCGAUGAGCUCAAAGCAAGACUUCUGAAAGCAAAGGCCUAAAUGUGUGAGGACAAGUCUUUCUUCCUCACGCAGUUUGAGGCUAUUGAAUUGAGGAGAAAUAAAGGAGUUAAGGCGUUGUUUGGUAUACUAAAUUUCAAGAGGUUUUUUUUUUUAAAUCUUUUUAGGUUGAGGAUUAUUCUCCAGACACUAUAUUUGAACCAUUUAAAUCUGAAUUCCUAUUGCUGAUGUUGCUGCAAGCUAUUUGCCAAUUUGCAGUUGUACACAUAGCUUAUUGUUGUUUUUUUAAUAUCAAUCUGCUUAAAGAAACCCCUCUUCAUUAAUUGUUGCAAAGUUCGAAGUAAUGUGGUAACAGGGGCAGCUUGGUGCACUAAAGCUCCCGCAAUGUGCAAGGUCCCGGAAAGGGCCUAUUGUACACAACCUUGCCUUGUAUUUCUAUUAGAGGCGGUUUUCGAGGCUUAAUUCCAUGAUCGCCUGAGCAUAUGAUAAUAACUUUACUAGUUACUUCAAGCUCUUUUUCACUUUCACUGUGUUAAGAGGAUUGUUCUUAUAGUGGACUUCUCUUUAGUCUUCAAAACCAACUUCAAUUAAAUUAGAUGAUGUUUUCCAUCCACCCAAAGUUGGAUGGAGUAACUUGGUACUUGUUGAACGAGAUAACAAAUGUCCCAUGGAAUUAGUGGAUAGAGUAACUUGGUACUUGUUGAGCAAGCGUCCUAUAGAAUUAAUUGAAGUGCACAUAAGCUUGUUCAAACACUGAGUGUGUUGUGUUCAACAACUCUCUUUCUUCUUCCUCAAUUGAAUUAUCAUUCACGACCUAGGAUUUUAUUUUACCAUCCACGUUUUUUACAUAUAAAAAAAGUGAGUAGAUUUUUCAUAUUAAAUGUCAAAAAAGUGUUUUUAUUGAUGAAAUUUAGUAUAAACUUGAUAAUACAUACUCAUUAUUUAUGAUUGUUUUUUCUCAAAGUAUAAGAAGAUCAAAUUAUGAAAUUAUUUGUCUUUCAUUAACAAACAAAGAAACCACUUUGUAAUCCUGAAAGGUAUAGAUGACUUGUUGGAAAGUUGAAUUAUCUCACAGUGACUAGACUUGAUAUCUCUUUUCCUGUUAGUGUUGUAAGUCAGUUUAUGACUUCCCCUUGUGAUAGUCUUUGGAAAACAGUUGUUCGUAUUCUGCGAUAUAUAAAGUCAGCUCCCAGUAAAGGACUACUCUUUGAGGAUCAAUGCCAUGGCAUAUCAUUGGAUAUACAGACGUUGAUUGGGCAGGAUCACCCUCUGACAGACGUUCGACAUCCGGAUAUUGUGUUUUAGUAGGAGGUAAUUUGGUGUCGUGGAGGAGUAAGAAACAAAAUGUGAUUGCUCGACUGAGAAGUAAACACACGAACUAGUGGAAGAGGGUUCGACAUCUAUUAUACAUAUCAAAAAAUUAAUUUUAACCAUGUAUAAAUAGUAAUAUUUUUCGUCGAAGGGGGUUCAUCAUGCUGCCACCGCCCCCGCGUGCGAAACACGAUUUAUGAAUAAUUAGCUAAAAAAAAGUUUUACCUCAAAAAUGAGAAAAAAAGAUUAAAAUAAAAAGAUCGAAACAUGAAAAUAGAUCUGGUUAGUUAUAAGGUUAUGUAAUUCUUCAAAUCAGUUCAUGGCCUUUCUCCGUUUACUAUUGCUUAUCAUUUUUUACAUAUCAGGAAAAAAUAUAUAUUUUUACCCUCAAAAUUAGUUACUUAUUUGUUAAAUUAUUUCGGACUAGCGCUAAAACUCUAGGUCAAUUAAUAUGAAUAUUAUUUUAUAAUUUCUUUAAAAACGUACAGAGUUCAUAGAACAAGUAGAAGUGAACGGAGGGAAUAUAUAAUACGAUCAGCCUUUAAAUUAAUUUAUUGCUAAAGGCAGGCCAAAUCUUAUCUGUUCUGUCUACUUUUUUCUUUUCAAAAAUUCAAUUAUUAGGGGUUGUUGAUUGCACUGGCCCAAUUAUAUUUAUUACAUAUUUGGUACCUUAUUUAAUUUAAUUUAAUGAACUCAAGCCACCAGUAAAAAAUAAAGAGAAGAUUACAAUAAGAAAAUAAUAACAAAUAAAGAAUGUAAGUUCUAUACAUCAACGAUAUAAAUAAAAAAGAUAAUUUAUAAGAUAAUUACAAAUACAAUAUCGAUCUAUGUUGAACAUUGUAUUAACGGAUUAACUAAUAAAAAUGAUAAUUAACCUGUUAUAAAAAAUUAAACUAUAUUGAAUUAUUGAUGGUGUAAAAAAUAAUAAUAAUUAAAAAUGGCUAGGUUUUCUUCUUCACCAAAAUUGAUUUUGCUUUUGGUGACACUCGAAUGGUAAUUAAUAUCUUUUCAUUUUUGUACCUAUACAAUUUUUUUUAUAUAUACAUGCUUGUGCAAAUUAAUUAUGAAUUAAUCUCACUUAUCACAAAUUUAUUACUUAAUUAAUCUUUCUGUUUCAAUUUAUGUGACAUUAUUUUCAUGCAUAUUAAUAUUUUUUUAAAAAAAUAAAAAUAAAUAAUAACUCAUAUUUGAAAGUAUUUAAUUCUAAAUUUCUUAUUUUUACUCCUUAAUGAGAAGCUUUUAUAAUCAUACAAAUAAUAUUUCAGAUAUACUUAUUAUAACCCCAAGUUUCAACAGUACAUAAUAUCCAGUUCUUUUCUUAACGUCAAUUAAAUUAUGUCACGUAAACUGAGAUAUGAAAUUAUGAUAACCUAACCUCGAAUGCAAAUAAAAUAUUGCAUGCAUGCAUCCUUUAAAUGAAAGGUUUUUGGUUGUGCUAAAUAUUAUUAUACUAUUUACUGGCUAGUAUGAAGUUUUGUGUUGUGGUAUAAUAUAUAAAUAUAUUCUUUAAUUUAGCUUUAUCUGGCAUCUAUGUUCUCCAACUCUAAGUGUGCAUAAGUAAACACUUAAACUUGUAUAAAGUUAAACAAGUAGACAUAUCCGUCCAACUUGACAUCCUACGUGACAUCUAUAUGACGCCUACAUGUUGUAUUAUGUUACGUAUGACAUAUGUGUCAACUUAUUCAACCUUAAUGAGUUACAUACUUAUUUGGAGUUAAGUUAAGCUCAAAAUCCAUGUGUGGUUAGUGGUUACUAGUACUUAAUUACUAGUGAUCUCCUUAUUAUUUUAUUAGUUUGUAGUCAUAAUACAUAAAUGUGUCUUUUAGCAUUUUAGUUUAGCCUCAACUGACAUUUAUGCCCUUCAAUUUUGAUUGUGCACAAGCAAACACUUUAAAGUAUUCAAAAGUUGAACAACUAGACACAUGCAUCCUAUGUGGCAUCCUACGUGACAAUUCAUGUCCUACCUGACAUCAUACGUGCAUUAUAUCACAUAGGACGUGUGUGUCUUCUUGUUCGAUUUUAUACAAGUUUAAGUGUCCACUUGUGCAUACCCAAAGUUGGAGGGAUUAGAUGCUAAUUGAAGCCCAUCACAUAGGAUGUGUGUGUUUACUUGUUCAGUUUUAUUCAAAUUUAAAUGUCUGCUUGUCAACACUUCAAUUUGGAGGGCAUAAAUGCGAAGUAAAAUUAAGUUAAAAGAAAUAUUUAUAAUUAUGCCUUAAUCAUAAUGUUAAUAAUUCUGUGAUGUUUAUAUAUAGGCACCUUAUAUAUAUGCAUAUAUGUGAUUGGGCUACUAAAGUAAAUGGUGUAGGAGAAGAAUUGGGAAUAAGAUUAGUAAGUCCAAUUCCAAAUACUUGUGGUAGAAAAUGCUAUUAUGAUGCAAAAAUGUAGAUGGGCAUGCUUUGACUGGUCUUUUCUAUUUUUUUUUAUUUCUUCAUCGAUCCCCGGUAUCCAUAUUGAAGCUCGACGUAAGUCGGAAAGCGUUCUCUAUCAAGAAUUUUUCUAUACCCAGAAUUUAAAACUCAAGACCUCUGAUUAAGGAAGGAGUAACUCAUCUGCUACACAUCCGUUGGUGGUGCUUUGAUUGGUCUGAACUUAUGUGGCCCAUUCAAUUGAUUCAAGCCUCUAUGCCUGUGUAAUGUUUUUUUUUUUCACAAUAAAAUUCUAGCUCUUGUUAUGUUAUGUGCUACAAUGCUAGAAUAUUGUAAAUAAUGGUUGUUGGCAUACAUAUGUACUCCCUUUUUUAUGACAAAGUGAAAUAAAAGUAUGUCAUCGUUCUUUGUUAACUAGAGGUUUCAGAUUCGAAAUUGAGAAAAAAGGCAUGAAAGUAGAUGACAUUUAUGCUAUUUUUUAAUAGAAUCAAAGAGAUAUAUAUAGUAGCAUAAAAGUCACAAAUUUAAGAUGAUUCCUUUAAAGCAACAACAACAACAACAACAACAUACCCAGUGAAAUCCCACUAGGUGGGGUCUGGGGAGGGUGGAGUGUACGCAGACCCUGCCACUACCUCGUAGAGGUAGAGAGGCUGUUUCCGAGAGACCCUCAGCUCAAGUACAUCAAAACCAAGUAACAAGCGAGGAACACAUUGUGUAAAACAUCACAUCCAUUAAGAAGAUUCCUUUAAAGCAUGUUUCAUUAAAAUUCCACCAAAUAAUCUUCACACAAAUCUCAUAUGCUUUGGUAGUUUUUCAUCUAACAAUCAACAUAUACAUGAUGAAAUCAAUGAUAUCUAUAAUUUUUACUAUAUUUUAGUACCAUAUUAUAAAAAUUUUAUUCAAAGACAAAUCCAUUUUCAGUUUUUUCAAGUAUAAAAGACAAUCCUAAACACAUAUAUACCAAAAUGUUUGAUAAAAUUGAAGUGUUCAUAGAGAGGUUAAAAAUGAGAAGAAAUAGGAAAAGAUAAAAAAAGAAGACGGAAAGAUGGCAAAAAGGAAAGGCUAAAUAAAGGAUAACAUCAUUGAACAUUUAUAUGUUAUAAAUAAGAACCCCUAAAAAAAGCAUUCAUUUUCCAAAGAUGAAGCUAACAUUGAAAAAGCAAAAUAUACUAUUAAUAUGCCAAAAUACACAAUUUUCUUUCCUCCUCUUCUUAUCUUCACCAAAUUUUCAUUCUGAAUCACUUUCCAUGCUUCCCAUAGCUUUCAAUCCUCUUGGUUUCUACACAAAAAAAUAACAUCAUAAUAUGUUAUUAUAAUGAUAAAAUACACCCUUGUCAAGAAGUAUAUAUGUUGCUCAAACGACAUGUGCGUGUUGGAUCCUCCAAAAGUAGUGCAUUUUUGGAAGAUCUGACAGGAGUGCGUGCGAUCUUUCAAAAGUAGAGUAGUGCAUUUUUUAAGGAUCUGACACGGGUGCGUGUUGGAUCCUCCAAAAGUAGUGUAUGUUAGGAGGAUUUGACACACAGGUACGUGUGAUCCUCCAAAAGUAGAGUAGUUCACUUUUGGAGGAUCUGACACGGGUUCAUGUUGGAUCCUCCAAAAGUAGUGUAUAUUAGUAGAGUAGUGCAUUUUUGGAGGAUCUGACAUGAGUGCAUACAAUAAAAGAGAGCAAGUGCAAUACCUUCUUAGAGGUUUUCUUCUCUCUAACUUCAUACCUUUCUUGGCACAAAUCUUGCAACCAUGUACCAGGUUGCACCAACUACACACAACAUAUCAAGAAAUAUUUAAAUGACAAAAGUCCAAUUCUUGGAUCACACAUUUUGAAUUUGAAGUAAAGAGACUUACAAGAAUGGUUCUUUGUGUCAACUUAGCCCUUUUCUUAGGCCUUUGAGGAAGCUUGCAACCUUUCAUUGCCAUAAAAUCUUCUUCUUUUUCUUUACUUGACAAUGUGAUCACCAAUUUUGGCCAAACCAUCUUUUUCUUUUCCUCCCUUGCUUCCAUGAACAGCUUGCUACUAUCGUCCACGCCUACCGACCCUCUCGUCGUAUAAUACCGGUCCUCCUUCUCAGGGGAUGACACUGAUAUCUUACGAUGCUCAUUUGCGUUAGAACUAUUCACACCCAAAUCCCUGACAAAACAAGAACCACUAAAUUUUAGUACUACAAUCGUUUACUUUUCAGGCAACCAAAUCGAAGAUUUUUACCAUUUUAAGACUUUGUGCUCAAAAGGUAAAAUACUACAACAUGAAAUACCUCUAAACCCUUACAAAAACUAAGAAAAUCAGCAAAUCAAUGACUGAAAUUGUAGUACAACCAUCAUUUACUUUUCAAGUAACCAAAUCGAUGAAUUUUUCCGUUUUAAGACUUGGAAUCUUCAGCAAACAGCAAUAUUGUUCUCAAAAGGUAAAACACGACAAAAGGAAAUACCUCUAGUCCCUUGCAAAAACUAAGAAAAUCAGCAAAUCAAUAACUGAAACUGUAGUACUACAAUCUUUUACAUUUCAGGUAACCAAAUCGAUGAAUUUUUCCGUUUUAAGACUUGGAAUCUUCAAUAAACAGCAAUAUUGUGCUCAAAAGGGAAAACACCACAACAGGAAAACUGGUAUAUGAGGUUGAAAAACUGGUAGAGAACCACAAUUCAGCACAAGAUAUAUUAAAUGAUGAAUUGGAUGGCAUGGAUGGAUUGGAUAUGCCGGACUGAAAUUUGAAGUAAUAGCUUCACCAGAAACAAUCUGGUUCAUUCUCAAGUAUAAUUACCAGCUCCAAAACAACCAAUCUUCACAUCUAAUGUGUUUACAAACCAAUCUCAACCAAACCUAAAGUCGAAAACUUUGAACUUCCUUUCCUUCUAAUGUACAUAUAACACAUCAAAUCGUCGCAUAAUUCAGGACAAAUACACCUCAAUUUGAUACACAAAAAACCAACAAAUCAAUUUUCCAUACAAUGGACUUACCAUAACCCCAAAACACAAUCAAAGAAUGAAUCUUUACAUCAAAAUCUUGAUAUAUACAACAAAUCUCAACCAAACAGCAUCUAAAGAAACCAAAAGUAGUCAUAAUUUGACAUAAAAAUCAAUUCUUUAACACAAAUGAGGCAUUUUUUCCACUCAAAUCUUCACUCUUUAAGUUUUCUUAACAAUAAAAAAUAUGAUUUUUUUUGGUUACCUGUUAAGCCUAUGAGGAGAAGACACAUGAAGAGGAAGAUGACCAGAUUCCUUGUUAUUAUCAACAACUCUAGAUGUAAUUUUCUUCUUCACCACAAGACUUCUUCCUCCAUCAGAUUUCCCAUUUGAAGUUGAAUCUUUCACCUUAAAACACCUAAGUCUUUUUCUGUUUCCCCACUGUAAUUUAUCCAUAUCUACAACAACCCCACAAAAUCAAAUUCAGAUAUUAACAAGAAAUUGAACAAAAAAACUAGAUUUUGAAACAGUAAAAAGACUGACCUCAAGAUCUAUGGGUUAGAUACUGAUACUCCCAGCCAGAUUUUAUCAAAAAACUCUGCAACAACAUAAAAAAAUAAUCAAAUUCCAUUAACAAAAACUGGAAAAACACAUAAAGAUUGAAACAAACAAACAAAAGAUAGUAAAUUUACAAAGAGAUCAUCUUUUCUUCUUUUCCUUCUCCUUCUUCUUUAGCCUUAGUGACUAUCAAAAAUAUGAGAUUUUUAUUGAAAAAUUCAAUGAGUUUUCCAAUAUAUAUACAAAGAUCAUCUCUUUUUCCCCUAAAUAUGAAAUGGGGUUCUUGAAUUUUCCUCAAAACAGGUGCACUUGUCUUCUAUACAAGUGUUAAAUCUCUGUGUCUUUUUGCUACUCUCUAACCCCCUUUUCUUUUCCUUCCCACUGUUUUCUGGUUUUUUGUAAUUUUCCCUUCUUCUUUUUUCUUUUUUGAGUGGGGUGGGGUGGGGUGGGGGUGCGGGGUAGCGGGGUAUUUGAGUAGAUUUAAGUGAGACAAAUCUUGGCCAUUGGAUGUUGAAUGGAUGGCUAGAUGAGUUUUCUUGGUUUUGUUGGGUUGUUUUUUUCCCUUCCCAUUGUUUUAAUUUAUUACCUCAUAGCACUUGUGAAUAUCUUAAAAAAGAUUUUCCCAAUGGACUAAUAUAGAAGAAAGAUUAAGUGAGUAGUGAGGUGAUUUCGAUAAAAUUUUAGUAGCUCAAUUGGUUGGCUGUUUGAACUUCCAUCUUAUUGGUGAGGGUUCGAUUUGAUAUUUUGAUAGAAAAUUUUGUUGUUUGCAAUUGAGAUAUUAUACAAUGAUUAAACAACACAAAUUUAUUAGUUUAAGAUUUAAUUAUGUGUCUUUAUUUUAAUUUUUUUUAAAUUAUAUUUCGUAUUAUAUUUAUUUUGUCAGAUAUAUACAUAUCUAGUGCACUUAGAUAUAUGUAUAUUGGAUAUAUGCAACUCAAAUUAGAUGGAUUUUUUUCUAGAUAGACUUUAUUCAAGCGUGAUUCACAUGUAUUUAAAAAUUAUUUCAUUGUUUAACAUCUAAUAUAAUAUCAAACAAGACUAUAUAGAGAAGUUUUGACUAAAUUAAAGUUUGCAUUCAAGAUCAACAAACUAGACUAACUAGAGAUGUUGGUGUAGCACCCAUAUUCAAGAGGAUAUAUUUUUGCUUAAUAAAUAAUACUAAGUACGUCCAAUGCCCAACGUUUGAAGCUCGCCUAACAGAUCUUACACAUAUUAUAUGUUAAAAUCUUUAAUUAACAUUGUUGACUCUCAUAAUUCUUGAAUAAAUGAAUGAUACGUAAUAAUUUUUUAAUCUAUAGAGAUAUGAAGGUUAAGAGUAACUCAAAUAACAAGUUGUAGUAUCACAUAUUUACUAUUUGGUAACACUGUGAAAGUGAUUAUAUAUUACCUAACAUUUCUAAAAAUACGUAGCGAAAUUUUACUUUUUCAUUUAUCAUUGGUCUUAAUGGUUUUGUCAUAUGUCUCAAAAUUAUCAUAUUUUAUUUAGCUAUUUGAAAGUGAUUUUAAUUUUAUUCAUGAUGGAGUGAAGUUUUCACUAUAAUACUAGUAAGUUUUAUUGAUUAUUUUCUUUAAGGGAGGAAAACGGUAAAAAAAAUAGUUUUAGAAAUAAUGGUUCUUCUUAUUAUUAGAAAGUUAAGAUAUUAGAUUAUUUACACUUGUAUAGUCAUGUUAGAAGUUUUAUUUUCUAUGAAUUUCCUUAAUCAUGUUUGUAAUUAUUUCAAACUAUUGAUGUACUUUAAUAAUUUUGUGUUAUUAAAUUAUUAUUAUACUAUAUUAUAAAUUAAAAAUUUAAAAAUCCAUAAGGGUUAGGCCCUAUGUCUCAAGGCUUACACCUCGCCCUAUACUAAGUAAACGCUCCACCUCACAUUCCUGCCUUUUAAAACACUGUUUGAGUCUAAUAUGAUUUUUUUAAAAAGAACAAAUUUGUAUUCAAUGCCAACAAACUAAUUUUACUAGAAAAGUUAAUUUAGCACACAUAUUCAAAAUGCAUGAGAGGACAUAUUUUUAAUAAUAUUUAUUUUCUCAACCCCUUCUCAUCCCUCCCAUUUGAUGAACAUUUGAGUUUGAUUUGAAUUAAAAAUAAAUAAAUUUGCAUUAAGUAUCAACAAACUAGUCUUACUAAAAACAAAAUGAUGUAGCACACAUCGUGCACAAAACCAUCCUCUUUUAGGUUAUUUAACAAAUACUUGCUUGCUAUUACACCUAUAUACAAUUCAAUUGAAAAAUUACAAUUAUAAAUACCUCAAUAUAACACAUGAUUAAAGAGCUAAUGAUUUGUCAAGCUUGAAUAAAAUUCAUUAGUGCAAAAUAAUAAGAGCACACUUCAAUUAAUUGAAUACUAAGCAUACUUAGUUGGAUGUUAGUUUUUUUCCUUGCUGGAUACUACAAGAACCAAACAUAAUUGUACAAAUCAUGAGGGACCAAAAUGAGAAAAAAUAACUUUUUCAGAUCUGUCGUAUUUUAUAUAUAAAAAGAGCACAAAACUAAAAACUAGUUGUAAGUGAAAUGAUCCUAUAUAUGUGUAUUAUGUAAACUAACACAUAUGCUACAAUAAUAUUAUACGAUCUAAUACGUAGAAUACAUCAUUCUAUGUAGCUUCGCUCAACUAGCAAAGAUUGAGGGACUUGUAUCUUAGGUCACAACUUCGAGCCCUAUGUCAUGCGAACUACACUUAAGUAUCUAAAGAAUAAGGAAAAGCUAAAAUAAAAAUAAAAAAAGGAAAACAUCAAUUUCCAAUACACAAAUAUUUAUGCAAUAAGAACACAAAAAAAAUGAAGCAUUCAUUUUCCAAAGGUGAGCUAAAAUUAAGAAAAAUAAUAUGUCAAAAUACACAAUUUUUCUUUCCUUCUCUUUCCCCCAAAAAAUAAAGUACAGAAGAUCCAAAUGUUUCUUUCCAUCUUCUUCGCCCUUCAUCUUCAACUAUCCCAAAAUAAUUCCCAAAAAUCAAUCUUGGCUUUACACUGACACUGUCUUUGUUUCCUUAACUCACUCUUAUCUUCACCACAUUUCAUUCUGAAUCACUUUCCAUGCUUCCCAUAGCUUUCAAUCCUCGCGGUUUCUGAAAAUAACAUCAUAAUGUUGUUAUAAUAAUAAAAUGCACCCUCGUCAAGAACUAUCAUGUGCGUGUUGGAUACUCCAAAAGUAUAGUAAUGCAUUUUUGGAGGAUCUAACACGGAUGCAUGUUGGAUCCUCCAAAAGUAACGUAGUGCAUUUUUGGAGUGGAGGAUCUGACACGGGUGCAUGAGAUCCUCCAAAAGUAAAGUAGUGCAUUUUUGAAGGAUCUAACACAGGUCCGUGUAAUAAGAGGAGAGGAGGUGUAUUACCUUCUUAGAGGUCUUCUUCUCUCUCACUUCAUACCUUUCUUGGCACAAAUCUUGCAACCAUGUACCUGGUUGCACCAACUGCACACAACAAGAUAAAGAGACUUGUUUAACUUGGAAAGAAUCAAGAAAUAUUUCAAUGACAAAGUUUUCAAUUCUUGGUUAACACAUGACUUACAAGAAUGGUUCUUUGUGUCAAUUUAGCCCUUUUCUUAGGUCUUUGAGGAAGUUUGCAACCUUUCAUGGCCAUAAAAUCUUCUUCUUUUUCUUUACUUGAUAAUGUGAUGAGCAAUUUUGGCCAAACCAUCUUUUUCUUUUCCUCCCUUGGUUCCAUCAACAACUUGCUACCAUCGUCCACACCUACCGACCCUCUCGUCGUGUAAUAUCGGUCCUCCUUCUCGGGAGAUGACACUGAUGUCUUACGGUGCUCAUUUGCGUUAGAUCUAUUCACACCCAAAUCCCUGCCAAAACAAGAACCACCAAAUUGUAGUACUACAAUCUUUUACUUUUCGGGUUGACUUGAAAUCUUCACAAAACAGCACUAUUGUGCUCAAAGGUAAAACACCACAACAGGAAAUACCUCUAGUCCCUAACAAAAACUACGAAAAUCAGCAAAUCAACGACUGAAAUUUGAAGUAACAGCUUCACCAGAAACAAUCUGAUUCAUUCUCAAGUAUAAUUACCAGCUCCAAAACAACCUAUGCUUCAAUAUAGCUCACAUCUAAUGUGUUUACAAACCAAUCUCCCAACCUAACAUAAAGUCGAAAACUUUGAAACUUCCUUUCCUUCUAAUGUACAAGUAAGAAAUCAAAUCGCGUAAUUCAGGACAGAUACAGCUCAAUUUGAUAUACAAUAAACUUAUUAACACCCCUAUGCAAUCAAAGAAUGAUUCUUUGCAUCAAAAUCUGGACAUAUACAAGCAAUCUCUACCAAACAACAUCUAAAGAAACCAAAAGUAGUCAUAAUAUGACAUAAAAAUCAAAUCUUUAACACAAAUGAGGCAUUUUUUUCCCCUCAAUCUUCACUCAUAAGUUUUCUAAACAAUCAAAAAUAUGAUUUUUUUUGGUUACCUGUUAAGUCUAUGAGGUGAAGACAUGGGAAGAGGAAGAUGACCAGAUUCCUUGUUAUUAUCAACAACUCUAGAUGUAAUUUUCUUCUUCACCACAAGACCUCUUCCUCCAUCAGAUUUCCCAUUUGAAGUUGAAUCUUUCACCUUAAAACACCUAAGUCUUUUUCUGUUUCCCCACUGUAAUUUAUCCAUAUCUGCAACAACCCCACAAAAUCAAAUUGACAUAUCAACCACAAAUUGAAGAAAAAGACUAGAUUUUGAAACAGUAAAAACAAGAAAACAAAGACUGACCUCAAGAUCUAUGGUUUAGAUACUCCCAAACCAGAUUUGACUCUGCAACAACAUAACCAAAAUCUCAAGUAAGAAGUGGAAAAAACACAUAAAGAUUGAAAUAAACAAACAAAAGAUAGGAACUUUACAAAGAAACAAUCUUCUUCUUCUUGAAUAUCCACAGUAACUCUAAAAAAGAUGAGAUUUUUAUUGAAGAAUUCAAUGUUUUUUUUCCUAACAAAAUUCCAAUAUGUAUUCAAAGAUCAUCUCUUUUUCCAUUAAAAAUGAAAUGGGGUUCUUGAAUUUUCCUCAAAAACAGGUGCACUUUGUCUUCUUUACAGUAGAUAAUCUUUCUGUCUUUUUGCUACUCUCUAACCCCCUUUUCUUUCCCCUCGCACAGUUUUCUGGUUUUAAGUAAUUUUUCAACUUUUUUUUCUUUUUCUUUUUUAAGGGGAUGGGGUGGGGGUACGUGGGGUGGGAGUGGGGNNNNNNNNNNNNNNNNNNNNNNNNNNNNNNNNNNNNNNNNNNNNNNNNNNNNNNNNNNNNNNNNNNNNNNNNNNNNNNNNNNNNNNNNNNNNNNNNNNNNNNNNNNNNNNNNNNNNNNNNNNNNNNNNNNNNNNNNNNNNNNNNNNNNNNNNNNNNNNNNNNNNNNNNNNNNNNNNNNNNNNNNNNNNNNNNNNNNNNNNNNNNNNNNNNNNNNNNNNNNNNNNNNNNNNNNNNNNNNNNNNNNNNNNNNNNNNNNNNNNNNNNNNNNNNNNNNNNNNNNNNNNNNNNNNNNNNNNNNNNNNNNNNNNNNNNNNNNNNNNNNNNNNNNNNNNNNNNNNNNNNNNNNNNNNNNNNNNNNNNNNNNNNNNNNNNNNNNNNNNNNNNNNNNNNNNNNNNNNNNNNNNNNNNNNNNNNNNNNNNNNNNNNNNNNNNNNNNNNNNNNNNNNNNNNNNNNNNNNNNNNNNNNNNNNNNNNNNNNNNNNNNNNNNNNNNNNNNNNNNNNNNNNNNNNNNNNNNNNNNNNNNNNNNNNNNNNNNNNNNNNNNNNNNNNNNNNNNNNNNNNNNNNNNNNNNNNNNNNNNNNNNNNNNNNNNNNNNNNNNNNNNNNNNNNNNNNNNNNNNNNNNNNNNNNNNNNNNNNNNNNNNNNNNNNNNNNNNNNNNNNNNNNNNNNNNNNNNNNNNNNNNNNNNNNNNNNNNNNNNNNNNNNNNNNNNNNNNNNNNNNNNNNNNNNNNNNNNNNNNNNNNNNNNNNNNNNNNNNNNNNNNNNNNNNNNNNNNNNNNNNNNNNNNNNNNNNNNNNNNNNNNNNNNNNNNNNNNNNNNNNNNNNNNNNNNNNAGUGGGGCGUGGGGGUUGGGGUGGUGGUUUAUUUAAGUAGAUUUAAAGUGAGGCAAAUCUUGGCCAUAUUGAAUGGACGGCUAGAUGUGUUUCACUCCCUCUAAGUGAUGGAUGAAGACUUUUGGGAGUUUGUGGAGAAAAAUUACUCAAAGUUGAGCCCAAAUGAAUCAUCAAAAUGAGUUGGGCCUAAAUGUUUUGUUGAGUUUGGACAUGGAUUUUGCGCUUGGGAAGGGGCUAGGGUUAGGUUAAGAGAAGAAAAUUUGGGCUUAGGGUUUCAAACUUAGCUCAAGUCUUAAGUUGUCAUUUUGAGCCUCAUGGAGUUUUGAAAUUGUAAUGUUUUGAUUUCUUGAUGAUGGUUAGUUGAAUGCUAAAAUAUCUCUAAGUCUAUAGAUAAAAAGUUGUGAGUCCAGUUCUUACUGUUGAUGUAGAUGUUGCUUAAUGACCUCCGGUGCAACGUCUAGGGGUGCAAGGAAACUAUGGAACUAGUUAGUAGAUGUUGAGACGAUCGUUUGCUUACUUCUUUCUUGAAAUUGAAUUUCUUUCAAUAUGUUGUCUAUCGUUAUCAACUUUCUCUCUUAUCAUUUAUAAAAGGAUUCGACCAUGAUCCCAUGCAAAGUUCUUUUGCCCAAAUCCAUGAUCAAAAUUUCAAAGUAUUUUUCACUAGACGAUGACUCUCUAAUAAUAUUAGUUCACUAAUAUGAUUAUAAUUUUGUUAGUUUCUCAUUUAAUUAAUCAUGUGUAUCUAAUAAUUGAUAUAUGAAUAGGGAACUUUCAAGGAAAUUGUUUCAUACAACUCCAUGUUCAACUUAUAUAUAUAUACCUUGGAGAGAAUCAACAACAACCCAUCUCAGUAGGGCCGGCUCUUGCCUUUCUAAAAUAAGGCUUAUGCCUUAGCGCCCAAAUUUUGGGGGCCCUAAAUAUUAUUAAGAAUAAAUUAUGUGUUAAAUUUUUAUAGAAAAAAUUGAUUAAUUAUGAUAAAAAUAUAUAUUAUUUUACCCAUUUUAACAUCUUUUAUUCUUUGUUAAAAAUAAAAAUUAAUAGUGAAAAGUGUUGAACAAAGUGAAUUACAAUUUUUUUUAUUUCUUUUUAAAUUUUAGUUUCAAACAUUACAACAAGCAUAUUAAAAUGGUGUAUACCAAGCCAUCAACUUCUUGAAUCAGAUUCUAUGAUUCUAACUCUUAUCUUUAUCUAAUAUUUGUCAACUUAUUACUUAUAAAAUUAUGUUAACAAUUCAUAUAAUAAUUGCCUCAUUGGAAGGAUGUUUUUCAAUGUUGAGUUGAUAAAAUCUUACCUAAAAUCAAUAACUGAAAAAACAAUAUUAAAUACUAAUAAUUUUCAUCUAAAUAGUGUAAGAAAAAUAAAUUUUGAAUAAAUAUGUAUACGAAGUUUUUAUUUAUAUUUUAAAUCUCAAAUUGAAAUUUCGCUUUAAGCCCCAAUUACGUUGAGCCGCCUGCAUCUCACACACUCUUGAUGACCCCCACCAAAAGGUGAAACAAAGAAAAAAAAAUAGUAGAAGACAUGUAAUAAAUAAUAAUAGCAAUAUGGGGACCCUUUGAUACACAUGCAUGUCCUUGUAGUAUUCAUUAUUUCAUUUGGUUGUUUCUCAAACUUUUUAAAGGUAUAUAUUAUUUUGCUAGUCAUAUAAAAUUAUAUGGAAUAUAUUUUUCAUAUAUCAUCUAGGCUUAUUAUAAAAAGUUGAUGUUUUGUUGGUUUUUGAAAGAAAAAAAAAAGUGGCAGACCUACAUUAUAUUGAUUCCGAUGGAUGGUCAUGAAACAAACACUAUAUCACUUCUAAAAUAUCAUUAUUAUUCAGCAAUUUUUCCGCAGAUAUUUUGAUUGAAUACAAUCAAAGCGACUCAAUACCUUUUAAAAUAAGGCAUCUGACUUAGGCUCCAAAAUUUGAAGGCCAAUUUUUUUUAGUAAUAAUAAAAUUAUUAUAAGCCCUUUUUAACAAAAUAAUAUACUAUAUCUUUUAAUUUUUUUUAGUUCAUUUCGAAACAUUAAAAAAUGUUUCUGUCUUUUUUGUCAAUUUUUAAAUUUAACCUCCACAUGAUAUGUUUUACACCACAAGAUUAAAAGAUGUUUUGGAUAUAUAUAUAUCUUUAGCUUAGGACCAUAGAAAAAAUAAAGUUUUUUAAUUAAAAAGAAAGAAAUAACAUUGCAUCUCAAAAAUAAAAAAAUAAUUAAAAAUUAGGCUUCGAUUGAUUUUUGGCUUUAGGUCACCAAUUAGCUUGAACCGCAACUGAAUACAAUUAAUGAGAAAGUAAGACAACAUAUUCAAUGGCUAUUGUCAUUAUUUGAGUCGGAAUAUGUUUUUCGGAUGAGUUGGUUCAGUGGAAAUACGAUUGAAAAAACAUAUUUUGUAACACAAAUUUUUUAUUGAUUCACAAUGAAACAUUUGAGGAAAAUUAUUAUAAGGAUUUAACAAGAAUCACUUAAAAUGGAGAUUUUUUUUAUCAAGCCCUAAUAUUGUUUAGUGUAAUAUAUUCUCACUAAUAUAUGCUAUAGAAUUAGGGUUUCUAUAACAAAAUGAAUAUAUCUAGUUACACUAAUUAAUUUGUAUAAAAUAUUUUGAAUAUGUAAAGUUGUCUAGUCUAGAUUAUACAUAACAUGCACAUAAUUCUUUAACUUGAUAAUGAUUGAGUUUAAUUUAGAGAUAGAUAUUGAGUUUGAAAAAUAAUACAAGUAAGAUUUAAUUAGCUAGAGAGUCAUUAUCCUAAUUAAUUAAACGAACAAUUUUUUAUUGACUAGUAGUUAUAAAAAUCAACUUGAGAAUAGAAAUUAAAUUUGGAGUGUUUGGUACAAACUUGACUUGCAAUUAAACACAACUAUUGGUCCGUAAACUAAUCAUGCAUGCAUGGAACAAAAAUUAAAAUUUCUAUAUAUAUAUAUAUGUGUGUGUGUUAAAACUUUUAAGGAUUGAUAAAAAAAAAUAUUAUUUUUAGUAUAUAUUUUGAUAACAUUGCUUUGAUUUUAGUUAAAUUUUUAAUAAGAGAUUUCGAAAAAUCUACGAUAGUAAUAUUUGCAUUAUAUUUCUCAAUGGUCAAUAUGUAGUUAAUCUUGGAAGAAUAAUCAAACGUUAUAAUUGAGCUAACUUUAAUUUGUAAAAUUGACAAAAGGUGGAGAAGUCUUUAUUGUUGAAACUUUAAUUUGAAAGGGAAGAAAAGCAAAGGACUAAAUUUAUUUUAUUUUUAAAAGGAAGAAAACAAAAGAUUAAUCUUUAAAGAAAGUAUUUUUAAAAAAUACUACUAAGGAUGACUGUUAAUUAAUUUGAUAUCGUUCAUAAUUUGACAUGCAUGAUUGUAAUUAUUAUGUUUAAACACGUAAAAAGAACAUUAUCAUAUGCAAUUAUCUUACCUUUGCUCAUGAACAUUAUCAUUCAAAAUUUGAAAUGAUUUUACCCACAAAUUAAUAGGUUAAGAUGUACAUUGGGUAAAAUUUUUUUUAUCUAAAAUCACCACCAAAAAUAAUAAUCUAAAACAUGAUAUAUAUAUUUGGAGUUGAAUUCAAGAAUUAUUGUUACAAGUUACUCUUUAUUUUUUCUUCAUUAUCCUCUUUACUUCGGAAAUAAACUUUACUUUAUGGGAUAAAACACUCUACCAAAGUAGAGAAGUGAUUUCAUUCUUAGGACUUAAUCAGAAAUAUGAUCUCUACCACGAUCUUCGAUAUAUAUAUAAUGUUACAAGUGACUAAUCAUGAAACUCUAUAUAUUCACACAAUAUAUAGAUCAUAGAUGUAUAAAUUGGCAUAUAAAACAAAUAUCAAGAAAUAUGAGUAUAUAAUUCAUGUGUAGAGUGGGAACCCUUCUUUUUGAAAAAAAUUGGAGCAUAAAUUGCAACUUUAGUGUCAUUUCCUAACUACCUUUUUGUUUGAAAAAAACAAUCAAAAGAAUUAUUUUUCUAAAGGUUGCCUUAUAAGUAAAAUUGCACAGAUUAAAGGGGUUUGCUUUAAGAUAUAAAAAAAAAAAGAGUAAAGGCAGAAGAAGGAAAUUUUAUGAUAAUAAAAAUAUAUUAAUUAAACAAUGAGCUCUUGUUUUUUUGUGAUUUUGUUUGAUAGUGUUUGUAUUUAUAAGAGUAAUAAAAUAAAUUAGAACUUGAAUGUCUAUAUAUGAAUCAAAUAUUCUUCCGUUUCUUUUAUUUGUCACUUAUUUCUAAAAUAAAUUUUUAUUUUUAUUUGUUAUGUUUGACUGAUCAAGAAAAAAUAAUUAUUUUUCAUGUUUUACCCUCAGUGUUAAAUACUUAUUCUUCAAAUCAUUUUUUCAAGACCUAAUACUAAACAUCAUUUAAUAGAAAUAGUUUGAUAAAAUACUUCUAUUAAUAAUUAUUUUUUUAAUGGAUAUGCCAAGUCAAACUGUGAUAAGUAAAAAUGAACGGAGCGAGUAUAAUAUUGAGACCAAUAUGAUUCGACGAAUAGUCUUUUAAAAACCCCAAAAUUAUGGCGAUAAUUAAUCUGGAAUUAUGUGAAAAUGGAGAUCCCUAUUUAUAUUGAUUUAGCAUAUUAGUGUAAAUCAUUCAAAAAAUAGUUGUUGAAUAUAUAAUUAAAUAUUGAAUAGUUUUAAUGAGAUUUUUAGUUUCAUCAUUAUUUUUGGUAGAUUAAAAGUUUCUUUGACUUAUGGAUGCAUUAAUUAUUUUGAUGCGACUCUUAAUUUUCUUGUCAAAUUUAAUGGAUUACCAUUUCUAUAUUUACAUUACACUAAUUAAAGUGCAUAAUGUAUUAUGUGGUGUUACAGCCUAACUAAUUGAGUGAUGAAACAUAAUGACUUUUCUAUUGUUACCAACCAUUCUAACGAUAUAGUUAUAAAUAUUUUUUCAUUCUUUAUAAAAAAUAAUAAAAUUUGAGCUCUACUUGAUAGUUAAUAUAAAGUUAUAUUUGUUAUAAAAUAUUUUAUCCAUCAAUAUGACUAUGAAAGAUCAACGUUAUAUUACGAAUUCAAAAUUUAAUCAAACCCUAAUAUAAAUAUCAAAUUCUGAAUAAACAUAAAAGACUUUUCUAUUGAUAAUAUAUACCUUUCCUAAUAAUAACAACAGUACUAAUAUUUUUGGUUAAUAUUCAAAGCAUUCAACAUCUAGAAAACGACCAAGUAACAACAGAUCAAUUAAAUUAUAAGUUUUUUUAAAUUUGUUUUGUUUUAAAAAAAUUACAUUUUAUUAUAUUUGAAUUUAUGUUCACAUUCCUAUUUUUAAAAUUUCAACUUUUUUAUUUUUCUAAUAUUUAUGUGGCAUGCGCAUGUACUGUUCACACACUCUUUUAUCAUAUAUAUAUAUAUAUAUUCAAAAAAUAAAUAAUUACAAUUAACAAAACGUCAAAAAAAUACCAACUCAUACCUACUUUUUAUUUGCCUAUUUAUACUACCUUUCACAAAGUGAACGUCAAAUAUUACGAUGGAACGAUUAAUACUCAUUUAUCUUUAAUUACGUAUUUUAAUGAGUCGUAUUUUUAAUAGGGAGUGUUUUACUUUCAAAUCGGACCUCAAAACAAAAUUACUGAUAGAAAAUACAUAAAUAAAUUCUAAAAAAUAAAAUAAAAAAUAAAAAGUGUUGUUAAUAAGACAGCUUUGAGGUGGUGACCCACUAGUAUUUUUUUUAAAAAAAAUUCUUAGAUUAUAUUUUUAUUUUUUAUUUAAAUAAAAGCUGUACUUUAUAAAUCGCUGUUUGUACACUCUGUCAAAUUUUGGGCAGCGGGCAGCCUAUCCUUUAUUUGCUGUCACAGUUUACUUCUUCCGUUUCAUAUUACUCGGAUCAUAUUGACUUGGUAUAUUUAUUAAUUUUUUUAAUUAAAUAUAUAUUUUGUUAAACUAAUCUUAUUAUUGAUAUUUUAAAAUUCUAAAUUUGACAUUACAUGCAUUAUAUACUGUUUUCGUUUUAUAUUACUCAGAUCUUAUUGACUUGGUGUACUUUUUAAUUUUUUUUAAUUAAAUAUACAUUUUGUUAAGCUAAUCUUAUUAUUGAUAAUUGAUAUUUUGAAAAUUUAAAUUUGACAUUAUUUUGUAGUACUAAAAACUAUUCAUGAUUAUAUAUCCUUAGACAAUCGAUAUACUGAUUUGCCCUAGACAUAUUUGAUUGUGAAUUUAUUAGCCAAAAAAGUAUCUAUAAUAUAUUUCUAAGAAAAUGGUCAAAUCGUUGAGCAAUAUAUUUUUACAUACUACUAAUAUAUUGGGUUUACGAUCAAUUAGGAUGUAGGAAAUAAUAAUUGUAUUCAUAAUACAUAAAUAUAUUCUUUAAUCUAGUUUUAAUUAAUAUUUAUGUCAUCUAAUUUUGAAUGUGCUUAAGUAGAUACGUAAAUAUAAAUUUUAAUUAGCAAAUACACACAUAACAUAAUACACAUAUAAUGCUACGUAAAAUGUCAUGUAGAGCAUGAUUUGUCACAUAAAAUUCUAUUCAAAUUUAACUGUCUAAUUAUGCACCUCAAAAAAUUGAAGGCAUAAAUAUCAGAUGAGACCAAAUUAAAGGAAAUAUUUUGGAGAAUAUAUUAUGCCUUAAUUUUACAUGUAUAAUAUAUUAAAAAAUGUCUUUUAAUUUUAUUUCAACCGACAUUUAUGUCCUUCAACUUUGAGUAUGUGCAGAUAGAUACGUCAUUUGUGGUAUCCUACGUGACAUUUGAGGUCCUAUAUGACGUUAUACAUGUAUUAUGCCACAGCUCACAAAUAACGUGUAUAUUUAUUAACUUUAUACAUAUCCAAAAUUGAAAGACACAAAUAUCAUCAAAUUAAAAGACACGUUAAUAUAUUACGGAAUUUCAUUUUAUCUCACACUUUUUAAUAUAUUUCAAACGGGCAGCUCACCUGCCCGUAAUUAUUCUUCACUUUCACACAAACACCACACACUACUCAGCUAUAUAUAAAUCCCCAAUUUACCCCAAAAUCUCCCAAAUUCUCCAUUUCUUCUGUCAUUACAAUUUCUCUUUUAUUGUGCAUUUUGCUCUCUAAAACAAAAUUUCACUCACAUUUUCCCCAAAAAUUGAAAAAAAUGGAGGCUAUUAACAUGAAGAUCUUCGUUGUUGCAGUCAUGAUGAUGACGAUAAUGGCUAUCUCCGCCGUGAAAGGCGUCGCUGCCGCUGAUGCUCCGGCACCGGCACCGGCUUCCGACGCUACCGUCUUCGUCCCCGCCGUUUUAUCUUCAUUUGUUGCUCUUGCUUUUGCUCUUCUCUUCUAAGCUACUAUUAUGUUUUCUUUAUUCAUGAGGGUAUUUUCGUCAUUUUUUUUUUAAUUUGUGGGAGUUGAUUUUUUUGUUUGGGUGAUUUUAUGAUUUGUAUUUUGUUAGUUUUAUGUAUUUUUUUUGUGUAAUAUAAUUGGAAUAUUUAGUGAGUUUUUAGGUUAUUAUUAUUAUUUAUUAUUAAUAAUAAUUAAGAGAUAUUGUCAUCUUGAAUUCUAGUGUUCUCAUUUCCUUAAUUAUUUUUAUUUGAAAAAUUACAUUACAUUUGGCUUAGUUCAUUUUAAUAUAUGCUGGAAAAUAGUUAGUUAUUAAUUAUAUAUAUCGACUUUUAUACUAUCAGAUUAUCUUAAUUUGUUGUAGAAUACUAGAAUUCCACGCAACGAAGUUAUCUAUAGAUUUUAAAUGACUAAAUAGUGGUAAAAUUAUUUAAUUUUAAUCUUAGAAUUGUAUAAUGAUUUUCCCCUAGUAUUAUUCAUGAGCUAAAUUUGAAACUAUUUUUUGAAGUUUAAUAUUUAUUUAUUACUACUUCCUUAAAUGUGUACCAAAUUGCAAAAAUCUCAAUAAAGCAAGGGAACACUAUAAUCAAUUCAAAAUAAACAUUGAGAUAAAAAAAUAAUUGAAGAAAAAAGAACCUUUAUAAGCAUAAUAUUUGGACCAAAUAUACUUUUUAAACCUCUUUUGUUAUGUUAUUCUUUCUAGAAAGAAUUCAAAGCUUAGAAAAAGAACAUGUUGAGAAUGAUUCCACUAGCAACUUGCAAUGGAAUGUACAAUAGGCAUUUUAAUUUUAUUCUAAGAAAUGUGAAUUUCAAGUCUCCAAAGCAUAAAUUGCCUUCAAAGAAUUAAAUCUAGAGAUAAAGAGCGCAACGCAUAAUCUAUGAAUCAAAUUCUAUAUUAUAAAUUUAGAUUCUAAUAAAGACAAAAAAUUGAUAUUAUAACAUUAAAAAGUGAAACUCCCAAAACAUAAAUUUGUAGUUUUAAAAACUCAAAUUGUUAUUUGUUGUAGAUCUACUGAAUUGGAUGCUUGAAUCUAUUUCAUCGCAAAUAAUGGGAUAACGAGUCUUCCUACAUGACCGAACACCUAAUUCUAAACAAAGUUACGGAAUUUACUGCCACAUCCUUUUUCGAUAGAUUUGAAGUACUUCAUAUGAUAUUGAGCACAUUUUCCGUCUCUUCCCAAGAAAGGAAAUUGAAUAGAUGGCACAAAUUUAGAUUUUCUUUAUUGAGUAGAGGCGUUUUACCCGCCUUUUACUCUACUUGCUUCUAACUUCCUAUGAGCCCAUACUUUUGAGAGAAAUAAUUCUCUUGAAAUCAAUUGAUGGUGACUCUUAGAAAUAUACAUGUGAACUAACAAGUUGUGAUCUUAUUGGAAGUUCAAUGAAAGGUCACCAAAUUAUGAAAACUAUAGACAACUCAUUUCAUAAAUCUAUAGCUACCAAAAUUGGUUACUUGGUGCUCUCAAUAUAUUUAUAUUUAUUUAUGUCUUGUUCAUAUAUGAGUAGGUGGUUUUACCAAAAUCUCAUAAAUAAAGUUUCAGGUAUAUGUAUUAAUUAUCAUUCCUAUUUUCUUUGAAACAAAUUAAUGAGAGGUCUCUCUUCAAUUAGUUACUAAAUUUGUUUGUUUAUUUUUUCUGGGUUUUUUUUAUUCGGUGUUCAGUGUCUGUAUUGGAGUCCACUUAGAGUCUCAUUUGCGGGAAAGGUUUUCAUACCAAAGAUUUUUUCAUAUCCAGGACUCGAAUCCGAGACCUCUAGUUAAGGGAGGAACAAUAUCAUCCGCUGCAUAACAUCCUUUGAUGCUUUUCUGAUUUCUUUUCAAUGUAUGUUAAUUGAGUGUUUUUUGAAUAUUGUCUAUAGUUACCAAAUAAAUCCACUAAACACCAUUAUUAAACAAAUCCUCAAGAAAAGAUAAAAAUUUCAACUUAACAUCUUGAUUAAAUAUGUGAUUAUUGUUAAACCUAGAACCCCACUAAUUAAAACCACCACAUGGCUACAAAAGAGAAGAUACUCCUCUUAAUCAAUAUGCUAACAUCUUUAUUAAAAAUAUGAUUAUUGUUAAGUAAAAGACAAGUUUUAGUUUAACACACAAAAAAAAAGGACACCUGGAAAUACACUAGCAACAAAAGAUGAUGUCUAUGCAUUCAAGGGUGUGGUUGGUUGAAAAUCAUAAGAUCUCAAGUUUAAAUUUCAACGAAUUUUUUUUUAGGACUUUUCUUUGUGUUUGUCCAAGUGAUUUAGUGCAUAAACCAAUACCUGUCUAAUGGGAGGUAACAUGUACCACAAACAAUGAAUUUACAAUAUGUUCAAGCAGACUCAAACACCAUAAUUAUGAAAAGAAAACAUGUUCUCCAUAUGGUAUUUCAUUUGGAGUGCACAUGGGAGUAAAUAAUGAAAGAGAAGGCCUAGACAUAUGCCUUUCUCUGGGCAGAGUCAGGUAGGACCGAGGAGUUCAUCUAAACCUUCUCUAGAGAAAAUUAUAUCGUUGUUAAAAUUAUUUUUUAUGUAUAUACAUUAGAUAUUGAAUCGCUUUUAGCUUUUUCAUGUGUUCACUUCCUUCAUGUUUUGAAAUUCUUUAAGUGAAAAUCGUGGCUCCACUUCUACUUUUUGCUUAAAUAUAUGAUUAAUCCAUCCUUCAAUAAUUCUUCUUCAUCAUCAUCAUCAACAUGAUAAUACAUACUUAUUCAAUCCCCNNNNNNNNNNNNNNNNNNNNNNNNNNNNNNNNNNNNNNNNNNNNNNNNNNNNNNNNNNNNNNNNNNNNNNNNNNNNNNNNNNNNNNNNNNNNNNNNNNNNNNNNNNNNNNNNNNNNNNNNNNNNNNNNNNNNNNNNNNNNNNNNNNNNNNNNNNNNNNNNNNNNNNNNNNNNNNNNNNNNNNNNNNNNNNNNNNNNNNNNNNNNNNNNNNNNNNNNNNNNNNNNNNNNNNNNNNNNNNNNNNNNNNNNNNNNNNNNNNNNNNNNNNNNNNNNNNNNNNNNNNNNNNNNNNNNNNNNNNNNNNNNNNNNNNNNNNNNNNNNNNNNNNNNNNNNNNNNNNNNNNNNNNNNNNNNNNNNNNNNNNNNNNNNNNNNNNNNNNNNNNNNNNNNNNNNNNNNNNNNNNNNNNNNNNNNNNNNNNNNNNNNNNNNNNNNNNNNNNNNNNNNNNNNNNNNNNNNNNNNNNNNNNNNNNNNNNNNNNNNNNNNNNNNNNNNNNNNNNNNNNNNNNNNNNNNNNNNNNNNNNNNNNNNNNNNNNNNNNNNNNNNNNNNNNNNNNNNNNNNNNNNNNNNNNNNNNNNNNNNNNNNAAUAAUCCUAUCACAAACCCCCCCCCCACCCCACCCCAACCCACCCAUUCAAGCUUAUAAGUCAGAGAGUUUGCAAAUGCAGACCCCUUUGUAUAGAGUGUUAUGGAUGAAGUAAUCGCAAUGACAAGUGAUUAGAGACAUAGAACAGAAGAAGUCGAGAAUCAUCAGUUAUCUUUCAAAUCAAAGUAACGUUAGUUACCUUCUAAAUCAAAGUAGCGACAAGCCAAGUAUCACAGGCUGCAAGGUAAAAGAUGAAAGAUGAUGUUCCAAAUGAGUAACUUGCCAUUUUUACCAACACACAGUGUAACACUUUCUGUUGAUGCCAACAAACCAUCACAGACAAAUACAUGCAGUGUUACAAAGUCUCCCUCUUGUCAUCAUGUAGUAUACAUAGAAACCCUCUGUUCUCAAAAUUUACAAGAAAGCUGUUCAUAUUUCCACCUAAACUCUAAAAGCACAAGAUCUUCUGGUCUCUUGAGUAUAUUUAAAUUUUCUGAAAAAGAUAAGAUACAACACCGGGCAAUAACAGCUAACCCGAGGGGGAAGAAAUAACAGGGAAUGAAGAAGUAAGACGAUUCUACUUGCUGUAGAAGCCAGACUCUGAGUUCUAACUUGUUCGCUUUAGUGACAAUCUGAUGCAAGAGACGACGAGUAGUAGCUUACAAGUCUCCUGAGGGGGCUAUUCUUGCUGCUGAGGUCUCUCCCAGUGAAACUGAUGUCAAGGACGAAGCCCAAACUCGAGCAUUCCUAGCACCUUUAUGGAAGUUUCUCGUUUUGCAUAGCUUUAGCUUGCUCCAAGCCCUCUUGGGAUCAACUACGUGGAAGAUGCGCCCCAGAAUCUGCCUUGAAUCUCCAAAGAUCCCCAUGUUUGGAUGAGGAAUAUAUGCAGCCCAUAAUGCUACUACACGAGCUACCAACCCGGGGAAGAAAUAUAGGGAAGCCCUAAACAACAGGAAUGCAACUGAUAAUACAAGGUAAGGUUCACUCGAGAAUAAUUCCCUCAAAGAGGACCCUUUCCAUUUCUGAAAAGCUUUGCGACCAUCUGCCUUAAAGGUAAUUUGACUUUCAGUCGCAUCGACCAUAGGAUCAAGCCCUGAAACAAGCAUACAAGUGUGAAGUCAAUGCCAUCAAGUUUAAAAUGAGAAAGGGUAGAACACUGAUUUGUUGCAUACUGUACAAAUUUCCAAAAAUGACUUCCAAGUUUUAAACUCAUAAGAAAGAUGGCCACUUUUCAGGUGUUCACUCUACGCGCUACGGCAAAUUUCCUUUGCAUUUUUCAGUAGCUGUAAAAUAAUUUGUGGACAUUGUCUGAAAGAGGCAAAUUGAGAGAACUUCGAAAGAGAGGUAGAGGAGAAAAAAUAUGAGAAUAUUAGAGAGGAUAAAAAUGAAUUUUAGGUCAAUAUCCCAAAAUGAUCUCACAUUAAGAGCUAUUCUGUCAGUUUCGUAUUCUGAUGAAAACAAAAACUUAACAAAUUGGAAUAUCAUGGGACUCUCUGCAGGUCUGACUUUUUGGUAUCUCUCAUAGAUCAAAACAGGACAUCGGAUAAAUUUUAGCAGAAAGCAAUGACAAUUUAAAAAAAUGAUGAAGAAGCGGUUGAAUUGCAAGAAAAUGCUCCUUCUACAUAUGAGAACUGCCAAAUUUUGGGUGAGUUUAGUUAAUGAACUUUAAGUCCCAAACUCCCAAUAGUACUCCUCGUAAGUCUUAACUAGUCUUCAUACCCUCUGAAUGCACGAAAUUACAAUACCCAGUAUUCCCUGGAGUGGCAAAACUAGGCUUAAAGUAGUUCAAAAUUUUACCUUUCUAAGAUUGCUUUGAACUGUUGAAGAAAUUGCUGAGGAAGCAUAUAUCUUCCUUGCACAAUCUAUUCAAUAAGGACUUUCACCCCUCGAUAUUAAUGUUAUCAAUUGACAAUAGUGUGUAAUUGAUCUAGGACUUUGAUACCUGCUACUACUAGGUUUGCUCAUACGGUUUCUUCAGUAAUUCUUUUUUGGAAACUAAUUUGCUGAGUUAAGUAAUAUUCAGAUUCGGUUCUCUCAAGCUUAUCUGUACUAGUUGAGUUUUAGUUGUGGGCUCUUCAUUUCGGAACCAAAAUCAAAAUACCAAGAAGGGUUAUUGUGCCUCAAUAUAAGUGUGUGGACCUUAAAAUAAAGAGUUAAACUGUACAACAACAACUCAGUGUAAUCCCACGAUUGGGGUCUGGGGAAGAGUUGGCCAUGGUUACCAAUUUUAGUUCUUCUUUGCUUCAACAUUAUUUUGGCUUAACCAUGUGCAUAUGUUAAAUGUAGGACAUUUCAAAAUGAGAAUUUGGUUUUUUUUGCCAAUUCGUAGAAUGUUCCCCUUAAAAAAUGGCACCAAACUCGAAAUCAAAUGUAGUGGAAAUGAAAACCUAACACCAUUCCACCACAAUAAUCAAAGGCCAGUCACAUAAGUUUAGAUUUGGCUUGUGAUUUGUAAAAGAUGAAAAAUGCUCACUCCUAAACAUUCUCAACAGUAUGGAUGAACUCUUACUAUGCCACCCAAAAGCAGGCAAACGAGAAUAUAGGCAAGCAUUUGAAAAGGUCACCUGUAGUCCUCUUGUAGAAGUUCACAAGGGAGGGAAGAUCUUUCUGGCCGUGAUAUCGCACUCUUGAUGUCUGAGUCACAAUCAAUAUUGAUGGAAAGCUGUGAACUCCAUAUCUUGAGAAGACACUGCAGAUGAGAGGCAAGACACAUAAUUAAAAUUGUGAGAGCAGCUGAAACAAGAGCGGAGAAGCUCGGGAGAGAGGAAAAGGUUUAAUUCUUCAUCAAUUUUCCUUCUCUUGGAGAAAAGUUAUGAUGCCAUCAUGGGAUACAUGCUUUAUUAUUGAAGCGCAAUAUAGUACUUAUUUAAUUGAAAGCAUAUGUAGGUCAAAACUUGAACAGAAAAACAAAAAAAAAAAAACUUGAACAGCUUCUGUCACUAGGUUUCUCGGCAAAAUAUUGAUCUAAUAGUUUCAAUCUCAUACUUAACACAAGACAAAUUUCCAUGCAGUACAUCCACGUUCUGAAAACAAAAAGGUAGAGUUGGGACGACUAUUUAAUAGUUUAAUGUCUGGCACUGAUUAAGUAUUUUUAACAAGGGAAUUAAGGGUAGUCAGGGAUCAGCCAUUUCCAUAAACUUUAUCGGCACCUUGUGAGCAGUUACUGCAAAAGCUCUAACGGUGGAGCAAAAUGCUAAUAGAGAUGACACAGUUUUAUCAUACUAAGAAAAGAUAAUAUUAACAAAAAUUAAACCAACCUAGGCGUAGCUUUUGAUUGCUCAACCAUCACAUGUCUAAUUUGCGGGAACAUGGAACUCAGAGCACCAAACUUCGAUUUAACAUCUGUCGAGAAAGGACACCACGAGGCGUAAAACAGAAUAGCAGUAACCUCAUCUUUCUGACUGGACCUUAGAACCUUGUCAAGUGAUUCUCCAUCCGUCUUGUGAGAAAAUUGCAUAAAUGCAAAAAAUCAGGAUAAAAGAAAAAUAACUAUAUUAAGAUGCAUGUCAUAGUUAAAAAAAAAUAAUGCAGUUCACAUGAAGAAUUAUAAAGUUAAUUUAUGAGAAAUUGGGUCAUCGAUUCCCUCUGCUACUCCCAAAAAACAACCGAGCUCUCUUAUGCCAAGGAACAGAAAUGGAAAAGAAAAUGAUCAAAUAACAAAUGUGAACUUUGGGAAACUAUGGAAGGAUCUAUAUGAGACCCAUCCAUUAAGAACAACGUAUGUAUAUCAAGGUUGCAUAGAGUUCAGGCUGGAGAUGAAUUUUAUGAAAGAAAACAGUAAGCAUUCCUCACAAGUAUUCAGGAAAAUCAUAUAACAUAAAAGGGGGCUAAGCUAAAAAGAAUAGUCCAAUUCUAUAUGUUCUCUUUCUCAAUUUUAUGCCUUUAUCUCGGAGAAAAGAUCAAUGUCUAAUCCAUUUAUUUACUGGUAUUCAAGCAGGUUGGAAUAUGUAUUAUCAUAAUAAUGGUAGUAAUAAUAUCAUUUUUGUUUUGAUAUUGUACACAAAAUCCUAUAACUUAGUAGAUAGGGAGAAUGCCUGUCAGAAACAACACAGAAUAAGAAAAAAAGGAGCAAUCCUAGAACCAAAGUAACGUAUAUAUUGCUGAGACACAACAGUCACACAUUGAUGAACAUGUAUUAGAUACACCUUUUUUGAACAGUAUGUACUAGAUACACCUUCAGAACCUACAUUAGAACUUGAAUAACCUAUUUUUCCAAGUUGAUCGGAACAUCACAAAUCCAUCUGAAACCACAACAAGUUAGAUAAGAACAUUCAUUCAAGCUUAAAAUAGCUUGACCACCAACUUGUCUGUUCACCAACCACUUAAUGACCACUUUUUCAUUCACUUACUUGGAAGCCAGUUAUUUCUAGUCUUAUUUCAGCUCUUAUACAUGCUACUGUCACCUUUUAACCAAAGCUUUUGGUCAAUCUUUUGCUUGUAGGAGGUGGUAACAUAAAUCAAUUUCUUAAACUUGCAUACCAAGUAAGGAUAAGAGAAGUGUGGAGCCUGAGGAGGUCAAAUAGAAACUUAUUUUUGUGGAUGCCCCCUUCCUUAAAAUGUUGAAAAGCAUUAUAAUGUUCACAUAAAGUAAAAAUAAUUCCACAUUCCGAUUGAAGCCAAGUUAAAAUGCCAUGAUGGUCACAAUCAGUCAACUCAUUACCUGUAGACAGUCAUGUGAAUACAUCCUAAGGGAGAAUACAUGAGCUACAUUGUGAGACCAAAAUUGUCCUGCUGUCCACAAAAACAAUCUCCCACUGCAAAGGAAGCUAAGCAGAUAACCUAACUCAACCACCCAAGUUUCCUACUCUAGGCACACUUCACUCUCAAUUCUUAAAAGUUAGAACAAUCGCAUACACUUUCCAAAUACUUGGCAAAGUUCCAAAACAAAAUCAAUUUGAGCCUUUCUCACUGAUGGAAUCAAUUACUUAACAUUGAGCCUUUUCUACAAGGAAGAAGAGAGGCUGCUCAUACCACUUGCACAAACUUUUUUAUCUAAUGCAUAUAAAAAUGCAAUAAAUCCAAAAAUCAAUAUUUCUAUACGCACUAAAUGCCCUUAACUGCCUACUCUCAAGACAUGGCAUAUAAUUUCUAAACAGAAGAUCAUCAAAAACAAAGUGAACAUCAUUACAUUGAGAAGUAUCCUACUCAUGGGCAUCUCCAAGGAAAAGCUACACAAUUUCAGCCUAAUACUACAGUGUACAAAUUACUCUGAUCCAUUUCUUCAAUUUUUACUUAAAAAUGUUCUUUUCAAUAUCUAAAUUCAACAAAAAAUCAUUUUUCUGACUAUGUUCAGCUAUGCUACAAAAGGGGCUAAAAAAGAGGACUCUGCAACAGGAACGUGCAAUACUUAAAAGAUACAAUUUACAUAUCAUUCAUGACAACACAAAUCUUUUAAAUCAUCUACAACAAUUGAAAAAAAUACCAAAAAUUAUAACUUCCAAAAGAUGCUCCUAAACAAUCAGCAUCAACUCCAUGACUUGAGCAACCUAAACCAUGAUUAGCAAUUGAAAAUACUCAAACGGGCUAUAUGAUGCAACAAGUAUCUCCACAUCACCACAACUUGAAACCAUAAUCUUCCUCAUACAAUAAUCCUUUAUUUGUUCCAAAUUCAUAUACAUAGCACUAAGAACAUUAAAAAUACCCAAACCAAAUAAAUAUUCCCCCCCAAUGACUUAAGAUAAUCUCAAACCCUCCAAAAUAACCUAAAAAUCCAAUCUUUAAAGCAAAAAUAAUCAGAAAACAGAUUCAACUCAAUGAAUAAUCAACAAAUCACAACCAAACCAUAAUUAGCUAUUCAAAAAGCAACCCAAAGGAUAGCGGCUGCGGGUUUCCCUUGUCAAAAAAAAAAAAAAAAGCAACCCCAAUUAAUCAAGAAACAAAAAAGAUUCUCACAAAUCAUUAAAAAACAACUUCAAACCCCUACCAAUCACCAAAAUUAUCAAAACCCACUUCAUAAACGAAACCCAAUCACCAAAACAAUCAAAAAAUAUACAACCCAUUUCAAUUAAUUAAAAAAAUUAAAUUCUCACAAAUCAUAAAACAACUCCAAACCUCUCCUAAUCACCAAAAUAAUCAAAACCCACUUCAAAAAUGAAACCCAAUCACCAAAAAAAUCAAAUAAAAAAGAACUACAACCAAUUUCAAUUAAUUAAAAAAAAACACCCAAAUACAUAACAAAAUCCCCCAAAAAAGGAUAUUAGAAACUGAAUUACCUCAAGAAUCUUAGAAGAUGGAACGGAGAUCCCAAAAGGGCAUUGAGAUUUCAGAUCAUAGAGAAAAUUAUAAGACUGAAUUGAAGAAACCGAUUCGGAAUUCGUAUAUCCAAACGCUGCAAAUACAAGACCUAAUACCAAUAUGUAUCUAAUCGACACCAUAAUCAACAAUACUAAUCUCAAAUUUUUCAACUAAAAUAUAAAAUUCCCAAAAUAUUCAGAAAAAAAAAACAAAGAAUUCCCUUUUCAGCCUCUCUUCUAGAAAAUUUUGAAUUUUUUUUUUGUAUAGUGUUUCAAUGUUCGGCCAAAAUCAGCUUUUUUUUGUCAGCAACUUUAUCGUCCUCCUACGAUUUUUUAUUUAAAAAUUAAUUAUCUUUUUUAUAUUUUAAUAAUGGUCCCUCCUUUUUAAAUAUUUAUUUAUCUUCCUACUUUUUGACAAAAAUUAAAAAAUUAAUAUCCAAAUAUGGUGUUAGUUAAAGAUAGAAAAAAUGUAUUAAAACGUUAUUUAAUUUUAUGAUCAUAGAUAUAUCGUGUGGAAAGUUAAAAUUAGAGAGUUGUCAAAAAAAAAGAUCUACUUUGCUCAUAUUGAUCCAUUUAUUUUGUCUAUUUGUGAGGUUUAGAUUCUUGACUGUUGCUAAUUUGAAAUUUUUAUCUUUUAUUAAUCUGCUACAAUCACCAUGUAUUUUUCUUGUUUUUGUUUGUUUGUUGUAAGGAUUAUAAUUUUGAAGGGGAGCGUUGGAGCAAAACUUAAAUUAUCUUCAUGUGAUCGAUCAAUAUAUUAUAAGCCACUGAAUCGGGGUAUCUAGGUUGUUUAUAUGAUUGCAUCGCAUUAUUUGGGUGUGUUUAUUUCGGAUUUUGUGUGUACUAGAUAUUCUUUGUAUAUGAGCUAAUACCUUAUAACGAUUAACACUUUGAAGAAGAGUUUUGGAGCAAAGGUAAAGUUGUCUUUAUGAUCUAUAGGUUACGAGCCAAUCAGGGUAGCUAGGUUGCCUACAUCACACUGUUUGGGUUCACCUACCCCGAACCAUGUGUGUACAAGGGGAUUCGAUUGAUGAUAAAGAAAGAGAAUUUUUGGUUCAGUUCUUCACCUUGACAGAAAAUAGAAUUGAUUAAAUUCAAUUGAGUCUAACUCAUAGUGUCAUCAGCUCUAUUUUUAUUUCCUUAAAGAUAAGACAUCAUGAGUAGUUACACUUGUAAAACAUGUUUUUGUAAGAUGAACUAUUGCUAUUAUGUGAAGGUAAAUACUUACUCGCAUUCAAUAUCUAUACUAAACUAUAUUUUGAUUAACUAAUUUUAUAAUUAACGUAAUCAAAUACAUGUGCACAAAUCGUAUUACGUGAUUGGAAGUGUUGUAAUAAACAUCGAGUUCGAAUAAAUUUUUACCAUUGUACUAGUCCUUGCUAGAAUAUUUAUUGCUUGAUUGGAGUUAUUUUUAACCUUAAUUGUAUUAUAGGGAAAUUAAUUAUUUUUCUUUCGGUUUAAGAAGCUAAAAAAAAUUCUUCAUUAAACGGUAAUUAAUAAAACUUUUGGUUUCUUUCAUAUAAUAAAACAAAAUAAUUAUCCGUUACAGAAUUUAUAUGAUCCUUAAUUACGUCUACAUAAAAUUAUCAUUUCAUCUAUUUUUCUUAGCCUAAAUUUAGAAAAAGAAAAAAACAAGUUUGAUGAUGGAUUUGAAGGAAAAAAUAUUUUAUUUUAUCUCAUUUGCAAUUUCCAUUUUUCUUGGUCUUUUUUUCCCUUUAUCUGUUGAUUCAGAAUGCAAUAAAAAUUUAAUAAUUAUAAAUUUUGGUGAUUCAAAUUCUGAUACUGGUGGAUAUGUAAUAGUACGUGGCAUGAUGGGACAGCUUCCGAAAAUACAUACUUUUAAUCAUGAUUUAUCUGGUCGAAUGUGUGAUGGCAGAUUAAUUAUUGAUUUUCUAUGUAAGUUGGUUUGUUAUUACACUAACUUUUAUUUGAUUUUCUGCUUGAUGUUUGAUAUUCAGGAUCUUGAUUCAUGUCGAAAAAUCUCUUUUCGAAAUAAAAAUCUUUCUAUCAAAAACGAUUAUAUAAUCAUUGUUUUGAACACGAGAUAGUUGAUUGAUUAAAAGAAGAGGAAUAUAUGUUGUUCCACUAUAAUCUUUGAUUGUUACAUGGUGUGAUAUCGUUAGAUAAUUAAAAUAAUUUGUUAGCAAUUUUUUUCAAAUCAUAUUAUCUAUAAGAAAUUGUAAUAUUUUUUGUUUCUUAUUCGAUGUUUGGGAGUAAUGCCUUUCUUAUCGAAGGUAAUUUCAUAUUUUAUUUUUUCCAUCUCAUGAUUAGUUUUUGUUUAUUUAUUAAUUUGAUUUUCUUUAUUUUUUAUUAUAGGUGAAAGUGUGGGAAAUGGAUAUUUGACUCCAUUUAUGGAAUCAAUAGGCAAAAACUUCACAAAUGGAGUUAAUUUUGCUAUUGCUGGUUCUAAAACUCUUCCAAGAUUAGAUUCUUUCAAUUUGCAUAUCCAAUUUGCUCAAUUCCAUCGGUUUCAAUCUCUUUCUCUUGAGUUAUUUAACAAAGGUAUAUGAAAUUAUAACGCCCUCGAGUCUUUAAUUCAGUGAUAUAAGCACAACAACUUGUGUUGUGUAAGUCAGACGCAUGUCAUAUUGUCAUAGAUAGACUGAAUUUCGAGAUAUAAUUAACCAGCUGACCCCCUCAAGGGUUUGAUUCAGUAAAAUGAGCACAACACGUGUUUUUGUGAUAGAUAGACUAAAUUUCGAAACACAAUAGUUUGAUCCAGUAAUAUGAGCACAACACGUAUUGUGUGAGUAAGAUUCAUGUACUGAAUUUCGAAACAUAAUUAACCAUCGCGGAUUUCUUGAUUGAUAGGUGAUGGAAAUUUGCUAGGAGAUAAAGAUUUAAGGAAUGCACUUUACACAAUUGAUAUUGGACAAAAUGAUUUGGAUGGAAUAUUUGGUGGACUCAUAUAUGAAAAAGCAAUUCUCAAAAUUCCUGAUAUUAUUUCAGAAAUUGAAAAUGUUAUAAAGGUAGUUUAGUGAAUUUGUAUUAUUAUUAUUAUAUUAUAUUCUAAUUGUUUUACUUUUCCUUUAUUAUUAUUUUAUUGGAUUUAUUGAAUUUGCAGGCAAUUUAUGAACAAGGUGGAAAGAAUUUUUGGGUACAUAAUACAGGACCAUUAGGGUGUUUGCCUAAAUCACUUGCAACAUAUAAGAAAAAUGAGAAUGAUUAUGAUGAGAAUGGAUGUUUAAUUUCUCUUAAUGAAGGUGCAAAAAUAUUUAAUAACAAAUUACAACUCAUUUGUGAAAAAUUAAGAGAUGAAAUGAAGAAUAUCACCAUUGUAUAUGUUGAUAUCUACUCCAUCAAAUAUGAUCUCAUUGCCAACUCUUCUACUUAUGGUAAGUCUUUGUUUCCUUCCUUAACUAUCAGCUCGACAUGCUCUCCAACUUUGGUUGUGCGCAAGUAGACACACAUGUUCUACGUUGCAUAAUACACGUAGAAUGUGAAUUGCCACGUAGGACACGUUUUAUCUACUUGUUCAACUUAAUACAAAUUUAAGGCACUACUUAUGCACAAUCAAAGUUGGAGGGCAUAGAUGUCAAACGCAACAAAGUUAAAAGGUACAUUUAUAAAUUAUGCCAAAUAGAAACAACUAUUGUUGGGGUCUAUGUUGCUCGGACUCUUCAAAAAUGUCGACAGGUGCAUGUAUUUUUGAAGGAUCCAACACGGGUGUGGCAACAUUUUUGUAGAGUCUGAGCAACUUAGGUUGGGGUCUCAUUGAAUGAGUGGAGAUGGAGAUUAGGUCCCUCCUUAGCGCGUGAACCCAUAGAAACAUUGUCCUUUCUUAUCUACUUAUACUAACCUUAUUGGUGACCAGUUUGGUAUAAACACCGAGUGCAAGACAAGACUUUCUUGACUAUGUAUUGGUUCUCCUUUUUUUGGCAGGGUUUGUGAAUCCAUUGAUGGGAUGUUGUGGAUAUGGAGGGCCACCAUACAACUUUGAAUCAAACAACAAAUGUGGGCAAGGAAAUUACACAAUAUGUGAAGAUAGAUUCAAGUACAUUAGUUGGGAUGGUAUUCACUACACAGAAGCAGCUAAUGGAUUUGUUGCCUCCAAAAUACUCUCAACACACUACUCUACACCUCCACUCAAGUUCAACAACUUUUGCAAUAUUGCAUAUGGCAACUAGAUUCUUGUCAAUCAGUGUUGUCCAUCACAAAUGUUCUUUUAGUUAAAUCAAACAUUUUCAUAGAUAUUCAUGAGCAUGUUUGUAUAUAUAAUGCAUGUUUUUGAGCCGAGCUCUCUACCUCCACGACAUAAUGGCAAGGUCUACGUACAUUCUCCAUGUUCUUGUAAUGUAUAGACAAGGGAUAUAACAAUUGGCUAAAUGAUACGGGAGACAAAGAUAGGUGCAUGAAAAACUAUAUAUCCAAAUGGAGCAAGAACAUUAGGAUGCAUUUUUACUCCAAUACUCAAUAGCUCAUACCAGGAUGGAUGCUAACAAAUGAGUGUAUAUCCAAAAAUAGGCAACAAGAUCAAGUUCAAGAUGCCACCAAAAUUGGUGAACUCCAUACUACCUACUUCAAGACGGUUUUUGAAGCAAAUAGAUUAUUCAGCUAAAAGAAUCUUCCCAUCAGUUUGGAUAAAGUAGUCUUCCCAAAACUAUAUUGGUAGGAAUAUUGAAAAGACAAUAUGUCUAACCUAAAUUUCCGCAAGUCAAUGUAUCACCACAAAAAUCUUAAAGCCUUUGAAGGCGUGAGGAUAAUGAAAGAGCGAAAACAGUACUAAUACAACAAGGCGAAGAUGUUAUUUCUAAUAAAGCUCAACUUGAGAGGAUGUAUCUUUUUUUUGCAACAAUCACAAUCCGAUUUUCUUCUCCACCUUCUGAAUUUGGUUAAGGAAAAUCCAAGUCAUCUGUAUAGGCAAAAGAAAGAAGCAAACAUAUAUUAAAAGCUUGUAUAAAACCGAGAGAAAGGAAGUUGGGAGAAAUGAAGGGGAACAUACCAUAACAUGAGGGGCAAUCCUAAUACAAUAUACUGGAAAUCCAGUGUAAAAUUUGAAGGGUCCUCCUGCCUUCAAAGUCUUCAUGGCACAAUCGAAAGAACCAGUGUAGGGCACUUUUCCUUCAGCAUCUGGCUGCAUUUUCUGAAUCUGGGUCUUGACGUAAUCAAAUGGUAAACUGCAAGCAGCAGCAAAGAAUCCAGAAACACUGCUGGCCCCUGUAUUUUAAUAACACGAAAGGUACUUUUUUGUAAGAACAUGAAACAUUAUGCCUCAUGGGGGAUAUUGAAAUUUGCAGCAUAUUCAUCAUUCAAUGAUAACACUACCGUUCAAGACAGUCGAAUGUGAAGAGCAAGGAAAAAAAGUACUUGAACGCACUAAUACCCCAGACAACCUUUUCCCCUUUCCAUGGUUAUUGAAUGCCACAACAAAAAUAACUUUCUUGAUAACAUUCUAGAGCCAGAGCAGAAGAAUCUACUCAAAGGCAUAACUUACACCAUCUAACAGUCUGCAGUACUGUUAAGUGUUAACCACCUUUUCAAGAGUCCCAAAUUCCCUUAAUCCACCAAGAAACUAGAAUGGAUACAAGUUCCAUAUGCAUAAACACAGGAAGCAAAGUAGAGGUUAAACAAAACAUUUCCCCGCAAGCCGUUUUUUGCCAUAAAGCACUAAUUGCAGCAAAGAGAGAAAUCAGGCCUAAAGAUGCUGCAUUCUCUAGCAAUUAGUAACUUAAAUGAUUAGCCACGCUAUGCAAAAGAUGGGUGGAUUUCUCCAAAGAGAAGUUUGCUUCUCUUUUCAAGACAAGUCGGAAACAUUUGAUGCCCUCUUGAAAUUACAAUCUGAACUUAAACCCUUCUUGAGGGAAUACACUGAAGAAACUUGACUUAAAACUAAAAUUAAGACCUGUAGUACAUAUAGGAUACACCGGUGCUAAAACCAUGGAAGCAUUUGUACAGAAAUUAUCUUACCUACUACAGUAGCAGCCUCGCCCAUGCCUAGGUUGUCCCUGCAGAACUCCACACUCUGAUCAUAAGAGGCAAGCAUACCCAUGUUCAAUGCCAUUGCCCUUACUACUGUUGGGCCUGCACCUUUCCAGAGGGCUAGAACUCCUUCAUCAGCCGCAAUACGGGAGAGUGCAUGGAAUGCAUUUGUGUAAUUGCGUCUCUGUGCUAAAGGCAAGGUAGCAUCAGCUUGCAUACGAAUGAGGGCCAAAUCUGCUGGACUGCCAACAGUUGCACCAAUUGCUCCAGCAGUCAGACCACACAGAGCCUUUUGGUACAGAGGUAAGGGCUUCCCUUCAUUAGCCUCAAUGGCCUUGUUCGUCAAAAUUCUAUUUUAAGAAAACCAGCAGAAAGGUAAAAGAGUUAGUCCUACUUCUUUUUUCUUUUCAUGGAUGAAUAUAGAAAGAACAUUAUCAAGCAAAAGGCAUAACAGCACUAAGUGGUACUAUUAUCACCAACAAUUUAGUGUUUAUAUCUAGGUUUUAAAUCACGAAAAGUUUCAAGAUCUUCACACUGUUUGCUGAAGGUACAGACAACAGACAAAACCAGACCUUCAUUGAAUGAUAUAGGCUAAUUACAUGUGAAAUGUAGCUUCCUGUUGCACAUAAAUCGAUGUCCUGAAACCAGCUCACCUUCCUCCAAAGGAAGAAGACAAUGGAUUCUCAUUGAUUUGUCUUUAUCCACAUGUAGGAUGGAAACCCAAACUAAUUCUCAACAUCUCAUGAUUAAUGAGCCAAAGGAUUUGAAGUGGUUUUAGAGGAUUCAAGACUUCAAGUGGUUUGCAACUACACUACUAACUACACUUAACACUACAAUCAAGCAUGGAAUAAGUGAAGUAGGUUAUUAAACCUCUGUAUUUUAUCUAAAAUUUGUUUACUUUUUCUUGAACCUGCAGAUAUUUUUUCACACUAAUUCUUUUCAAAAGGCGUUAGCUCAAUAUUUCCAUGAACACAUAAAAUUUUAGCAAAACCCUGAAUCCCGAUGGAGGUCCAACAAUGAUAUCACACCCCCUUGAAAAUAGAAUAAGCAGAAAAGAACAGAGUAAACCCAAUAACCACAACCACCUCAUAAAAUUAUAAAACAAUACCAAGCUGCAAAACCUUCAAAAAGUUAACAGCCAAGUGGAGGGGAGAGGGAGAGGGUGGCAUGGGCUGUCUUAAUCCUCAAAAAAACUGAAAAGCAAGACUUGCAGAAAAUCAAUAAUAUAACUGUUCACAAAUUUAUUCCAUCUUGACACUUGACAUAACCAAAGAGUAACUUCGCUAGAAGACAUCUCCAAUAAGAUGCGCCAAGUACCUCAACAUGAGUAACCAGACUGUAUCUUGAUUCAAAUAAGACAACUGUAAAAAAGGUGUGACUAUGCAGAAUAACAGUGGUACCAAGAUACCAGAGUAAAUCCUUGGGCAACCACCAAGUUGUUCCCCAGUAACAUGUGUCACAACUAUGAACCUUGACACAUAAUCAAUAGUAUUUGAAAAUUUUAAUAAUCCUGGCUCAUUCUGAUUGAAGAAAAGAUAAAUUUAGGACAAAGUGUCACCUGAAUGACCCAAGUCGGGCAGUUGUGUAGGUUGCCUGCCUAAGAAGCCCAGCUGACAGACCCUGCAUAAGAUGAUAAAUAAUUGAUGGCAUGGAAUAACAAAAAAAACAUACAACACUAAAAUAUGAGAGGAAGUGCAUUAAGUCAUCCACUGAUGGGUAAUAUUAAUUUGGAAAAUUUUGAUUUAAGACAUCAGCCUUAGAUUGGAAGGACAUCGAUAAUAUUGCAUCCAUCUCAGAUUCAAGAUUAUUCAAGCACUGUGCAGUCCAUCUGAUCAUUUGAAGCUACAGUCACUAAAGCUUACAAUAUUGUUAUCUUUGCAAUUGUCCUCCAAGUAAAAGCCAUCUGAAUUUUAGCUAAAAUCGUCUAUUUUCCCAAGGUACUCUCAUAGGAAAUCUAACAACUAUCUCAAUUAAUAAUCAUACAAUAGAUAAGUUAAUGAUUUGGGAGUCACUUGCAUUAAAUGCAGGCAGCUUUCACCAGCUUAUUUCUAGUGGAAAAAGCAUCAUCUAGUUUUCUUGCUGAUUUUUUUCCAAGAAAAUGGGUAAUCCAGUACGGCGUAACCAAAGUACUGGAGAGAUUUAUCGUUUCUACUCUAUUGAGGAUACUAUAAUGUAUGAACUACAAAUGCAUCCUCACCAAGUUUAAAAGAACAAGGUAUUCUCAUUACAUGGUGGGAAAUUAAAAUACCUAGCUGUUUCUUGUGAUCCGAGAUAAAAUAAAGAUCCAUUCAAUCAGAGAUCAACAAGUAAAUGCCGAUACAUAAUUAAUCAUCAACCAAAGCUACAUAGACAUAAAUCUCACGAGAACAAACCUUGUAAAAGGCACCAAAGCCUUCAUUUUUAAGCAUGGUUUUGGUAACAUCAGCUGCUGAUCCCUGUCCCAAUUGUAUCCUCACCUGCUCGCCAUCAUAAGAAGGACGUAACAUAAAUCAGAAUAGAUCCCAUCAAACUUUAGCACACCACAAACUGAAAGACUCAAACUUUACCUCAUAUUGCAUAAGAAACUACCCCAAAGAUUCAAUAUUUACAAGGCUAAAUCAUGUCCAUUCACUACAAAACAACUCUAUAUAAGAAAAGUAAACUGACACAUUUCAACCAAAUCCAUUUGGUCUAAGAUCUGAAAUACAACCAAAUCCACCAAAAGAUCAGUACCAAACAUCCCAUAUAAACAAAAUAACAAUAAAACACUCAUUUGAUUCAAGAUCUGAACACGACCCACCAACCAAACACAUCAAAACAUCAAAAAAGACAGGAUCUUUACAAUCAAGAACACACUAACAAUGAAGAAAAAGCAAUACCCAUAUAAAAUAAAAUCAAGAUUGUGGUAAAGAUGUUACCUUUAUCAUAUCAAUAGGCUGAAUAACACAGGUAGCAAGCAUACCAGAAACACCUCCAUUAAUAAAUGGCUUAACAGUAGGCCAAACACCUCCAGAUACUGGCUUCUCACCCAUUCUUUCUCAGCUCUCUUUCUCUUCAGAUUUCAAAAAGAGAAUAGCUUUGGGGACUGAAGCUCUCGAGGGUUUUCACAAGAGUUAAAAAAAGAAGUUAUGGCAAAGGGGAGAGAGGUAUUUAUACACAACAGCAAAUAGUACCACUAUUGUUGAGCCAAUUAAGAAGGGAAAACCCUUUUGUGGUGGUUGAAUCAAUUUUUGUGUGUGACUAGGACUGCAUUAAUUUAUCGUCUCUAAUAUUAGCCCUUCAUUUUCACAAAAUUACACUUUUAGAAAUUAGAUAUAUGUACACCUUUUAAAAUUAUACUCGUCUCUGUUUCAAUUUAUGUGACGUCGUUUAGCUGCAAUUAUUGUGGAGUCUGGUGGUUUAGAAUCAUAGAAAGAUUUUUUCUUUAUCAAUGGUGAUUAGUCAUGGUAUCCAUAGCCUUGUUUCUUUUUUGACCAAAUUCUAAUUUCGUUUUUGCUUCUCCCGAUUGUCGAGCCUGAUCGACUCUACUCUUUUUCCUGUCUUCGACCUCUCACUUCGUUUCAUUAUUCUUAUGUACCGAUGUUAGAAUGAGAACACCUGAUCAGCCCGACUAUCCCAAAUGCCCCCCCCCCCCCUCCAAAGUCUGCUCAAAUUUUAACGAAGGCAAAAAUUACUAGUUGAUUCUUCUCAUCUGUCCUAACAUCAUAGUAACUUGGUGCUUACUGUUGGUGAUAGGUCGCAAGUAUUUUGUGAAAAUUGACAAGACAUGUUGCUGGUGGAAGGUGACAUGUAUCUUGUGGAAUUAGUCGAGACAUGUUGUUAGUGGGAGGUGACAGGUAUCUUGUGCAAUUAGUCGAGACAUGUUGUUGGUGGGAGAUGGAUGACAGGUAUCUUGUAGAAUCCGUCGAUACAUGUUGCAAGUGGAAUGUGACGUGUCCUGUGAAAUUAGUCGAGAUAUGUUAUUGGUGAGAGGUGACAAAUAUCCCAUAAAAUUAAUCAAAGUACACGAAAACUAAUCUAAACACCAUGCGAUUCUAAAAAAAUGAUUUUUUUUUUAAUUUCUAAUCUAAACAUUCAUUCAAUAUAACCUUAUCCCAUCCUAACUCCAAUGGUCUUGGACAAAGAUUCCAUUAAAGUAGACAUACUUUUAAUUUUAUCAUGCUAUUCUAGUAUAAUCAUACAAAAUGGAUUGAAUUAUAAAAAGAAUCAUUCUAUAAUUUGUCAAAAAAAAAAAUCCACAAAGAAUCUACUUUAAUUUGUGGAAAGGAACAUACAUUUGACAUCGUCUAAUUUUAUUCUUCAAGAUAGAGCAAAGGGAUAUACCUUGCUUUAUGGUUGUUGGAAAAUUUUCUAUUUCAAAAUUUGGUCUCAUCAUUAUGUUUUUGGAGCAAGUAUUUCAUUAUGAAAGAAAUUAACUAAAUUAAAACACUAAAAUUGAAUGAAAAUCAUUGUGUAUCUCAAAAGUGUCAAGUUUUUAAAGAUAUGAUAUGCAUAUUUAAAAAGUUUAUGAUAUAUGCAUGAUCGGAUUUGAAGCUAGGAUCGCAAGGAGUUCAUAUGAAUGUUUGUUUAUUGAAAGCUUAUACUAUAUAUACAAAGUCAAAACUUUUUUCAUAUUAAAUUCUUACGAUUUCUUUGUAUGUUUACCUAUUUAUAUUAAAAUUCGACAGCAAUAUCUUGUAUAUUACUAUAAUAUUGCAAAUAUACUUGUGUACAUGGGAAAAAAAGUCAUUAAGCUAGGAUCGCAAGGAGUUCAUAUGAAUGUUUUUUUAUUGAAAUGUUAUACUAUAUAUACAAAGUCAAAACUUUUUUCAUAUUAAAUUCUUACGAUUUCUUUGUAUGUUUACCUAUUUAUAUUAAAAUUCAACAGCAAUAUCUUGUAUAUUACUAUAAUAUUGCAAAUAUACUUGUGUACAUGGGCAAAAAAGUCAUUACAUUGCAAUAGCAAAGAUGAGCAACAAAUAAAUUAGAAGUUAUAUUUCACACAAGUUGAAAAUAAAAACAAAGUAUCAUAACUGUCAUCUUUUUUUCCCACAAAAAAAAAUAUUAUUUAAUUUGUGAUGGGCAUUUUCUUAAAUGGGAAUUUGACAAAUGGAUACUUGUAAAAGAAAAAAAUGGUAAAAAUAGUGAAUUAUUUGAUCUUCCAAGGGUAAAUUAUGUAAUUUAGUCACCAACAUUCAAUUUUUAUUUUAUUUUUUAAUUUCCCCCAAAUUCAAUGUUGGUGUGAUGAGAUUUUUUUUUUUUAAAAAAAUUUUUUUCCUACUUGUUUGGCGGCGAUAUUUUCUAUAAAUAAUGGCAUUAAAUAAUUUAGAUUUUUAAUGAGGGUAUUAAUGGGAUUGUUGACCCUUUAAACAUUUAAUUUCCCCGCUUUACGAGGUCUGCAAGUAAGUUAAUCAAUCCGACAAUUGCUUCAAGGCAUAUGUUUCCAAUAAUACCCCUAAACUAUAAUAUCAAUAACAAAUUAAAAAAAUAAAAUAAUAAAUAUUUAUGAUAUGUGUUCCAACAUUGUACUUAGACACGACAUGACACAACUUCAUAUUACCAAUGACAUGAUUCUAGAUAAGAAAAAGUAGAAAUCGUGUAUUAGGGUAGAAUAUUGUCUUGCCUUGCAAAUGUUUAGUCUUGAUAGUGUCUGUCGUAGUAUUAGUCGUACUCAUAUACUGUUUAUAGUAUUUCGAUUAUCAUACUAUUUGAUUGUUAUUAUUGUUUCUUUACUGUAGACUUUACACAACUUUUCUUAUUAACUGAUAUGAUUUCUUCUUCUGUUACUUGAGUUUAACACACUUGAGCUAAAGAUCUUUCAAAAACAGUCUCACUAUCUCGUAGCGUACAUUGUAUUCUCCAGACCCCAUCUAGUGGGAUUUCACUAGAUAUGUUGUUGUUAUUGUUAUUGUAUUCUACUCACCCAUUAUCAAAAGUCCGAGGCUCGAAUUUUGAAUAUGAAGAAAAUCUUAAUAAGAAACGUUUUCCUUUUAACGAGUCAUAUACGACAUAAAUUUAAAUUAAUCGACACUUCAAAUACAGAAUAUCGAACAAUGAGUGAAAAUUAAAAACAAUUUAGUUUCAAAAGAUAAAUAAAGGACCAUGCAAAUGUCACAAAUGUAACAAGAAGAAUGGCUAGGAAGUUGAGGUCAACGCCAUUUCUUUUGUCAUUUUCAUUAUUUCUUUUUCAAUAGAUAAAACCAAAGAGCUUUUUAAAAUUUUGCUAUUAAAUGAUAAAUAACUACAAAUAAUUUUUUCUAUUAAAUGAUAAAAUUUUGAAGUAUCUAAUUUACCAAAGAGUAUGUAAUUUAUGAGUAAAAUUGGAUUAGGUCACAUGUUUAAUUAAACUUCAAAAAGGCAGCGCUGUUAACAAUUGAUUUUAAUUAGCUAUAAUAUCAUAUUUUUUUCACUUACACUUUAAGUCAAAGUCAAGAAAAGUACAAAGCACGUAUAAAUAAAUAUUGGAUUAUGUCACAUGUUAUAUGAUUUGUUUAAUUUAAAAUUAUAUAAGAGUUGAAAAUGUGUUGUUAAAUUUUACAAAUUAUGGGAUUCUCUCAUGUUUAGAAAAGAAAAAAAAACAACUAUAAAAAUUGAUUUAACUUUGCUUAAUACUUAUUUAAUUUUGUUCUUAUUCAUAAAUAAAAUAACUUUUAUGUCACUUAUUUUGUAACAGAUGGAGUAAUUUACUUUAUAAUUUUUUUUUUUGGUGCAUGUCGGAAUUUGCUCUUUAUCGGAAACUUGAUUUGUUUGUGUAAUCUAGAGAUGGUAAAAUUAGUUUAUGAAAUUAUAACUCACCCAACCUAGUCAAGCUUGAGAUUAUGAACUCUUAUGAAAUUUACUUUACAAUAUUCUUUCAUAAUACUAAUAGAUGAACUAUUAAAAUAUAAUCUUUGUAGCACUUGGCUUAGCAAUCUUAUUGAUGGUUGUUACUAGAAUUCAACAAAUUAUAGGAGUAUCAACCUGGGUUGUGGUGCACUGCUAGGAGUGUUUCAUCCUUAAUCAGAGGUCUCAGGUUUGAGCUUUGGGUAUGGAAAAAAUCUUGGGAGCGCCAUCCCCGAAUGAGCUCUAGAGUGCACGAUCAGAUUUAGUCGGAGCUUCAAUGUGGGCUCCGAACAUCGGGUGGGAAACAAAAAAAAAACAAAAACAAAUUAUAGGAGUAUUAAUAUCUAUAUUGAAGCUUGACUAAAUUUAAAUUUACGUCGAAAAGAUUAAAUCUAUUAGGAGUAAAGCACUUGUAUAUCAUAGUUAUGCUAUCAAAUUAAUCUUCCACUCAUUCACUUGGCAAGUGAAGUGAGGUGUUGGGAGUUCGAAUUAAAUCCAUAUUAAUAAUAAAAGCGAUUAGAAGCUAUAUAUAUAUAAAAUGUAGGUAGGAUCUCUUAAGGCUAAUUUAUUUAAAUAAUAUAUUAUAUAACUUUAUUUAUGAGUUAUAACACAUGUUUUACUUAAAAGUUGUAAUAUAUUUUUUACUUUUACAAUAAUUAACCUUAAUUUCUUAUCAGAAAUAGCUCUCUCUCUCUAUAUAACACAUUUUCAGCACAAUUUUGAUAUAAUAAUACAUACACUAAUUUAAAUAAUAUUUGAAUACUUGAAAUUAAUGUAUAAUACAUUUUUAACAUCAUUAAUAAAAAAAAGUAUAUAACAAUUAUAUAAUUCAUUUUGAUUCAGUAUUAUAUAUAUAUAUAUAUAUAUAUANNNNNNNNNNNNNNNNNNNNNNNNNNNNNNNNNNNNNNNNNNNNNNNNNNNNNNNNNNNNNNNNNNNNNNNNNNNNNNNNNNNNNNNNNNNNNNNNNNNNNNNNNNNNNNNNNNNNNNNNNNNNNNNNNNNNNNNNNNNNNNNNNNNNNNNNNNNNNNNNNNNNNNNNNNNNNNNNNNNNNNNNNNNNNNNNNNNNNNNNNNNNNNNNNNNNNNNNNNNNNNNNNNNNNNNNNNNNNNNNNNNNNNNNNNNNNNNNNNNNNNNNNNNNNNNNNNNNNNNNNNNNNNNNNNNNNNNNNNNNNNNNNNNNNNNNNNNNNNNNNNNNNNNNNNNNNNNNNNNNNNNNNNNNNNNNNNNNNNNNNNNNNNNNNNNNNNNNNNNNNNNNNNNNNNNNNNNNNNNNNNNNNNNNNNNNNNNNNNNNNNNNNNNNNNNNNNNNNNNNNAGAUUUGUUAUGUAUUCCAAAUACAUGUGAAUCUAUUUGGAUAUAGUAUAUCUAGAAAGAACUACACCUAAUUUUGACCUCAUGUAUCUUGAGAUACAUGUAUAUAUAGACAUAUCGAGAUAAAUUUAGAUGCACUAAAAUCUAGUCAAUUCAUAUUAUUGCAAACUUAAAUGUAUCUAAGUAUUUACUCCUAAAAUAGUGAUAUUUAUGUAAGUUUUUCUAGUAUAAAUAAUAAAUUUGGAACAUAGUAAAUUAAAUAUGUUUUGAUAUACUCUCAAAUUUCAAUUCUUAAUGUCAAUCGAUUUUGGGAUAAUGCAUAAGUACCAUCCCCUCCACUAUAAACGAAAUCCCCGUGACACAUCUUAACUAAAUUGUUUAUCACCCCUGAACUCAAUUUCUUUUUGGUAUUUUUGUGCACCUUUAGUGAUUACGUGACACCUUCAACAAGGUAAGUGACUCCAUUUGUAUAUCACGUGACUCCACAUGUGUAAUUAUUUCAUUUAUUUUUUAAACAUUUUAAAUUUUUUAGUUUUAAUUUUUUUUUUAAAUCUUGUUAUUUUGUUUAUGUUGUAUUUGAAUUAAGUUAGAACACGUAAUUUGUUUUAAUUAUUUUUUACUUGAGUUUAAAAAAAAAUCUUCAUGUUUUUACAAUUACUCAUUAUUAUUUAUAUUUUUUCAACUGAUUUUAAUUUUAAUUUUAUUUUCUCUGUCUUUUCUUUUGAUUUAAUUUCAAAAUUAAUUUGACAAUUGUAGUUAAGAUAAACUAAUUUCGAACGGAUAUAAAAAUAAUUGAAUAAAUAAAAUAAUACAGAAGAAAAACUAAAAUGUUAAAAUUUAAAGAACAUUUUUUAAUCAAUUAUUUUAAAAAAUAUAUGCAUAAUUUUAAAAUAAUAAAAGUGAAAAGAUAAGAAAUUAAUGAAACAGAAAAAAGUAAAAAGUUUAAAGUGGCAAAGAAAUUAACAUAAAUAUUUUACGAAGAAAGAAAUGGAAAUAUAUAUAUAUAUAUAUAUAUAUAUAUAUUUUAAUGUACGCGAUAAAUAUAUAAUUAAAAUAUUUUAAUAUAAAUAUAUAAAAAUAUUACUCAUGUUAAUUUCAAACAUUUCAAUAUUAUUUAAAUUAGUUUACGUGAUUGACAUAAUUUAGACCCUAAUUCAUAUCGAAUCGAAUCGAACCAAACCGAAUCACAUCACCGCCGAACCACCUGUACCUCCUAACAACCUAAAAACAAACCACCACGGAUUCCCUCAUCUCCACCAUAGUCCCACCGCCAAUUAUCCAUUUUCGUUCCAUCUCCGGUGAACAAACCACUAAGCAGCCAUCAAAAUCCCUUUUCCCCAAUUUUUAAUACCACUUUCUGUCAGUUUCAUAUGCGGUGUUUAUCAUCGUUUUUCUCCGAAGAAGCUCUGGUCAGAAUCGUAAUUGCCGGUCCGGUUCUGCUUCAAAUGGCAGAGAUUGGAAUAUCUGACAGUAGCUGGUGGUUCGUUAGAAGAAACGAUCACACUGCAAAAAUUUCCAGUACAGAGGAAAAUAAAUCUUCCUGGCAAUUUUGGUAAAGUUUUUUUUUUUUUUGGCAGUAAAAUGUGAACUCUCCCUGAUGAUAUGUUUUAUCUACUGGAUUACAAACCUACUAUUAGCUUUUGCCUUCAUGAAGAUCACUUGGUUUCGAGUCAGCCAUGUGUAGUAGAUUACAACUUCAUAUGUAGCAGCAACCACUACUUUUCUCCCUCUAUUCCAGUGCUUAUUCUUGAUGCAUAUCCUUAACCCCUUUACAUGGUAAGCUUAUCCCCAACCAUACCUCUUUACUCCAUGGGCAUUGACCAAAUAAAUGCUCAUCAUCUUACGUGCUGCACUAUUACAUAGAUUGGAAUCAGUAUCUCCUGUCCCGAAAUCUAUCUUUUGUAUUCUGUAUUUCGUAAGAAGUCUACCCCAAAGAGCAAGCCAAUUGAUAAAUCGAUGUUUAGGUACUGUGAUUCUAUUUCAUAUUAGAAUAGCUAUCUCCAAUUUCGGUACACUGCCUAUUAGACUUUCAUAUCCCAAAGACACUGAAUACUCACCAUUACCUGUUAAAUAAUAGUUAUCAUUGUUAUAUCAUGCUCUCAUCUUCAACUUCAUUUUAUGUAAUGCUUUCUAGUACCAGCUGCAAUCCCCAAGGGGUUUACUUGUCCAAAAAUCACAAUCAUGUUUCAUAUAUAAUUCAUUCACCCAUUUUACCCACAAAAUAUCUUUUUUUCUCCAUUAGUAACCAAAUAUGUUUUCCAACUGAUGCCACAUUCCAGUGCUUACAGCUUUUGAUACUUAAGCCUCCUUGUUGUUUAGGCCUACAAAUAUUAUCCCAAGCUACUAGAGAAGUUUUCUUCUUUCCUUCAGUGCCUCCCCACAGGUACUCCCUACAUUUCCCAUCUAUCUCUUUAACUACACUCUAAGGCAAAAUAAAUACAGCCCCCCAAAAAUUAUGAAUGGAAAAUAGGAUAGAUGUAAUAACCUGCAACUUCCCCGCAUACGAUAAAUGCCUAUUUGAUACUGAUAUGAUUCUUUCGAUGAUCUUUUGGCAUAGCUUGUUGCACUCUAUUUUGGACCAUUUCUUUGGGGACAGUUGGAGUCCUAGAUAUCUGAUAGGAAACUCACCUUCGACAUAGUCAGUCAUUUCUAACAGUCUUUCUUUGACAACAUCGGAUACCCUAGCUAUAAAAAUACUAGACUUAUCUGUAUUGGUUACCGGUCCUGUUACUUUGGAGAAGUGAUUUAAAGCUUCUACAAUCCUUUGCAUUGACUCCUCAUGCCCUUUACUAAAUAUCAUCAGAUUAUCAGGAAAUAUGAGGUGAUUGAGAGCCUGAUUUUUACACAUUGGAUGGAUUCUGAAGUCUGGAGGUUGUCCCAUUUUUGCCAAGACUCUAGUUAAGUACUCCAUUACAAGUACAAAGAGUAAAGGUGAUAACGGGUCCCCCUAUCUCAAGCCCCUUUUCCCUUCAAAGUAGCCAUAAUUGUUUCCAUUAACUCUGACUGAAAACUUUGUUGAUGUUAUACACACCAUAAUCAAGUGGAAGAAUUUUUGUGGGAAACCAUAACCAUGUAGCAUUUCCUUCAUGAAUUCCCAACUCACCAUGUCAUAGGCUUUCCUUAAGUCUAUUUUCAUCAUACACAUUGGUGUAGUUUUCCGCUUGUAGUGUCUCAAUCGAUCAUGACAUAUAAGGACAUUGUGUACUAGAGAACUCCCUUUUACAAACGCUGCUGGAGUUUGGUUUACCAAAUAUGGCAACACCUUCUUCAGUCUGCUACAUAACAACUUGGAAAUCACUUUGUAUAUCACAUUGCAGCAGGAAAUUGGUCUAUAUAUACUGACUAGCUGAAUCAGGUCUUUUGACUUUAGGAAUCAAGAUUAUUACAGUUGCAUUAACCGGUCCUAACAACUUCCCAGUUUUCAUGAACUCCAGCACAACAUUAAUAACAUCCUCCCCUAUUAUAUCCCAGACAUCUCUAAAGAACCCACUACUAUAACAAUUAGGUCAUGCACUUUUUGUUAUUUUGAUGCUAAAUACUGCCUCUUUCACCUCCUUCCUGGUAAACGGUUCAAGUAGUUGCACUUGUUGAUACACAAAUAACUGAUUUCCAUUCUUUAAGAACACCUCUUCAGCCUUUUGUCGUUGUCCAAAAUCCUUUUCCCCUAAUAGUUGAGAGAAAUACCUGACAAUUAUAACAACAUUGUUUAGGAUGAGUUUGCAUCUGCAUGUUCUCAUCUUGCAACUGAGUAAUAGUUUGUUGAAGCCUUUUCUGUUUGAGAAUGGAAUGGAAAUAUUGAGUAUUAUCAUCCCCUAGUCUCAGCCAAGUUGCUUUGCUUCUCUGAAUCAACAUCAUUUCUGCCAAGUAGCUCAUCCUUUUAAAUUCCCUACCAAUUUCUAAUUCCUCAUGUUGUUUUAGCCUAUUGGAGGGUCUGCUUGUAACUGAUCCUGUGCCACCUGCAACUUCCCUCUAAGCUUAUUAACCUCAUCCAACAAAUUUGCAAAAUGUUGAGUAUGUAGCUUCCGUAUCUCAGUUUUCAGCAUCUUCAAUUUCUGCAUUAGUUGAUACAUCAGGCACCUAGGGACUUGUCUUUGCCACACUUCUGAACUAUACCCUUAAAUUGAUCUUGAGAGCUCCACAUAUUGCAAUACUUAAAUGCUGCUCUUUGUCUUACCACUCUGCCCCCACCUCUAACAUGUAUUGGACUAUGAUCGCUUACCCCUUCAUUCAUGAAUGUUGUUCGACAGUCAAACAUUUCAUCUACCCAUACUCCAUUUAUAAAAGACCAAUCUAUUUUAGAGAACACUCCAUUUGUAGUUCCUUUGUCAUUCCAUGUAUAGGCCUUCCCAUUACUCCCCAUUUCCUCCGGCAUACAGGUGUCCAGACAGUCUUGAAAGUCGCACACUUCUGAGAAAGUGACUUGUGCCCCACCAAGUCUAUCUGUAGCAUGUAAUACAUUGUUAAAAUCUCCCAGUAUUAUCCAUGGUUUAUCCAUUCCAUAUCCUAUUUGUGUAAGAUAACUCUAUAAUCCUUUUCUUUCUUCCCUCCCAUUUUGGGCAUAUACAAAGGUGCUAUAAAACUCCUUCUGUAGAGGUAAAUACUUAACCAAACAAGUUACAGCUUGGUCAGAUUCACUACAGAUAGUUACCUCACAGACAUCCUCUUUCCAUACCACCAAACUCCGACCAUUAUGGUGAGAACUAUGAUUAGAGUUGUAUUUCCAUCCCCCAAACAUUGAUACUGCAACCCUAUUAAUACGUUUAUGUUUAAUCUUGGUCUCGAGAAGCCCAAACAUCAAGCUGUUUACAGAGGUACAUCACUUCCCUCUGCUUAUUGAGGCCAUUUAGGCCUCGAACAUUCCAACAAAGGAGAGUAACCAUUCCCCAGAGGGGUUUGGACAAUGUUACCAUCCUUUCCCUCAUUAGAAACUUGCUCAGGCUCAUCUCGUAUAGUAAGAGGUUUGAAAGCAUUUGUUGCACUGACAUGCUGAGUCUCGAUCGUUUUUCUUCCCUGCUGAAACCUCCUAUUAUUGCCACCCAUACUUUCAAAUCUGCUGCACUUUCUCCUUCCCCUUAUCAACUCGCGCAUUAGCCUGCAUCUUGUCCUCCUCCUUGGUUUCCUUCGUUUCAUCCACAUGCUGUUGUGUUGGAUGUAAUUUCCUACAAUUAUCUUUAUCAUGACCAUAUUUAUGACAAUGGUCACAUAAAGAUGGCCUCCAGUCAUAUGUCACUGAUUGUGUAAUUACCACACCCUUUUCAUUUCUAAACAACACCUCUUCAAGUAGUGUCUUCCCCACAUUAACCUCAACCAACAGUCGAGCAUAGCUUAAUCCCAAUUUCUUUUCAGUCUGUUUGUCAACCAUCAACGGUUUACCUACUAGACUACCUAUCUUACUGAAACCCCUUGCACUCCAAUAUUUGAAAUCUAAUCCUGGCAGUUUGAUCCAUAUUGGUACGGUCAGAAGUUCCUCUUUAGAAAACUCCAUUUCUGGAGUCCAAGCGUAACUAUCAACGGCUUGUUAUCAAAAUGAUAGAUACCUCCCUGUAACACCUCCAAUUUUCCUUCCUCACUAUCAAACUUCGCCAUGACAAUCCCAUUCCUCAUCAUUGCCACUUUGUUGAUUCCAUAUUUACCCCACACUCUUUGGAUAAAUCCAUUAAGAACUGUAUAUGGUGGGUGUGCACCCAACACAUAGCAAACAAUAGGAAUGUGCCAAUACUCUACCUUAGAGCUAAUAUCCCCCAAAUCAAUUUCACCAAUUAAUUUGUUGUCACCAAUUAAGCUGUGUCGGUCCCCCAUUACCAGGUUGCGUGUUCUUUUGUGUACCUCAUAGUGUGCUUGCUUCAGCUAGGUUUGUGCUCUUUGGCCUCCUGCCCAUGGCAAGCGGCCGUGCACAGGGAGAGCUUUUAGAGCUUCAAGAACAUGUUAUCAACUAAGAAAUUGUUUUGUUAUUGUUCUAACAAUUUUACCAUUUUAUUUUUUUGCCGAUUUCUGUUUUGCUGAAGGUGAAAAUGGUGGGUAUAUUUGUAGAUCUAGAAGAAGACAUGGAGUUGGUGGUGGACAGAGAUGAGCGGAGAUGAGGUGAAAAUGGUGGGUAUUGUUGCAUAUUGUAUUGUGCAUACUGUAUUACUUUAAUGUAUGCUAUGUUUGGAUAGAUUGUAUUGUUCUCCAUCGUUACAUAAAUAUCACACAUCAACAAUUUGAUUGAUAAAUCAAUGAGAAAAGUACGUUUUGGGGUAGAGAUACUAUGAAAAGGUAGGGUAAAGGUUAAAAUUGAAUUAUAAAAUAAUAAGUAAAGACAAAAUGAGAACAAAAUAUUAAGGUAACGAUGCGAUCACACUGAAAUUUUUGUCGUUACCUAACAAUGGAUUUAAACGAUACAAUACAAUGAAAUUUAAGUAACAAUCCAAACAAGUAUUGUAUUUAAACUAACUAUACAAUAUAAAGGGUAACUACCAUCCAAACAAGGUGUUAAUGUAAAAGCAUACAAAAUAUCAUAUAAUAAAGUUCAUAUGUCAAUGCAAUGGAUCCAUUGAAUUUUUUUUUUUGAAGUACACACAAAACUCAAAAACAAGAAAAUUAUCCAUCUAGCUGGAUAUGAUUAUGCAUAAUGAACAGAGGAAACAGCUUAAGAGAAAAACUGGUCCAUUAGAUCCCCUCUUUCAAUCGCAAUCUUCUAUUUCUGCACAGCAAAGAAACACUUCUCAAAUAUAUUUUACGAAAGAUUUAACAGGUAAAAGUGUACAAGCUCAAAAGAUGAUGCAAUUAAUCUUGAGUCAGUUACCUGUUAAACCAGUGUUGCCGUUUUUUAUAUGCAAGGGGUAAAUAAGGACCUUGGGCUCUGCAUUUCCAUAUCCUUCUUGCACUUCUUUAAAGUCCUUGACUGACUUUUCAAGAGACUCACCACAUCGUUUCACUUCAACUAUCUUUAGAGUACGAAUAUCUCCAACUGGAAUUUCUUGAAGAUUAAAGCAGUUUUCUACCAGAAGCUGUUCGAGGUUAAGCAAGGACUCAUCUGAGGCAUUCCAUGUUGUUAUUGUAAGGGAUCUUAAUUUAAGAACCUUGAGGUUCAGAAACUCUUCAUCUUUGAUCUCCCAUUUUUCCUGCUGAAAUGCUCUAUGUUCCAACUUGAGAACCACUAAAUUUGGUAAUCUUCCGAUAUUAGACAGUUCACUUUGUGGCAACAAAACAUCUGAUAGAGUUAGCUUUGUUAGUGUCGCGGGAAAGGUGAAAUUCAAAAUCUUACCGUUUACACUGAGUGUUUCAAGUUGAAGAGCAUGUAAUUUGAGUUUGAGAGGCUCUUUACAGUGGCAUUUGAGCUUUCGCAGUCUGCUUGCCUUCUUGACCAUGUAGUCUACUAGCUCAUUAGUGAGAGACACUGUGGCCAAGGUCUCUAUGUUUGUCGAUGUCUGAGGAAUGCGUCCAUCAAAAGAUGCAACAGGUUCAACAUGUACAUGCUUUAGCCUUGGCAUAUUCCAGAUGGUCAUCGGUAAAAUUGUGCCACUGCCUACUGUUAUUACAAGCAAUACCUCUAGGUUUGAAAGGUUCGAUAUCCAUAAUGGCAUAGAUACCAUAUAGCCUUUGAUUCCUAAGUACUUCAAAUGGAUCAGCUCUUUUGAUCUCUGGAAUGAACUCUCCGACAUAGUACAUUCCAUUUGUAGUACUCUUAAUAGUUUAAAGUUCUCAAGAUCAAGAAAUUCCUGGCAGCCAGAUUUCGGGGGUCUGAAGAAUGCAGAUCGAACUUGCAUGUUUCCAAUCUUCCCUGCCCAAUAAAGGCUAUGAUGAAUGCAAAGCCUCCGGUGCUCAUAAAAGGAACUAGACAAAUCAGUCUUCCCGGUGCUUGUUAGUUGCAUAAACUUCUCUUCCUUAGACUUUGUCAUGCAAAAAUCAUGUAACAUAUCAUGAAUGUGGCAUGUUCUGACUCCUCCAGUGGACUUUCUCUUGCUCACCAUUAUCAAGCUUCUACCGAUGAGAUCAUUCAGUAAAAUUUUUGCAUCGAGCCCUAUGUUUGGCACCAAUCCCUCGAUAGUCCAUAACCAUGCCAAGUUUGAGAGUGGAAUUUCUUCAUCCUCCUGAAAUGAUGCAAAAUAUAGAAGGCAGGGUUUGAGAUGAUCUGGCAUGUGCUUGUAGCUCAGUUCUAUAACCUCCAUGCACUCUUUUGCACUAGUAACAGUAUCUAACUUUAUACUCUCUGCGACUCUUCUCCAACUUCCCUCAUUUUUGCUUAUCCCAGACAAAACUCCAGCAACCAAAAUCACAAGGAGAGGUAGUCCUUUACACUUACUUGCGAUGUUUUCUCCUACUUUUGAUAGGUCUGGUGGGCAAGUUUGUUCCUUGAACAGCUUGAUUUUCAUUAGUUCCCAACUUUCAUUUUUGUCAAGAAAACGAAGUUCAAGAAGUACUCUUUCAAAUUUAAUGUUGGAAGCCACAUUAAUGUUUCGGCUGGUUAAUAAAAUCCUGCUUCCGUUUUUAUUAUCCGGUAAGCAUCUGCUCAAGUAUUCCCAUGUGUCAACACUCCAUAUGUCAUCAAUGUAGAGAAGGUACUUCUUUCUUAACAGAAAUUUCCGCAAAGCAUCUGCUGGAUUUUUCUCAUUCUGUUGGUUAGAACAUUUGACUUGAUUUAAAAUUCCGAGCAGCAACUUUCUUUUGUCGUAAGUUUGGGAAACACGACACAUAGCUUGGAUGUCAAAAUAAAGCCGCAUUUUCUCAUCAUGAAAAACUUUCUUUGCUAGUGUAGUCUUUCCAAGACCAGGCAUCCCUACAAUAGACACAACAACUAGGCACUUUGGUCCUGUAGUGAGCUGUUCGAUUAGCAAGUCAGCCUCGUUCUUAAAACCCACCAUUACCUCAUCAGGUAGUGUAGUCUCAACUACUUGUCUGACAGGAUUUGGUGCUUGUUCUUCGAUUGGGACUUCAACUUCUUGCGUAAUCGUAGCAUGGAACUCUUUCAAAUGAUCCCUUACAACCUUAGUUUCUGUUGUGAUCUUACAUAACAAAUGUAGAUACCAAACAGGAUAAUCUCCGGUAACCAGGCAAUCAAUUAUGCAUUCUGCCUGGUAUGCUAGAGAUAUGACUUCUGUCCAUAGAUCAUGUUUCUUCACCUCCUCAAACUCAUGUUUUUUCUUCUCAACUUCCUUCAAGAAGUAUCUUAAGAGAUAUAACUCUUCCUGAGCUUCUUCAAUAAGAUGCUUGACAACAGAAUCACACUUUCCGUCUUGCAGCAGCUCUUUCAGAUAGCGUAAGAGAUAAUCGAUAAACCCCAAUCCAUUUGUCCUAGGAAAAUUACAUUUUGAUGACACUACAUCUUUCAGAAUCACAUCUUUUAGAUCUUCCAUGACAUGUUCAAUCUUUUUUAACAAGUCACUGAAUACCGAGUUAACUUCUGCUGCUUUGUCAACGGAGAAAGAGAAAGCAGCAGAUACUACCUCAGCAAUCGAAAGAGAAAGCAACAGAUACUACCUCAGCAAUCAGACCUUCAAUGCAAGUAAGUUUGUCACUCAUUUUUUCCUGUAUAACAUAUAAAUCUUCUGGUGGACAAAUGAGCAAAGUUACCAAUUGCUUUGAUGCUUCGGCAAGGCUUUUGAUUUGAUCCUUUUUAAGAGGAAGCAUCAAAGAACAUGCCUCACCGUCUGAUAACUCCAACAAAUCCUUGAAGAUGAAAUGAACAAAACCUUCAACAAAUUCUAUCACAUCCCGGCUGUAUUGGAUUUGCAAUUUAACUGAACCUCUUAGAGCUCCAGUAUAGAUUUCUGCAACGUCCGGAUCAAUGGGCUUGAUAUAUUUCAAAACAUGAGAGAUUUGAAGUGUCAACACAGAUGCUGAAUCUCCAUCCAUUUCUUCCACAUAACAAAGGUAACAUAUGUAUGCAGCAUUCACUGUGAUGCCCUCUAUAUGAUUAAAAAGAAUGUUGGAUUUCUCUAGCUCCAUGCUUGCAUCUUUUAUGAAAUUGAGGAAGGUUUUUAGAUAUUUUAGACUUUCUUCAAGGACUUGAAACUCUUUCUUCAGAAGUACAAACUUGUCGAAAUCUUUCUUGUUGAUGAGAAGAUCCUUCACAUUCUGAAGGAUGUGCUCAAUGAAUUUCUGAAACACUGGGCUGCAUAAAUUUGGUAAAGGCCACCUCCCUGGAACCAAUGAAAGGAGAAACUUAUAACCUUCUUUGACUUCAGCAGAAGAUAAGUCUGCCCUUGGUCCCGAGACAGUGUCACCGACUUGCAUUCCAUGUUCGCGCAAUCUCCCCUCCUUAAUCCUUCCUUUUUGAGUUGCCCAAAACAAAAAAGUACCAAGAAAUCUCCUCUCUAUUUCAGACAUUUGUUUUCCAGCAGAAUUUCCUCAGAGUGGAUAUAUGUCGACAGCUCUGCAAGCAAAGAGAUUAAAAGCAAAUCACAUUCUAGGACAAACAAUGCAUACUCCAUAAUCUAGUUGCUCUUCAUAUUGCGUGAAAUUAACACAGAAUUCCUUUAUAUGUUGAUUGCACUCUUCCUCUUGUAUCAGAACAUUAUGCUUGAUUGUAACUAACAAACAGAUAAUAUUUAAGAAAAAGAUGUGUGUGAUCACAAAUAACAAAAACUGUUUGGUUGCACUAAAUGUUUUCUGGAAAAUGUGAAGUUAUAUCUGAAAGUCACAAUGCAUACUCUUAACUCUACACAACUAGGGGAAUGGGGAAAAAAGUCACCAGGAAAAACAAUAACAGAAAAAGAACUGGUUCCAAAGAGUUCUGAUUGUCUACUACUUACUUUUGCCUAAACUAGUUACCCUUUGUUAAUCCAAGCAAGUGAAAUUGUACAAUAACUGAUACUAGGGUCAACCUUCAAUAUUUCUUAGAGAAUUGUCACGAUUUGUUUUUUGAUGCUCAGGACAAAAUAGUGACUUUAUAUAUCAAUGCUACUUAUGUGAUUUUGAUUGUCAGGAAGUUUGCUUCAAAAUAGUUAUUACUAUAUAAAUAUUUUCCUUUUGUUUUUCUUAUUUACUAUUUCUUAAUAUUUCAGUAUUUUAGACGAAGAAAGGUUCAUAUGACUUGUAAUAACGCUAGUUGAAGUUUGUAUUAGUUUAAUACUUAUUAUUUAUUUAAUAGCUAAUUUUUAUGCUAUAAAUAUUUUUAUUAAUGCAAAUAUCUCUCUCUCUCUCUCUCUCUCUAUAUAUAUAUAUAUAUAUAUAUAUAUAUAUUUGUAUUUAAAUUAAGGUAUUAUAUAUGUCACGACUCACAAAUGUAUUAUCAAGUUAACAAAAUCUUCUAACUUCAAUAUAUAUUAUUUUAAAAUGUUCCGAGUUCUUUUUUUUAAAAAAAAAAACUCACAACAAAUGUGAAAAUAUGUGAACAUAUAUGAAUCAUUUAAAAUUUAUCAUUAACAAAAUAAACUUUAUAAUCUGUAAUAUAGAAUAAACAUUUUCAUUUUGUCCCUACACUAAAUUAAAAUCUAAUCUAUCUAUCUAUAAAAGGAGAAGAAAAAGUGCCACGUGUCAGCACCACAAAAAAACUAUAAUUAUUAUUAUUUAAAAAAUUAAUUAAAAAACUGAUGGUAAAAAAACAAUAAUUACCAUUAAAAAAAUUUAAAAACUUAUUUUUAAAAAAUAUUUAAAACGGUCAAUUAGUAGUUAGUUGUAGAAAUGGGGUAGUUUUUUUUCCAUUCACUUUUAAAAUUUAUCUAUAUAUAUCUAAAAAACAAAACAUUUUAAAAAAACAUAAAUAAAAAACAGUUUUUAAAAAUUGUUGACCAAUAAUUUUUUAUAUUAUUAUACAGCCCCUAUAUAUGUGAUAACAUGGUGUUAUUUUUCCUUGGAUGAAUUAUGCUUAAGUUAAUAAAUUGAAAAUCGUUUACAAGUAUAUGAACUAUAUCUUUGUUGGGUGUAAGAUAAACAUGUGAUUAUAUAUAUGAUUUCACAAAUAGAAUAUAUUCUUUAAUUUUAAUUUUUAGUUUUUCGGGUAAAAAAAAAAAGGAAACUUUUCUCAGUUAACUAUGGACAGUUAGAUAACUAUCUUUGAUUUAUGUACACAAUCAAUCGAGAAGUCAAAUAUGAGAACCAACAACAAGAAUGUCAGUUAUUAUGUUAUAACUUACAAAAUAAAAAUUAAUAUACAAAAAAUAGUUCUAAAAAAUAAAAUUUUGUUGUUUUCUUCACAUGCUCAUAUGGCAUAUAAACAGUUUAACAUGGAAUACACGUGCAAAACACAUCUGGUUUGACAAGAAAAAUACACAACAAAUAUCGUCUAUAAGGUAAUAUUAGUGAGAUACGACUAAUUACAUGAUUGAACCUCAUCAAAUUGAAAUAAAUAUAUACAUUAUUGCAUUUAACUAAUAAAUUUCUUCAUUGACCAUCUUCAUAGGUUCGCGUGAAUAAAAGAUAUAUAUGACGAUCCACAUUGAACAUUCACAAAAGAAUUUGCAGUAUUAUUUUGUGCAAAGCUUAUUAUUCAAAUCUUCGCUUAAUUAAGCUAGCGGGUCACAGACGGAUUUCUCGGUUAUCAAAAAAAAAAAAAAAACUAUUUACUAUAACAUAUAUUUUUUGAAUUGGUAAUCACGUAUCGAAAAACUAGUUAAUACAAAUUAAGUUUGUUCAAAAGUCUAUCACGUACCUUUUGUAACAACUUUGACAGAGCAGAAAACAGUGAUCCAGGUUUCACUACUUUGUUCUAUACUUUUAACCAGAAAGAAGAAUGAACAAGAGAUUUUAGGACUCCGGAGAGCAAAGUCCCGUACUUGCUUCCCUGACUAAAUAUUUUCACUUAAUAUAAAGCAUAAUAAUGAAAUUAAAUUACACCUAAUGAAGAAUUAAAAAUGAUUCAACUUUAUUGUUGCAUUAUACCCCAAUACAUUGCAUUUCAUUAUGGCCACUUGUGAUGGUUAAGAAAUGGAAAAAAAAAAGAGUUGACCUUAAUACAUAUAUAAUCUUAGAGGUGUUGCUUUCAGCUAAUGCCACUUGCACAUAGAAAAUAUGGCUGAUAGCCUUACCAGGAGACCAUUUAUUAAAAUAUGGCAGGAAGUUAGUCAGAUAUAGCUCUAAGGUCACGACUCGGUAUCAUAUUAGAUCAUUGACAUCCCACAUUACCUUUUCAUUACUACUAAAUACCAACUGCCUAUAUAGAAAAUUAGUUCAAAGCCCUGCUUUUCGCCAACUUCAGAAUUUUGGAAAUAGAAAGGAGAGUUGACCUUACCUUAAUCAACGGAGUAUAUAAUAUUGAUCUUGGAGAAGUGUCUACGAAAUUUACCUUUUCGUAUGGUAGGAAAGAUGGUUUUUCUAUAUAUAUGUUCAUUUUUUCUUACACAACUCCAUAGCAGCCGUCUCUCUCUCUAAUUAGAUCAUUGAAAUAUCUCAUGAUUUACGGAAGAAAGUCCUCAUUUGCUGCUACCAAUUUCACCACUUUGUCAAACAUCAGUUAAUUGGCAAAGAAAAGUCAAAUAAGACAAAGUUAAACAUUCAUCUUGUCAUUGAUUUCACUCAUGAUAUUAUUAGUAUAGAAAGCAGAAUGAGGUAUACCAUAGACUGUACAAAAAAAUAGUCUGGUAAGAAAAAUAGAGCGUUAGCGAUCAUCUGUUAUCGGAACUAGCAAUAUGGAUCCUAACUCAUUAGAUCUUAAGCUAGCCAACUUGUAUAGGUGUUUCAGUACUAAUUCCCAUUUGAGAGAGAAUUUUAAACUUGUUUGUUGAAAUUAAUCCAACACAUUGACGGUGAAGCAAUAGUCCAUUACAUUGAUAUAUUACACCCUAUGUUCCUAAACACGUUGAAUGAUUCCCUGGUUAAUCUAGACGUGAAGAUCACUGCCCUGACGGCGAUGAGUAACUUCAUUCAACGGGUGGGAGUUCAAAGGUAGGGAGAGGUUUCAGGAUCUGUUGCCUGCGAUGAUGGACAUGCUGAAUGAGGCAUUGGAAGAAAAUUGUGAGGCAUCAGCUCAGUCUGAGUUCGAGAUUUUGAUUGAGUUGGCCAAGAAUGAGCCUAGCUUCUUCAGGAUGCAGCUUGUGGUUGUGGUGGGUUCCAUGUUUGAUAUAGCUGAAUGUGAGAGUUAUGAAAAGAAAACGAGACAUUUGGCGGUUGAAUUCGUGAUGACAUUGGUUGAGGCCAGGGAGAAGACCCCUGGCAUGAUCAAGAAGUAUCCAUUGUUUACUGAAAAAUAUUUUGCAAUUUUAUUGAAUUUGUUAAAGGAUGAGGUUUAUGACCCUCUCUUGCCUGAUCCUUAUGGUAGAUGGGAUAGCAAUGAUGAUUUAGUUUUUCUUAAGAUGUGUUUAAACCGGUUGUCCAAUGCGCUGGGUGGUAAGACUGUUGGUCCUGUUGCCUUUGAGCAGCUCCCUGCUUACUUGGCUGACGACUCGUGGCAGAAGCCAUGCGCAGCACUCUAUGCACUUGCUCAGAUUGUUGAAGGCUGCUCAGAGGUGUGUAUUUAUUGAUACACUACUAAGAAUUGCAUUUAAACUGAUUAGUUAACGAUCUUGGGAUAGCAGAAGGUCACCUUGAUUAUACUUUCUUCUGUUAUUCUCUAGACUAAGUACUUUGCUUGCUCUCAUCUCUUCUUCAUUAUAAUAGGUGAUGAUUAAGAAUAUGAAUCUAGUGGUGACAAUGGUUCUGGAUUGUAUGGGACAUCCUCAUCCUGGAGUCAGAUUCGCCUCCAUGGAAGCAAUUCGCAUGUUUUUGCGUUUAAUGCGUCCCCAUUUUCAAGAACAAUGUCAUCACCAAGUAGUGCCAGCAUUAACCAAAGCUAUGGAUGAUGACAGUGUACAAGUGCAGGUCUGUAUGUCCUACGAUGAUAUGAACUCCUUUGGAUGCUCGUAUCAUAUGUCCCAAAUUACAGUUGCAAAAUUUUCUUACUGAACCUUCUCAAUGGGCUUAACUUUAACUUUAUUAGAUAUAAUCCCUGCUCUAACUUUACUAUCUUCAUAUUUUCCUAGGUCAGUGUCAUACGCACGGUCUGGAAGUUCCUUGAGGUUGGCACGCCUGAAUAUUUGACACUUUACAUCCAUGGAUUACACAAUAAAUUGCUUCAACUGUCGUCACAUACUGUUGCGGCGGUACGUAUUGUAGACUAAGUGCAAGAGAAAUCAGAUCAUUUUCUUGAACAAUGAACAGACAAUAUUACGAAUACAUUUAAGGGAAACAACCAUAAUUUCCAAGUUCCCAAUAUAAUUAUCCCGCCCUCCUUUAUAAAUUCAAAGCUUGUUACUCCCUUGAAUGUCCUUGAGGUCUUUACUUGCCUGAUUUUUUUUUUUUGUUUUUGACAUGAAAGGUCCAAAAAUCAGCGUCACUUGUACUCGAUCGUUUGCCUAAGCAUUUUAAGGUAUUACCUAGUAAUUCUGCUUCAACUUUUAUUAAGAGUAUGUUGUAUUAAGCUGGUUAUAUAUAUAUUAAUAUUAACAUUACUUCAACAGGAGUUCUAUGGGAACAACUACGAAUCUAUUAAACCACUUUGGAAAGCUUCCCUGGUAGAAGCAAAUUUUCCAAGUAAAGAUGUAGAGAUGAUCAUGUCAAUGCGCAAACCUGGCAGUUCGGUAUUUCCAAAACAGGUCUUCCACCAGUUAUACCAAAUGGAUUCUAUACAUCUCACUGAACUUAGAGCUUAUUGUUUAUUCGUUUUCUAUUUUUCUAUUUAGAACUUAGAGAUUAUGGAAGCAGUUAUGUCAUUACAAGGAUCACAAGAGGAUGAUAAGGAUACAAGUACGAUCUACAAGCUAGAGGUAUGUGUUGUUGAGAAUAUCGUUAACUAAUAAAAUGGUGUUCUCUCUAAUAGCUUAAGCUUUUAGAUGAGAUGGUCACGCACUUCAACAUGUUAUCAGAGCAGGCAGAGGCCCUGGGAUCAAAUCUCUUCGCCACCUUUCAAAUUAAAAAGAAUUUCCACGUGCUAAUCAGUCAGACAUUCUUUCAAGAUUGGUCUCUCUAUAUUUCUUGAUCUCAUUGCAGGCUAUUAGUGUAAUUUGUGAGGACAGAGGGAAAGAUUUUCUUCCUUGCACCAGCAUUGUCAUGCCCCUUUUGUUUCAAUGUGCUCAACUCGAACCUGAUAAAAUCAUAUUAUCUCCAGAUUCAGACCAUACUUGUUUAGCUGAUAAUAGGUACGCCUUUUUGUCUGAUCAUUGCUCUGAGUGAUCGCCUUUUUAUGUACAUUAUAACAUCUUGCAGUAUACACAGAGUCAAGGUUGGCAAUUCAACGAUAUGUAUAAAAGAAAGUUCCCUAAAGAAGAAAGCUUUAGCAUGUAAAGCCCUAGUCAUGGUUGCUUACAAAUUGAAGGAAGACUUUUACCCAUGGAUUUUCCAGGUUGUCACACUUGGACUUCUCUCUUUUUCUUUCUUUCUACCCGUGCUUUUGAUCGCGAACUGAAAAUUUGACAAGUGGUUUCAAUGGCCUAAUGCUUGAUAAAUGAUACAGACUGCUUCAAUUUUAUUUCCACUUUUGAAAUUCCAUUUCAAAGAGGUCAGGUUCCAUACAGUUGAAGGUGAGAUUUCUCAGGAUUUCACAUAGUUAAUUUCUCCGUCUUUUAUAACUAUCUGAUCACCUCCAAGACUUUUUAAUUUGUAAUGUUUAUAGCGAUGAAGCACCUUUUGCAAUCUGCUAAACUGGCUGAUGAGAAAGGGAUUGCUCCAGGUGAAAGCCAUUCGGAUUUCAAGCAGUUUUCGGACAGUAUAAUACUGAAUUUGGUGGAAGCUUUGCAUGAGGUUUACUUUUAACAUUAAGCUUCUUCUAUUUGGAUAAUGAGAAAGUAACACUUUGAUUUCUAUAUAAUGCAGGAGCUUGAAACAGAGAUAUAUGUACAUAUGUUGUAUACAUUACGACUGUGCCUUCAGGUUCGUGAUCUUUAAACACUGCUUAUUUGUUUUGAUCCAAAGUUUUCAGUGUUUCACUAUGAGCUAGGUAUGAAGUUUUUUGAAAAUGUUGCCUAUGUGGACCACUUCUCAAUGAAGAUCAGCUUCGUCCAGUCGUGGAUGAGAUAAAGCAUGUCAUUACAGAAAAUUUAAAUAGCCAAGGAAAACUCACAGAGAGAGAAAAAACAGAAGACUUCGAUGCUGAGGAAGCUGAAUUGCUGAGAGGGGAAAAACAUCAACAAGAUCAAAUAUUUAAACUUGUAUGUUCUAUAUUAAAACAGGAACUAAAGUGAUACACUGUUGUCUUUAUAUAUUCAAGCAUUUUCGCUUUGGUUCUGCUGUUAUUCUUGAACAGGCUGGUGGCAUAUUAGGUAGACUAAUCGAAUCAUUCAAGGUUGUUUUCUUGCCUUACUUUGACGAGCUAUCAUUAUAUCUGAUUCCGAUGUGGGUAAGUUCAUUGACACUAUUGUAACAUGACGUUAGUUUAUCAUUAUUCAUAUCUAGCAUAUCUUAUUGUUUCCGAUUUUUGUUAAGGACAAAGAAAUGACAAGUCUAGAGAGAUGUACAUCACUUUAUAUCUUUGGUGGUCUUGUGAAGCAUUGCUCUGAAGCAGCUCUAAAGUGAGUUUAAUUUAUCUGUAUGAGUUUUUCUUAAAUUAUUGGGGUGUCACCAUUUUGAUAAAUCACUUACUUCCUAUGCCAACUAGGUACUGUAAUGAAUUUCUACCUUUGCUUCUGAAAUCAAGCAAUGACGAAAACCCAGCAGUUAGACAGGUUUGGAUCAUCGUGAUUGCUUACAUUCCUGUUACUCAAGUUGGUUGCUCACAGUAUGGUUUAACCAAAACACCAAUGACUUCAUGUUCAGAAUGCUCUACAUGGACUUGGGUUUUAUGCAGAAUAUCAUGGUUCUGUUUUCAAACCUUUUGUUAGAGGUAUUAAUAUUGUUGAAUGUGAUACUUCUAAUCAAGCAAGUGUUUUUGUUAACUUACGCGUUUAUGUUCAGAGGCUAUGUCACGGAUCAAUGUAGUGAUAAUGCAUUUACGUGCUCGUGAACCUGAGAAUGAACUUGCAUAUGAUAGUGCUGUUUUUACCCUUGGUAAAAUAUUUCAGUUUCAUCGAGAACUUAUCGACUCAGCCCAGGUUUGUCCUUCUCAGAAUCCCUAAUGUUAAGUCUUGUUAUAAUUUCUGAUUCUGAAUCCUUGUGUAGGUCAUUCCCAUUUGGUUGAAUUGCCUGCCUGUAAAAGGUGACUAUGUUCAUGGUCAACUAUGUUCCAUGGUUGAAAGGUAUUGGAUUUGUUUGCAAACUCUAAUAUGUCAUAUCUUCAUAAAAUGCAGGAUUUUAUCCCACGUUUAGUUGAAAGUAUUAUGUAAUCAUAAGACUAUUUAUCCCACCAUUUAUACCUUAGUGAUGUGAUAAGUUAUUUCAUUCCGAAAUAGUUGAUGUCAGGAUAACUUAUUCCAAACCAAAUGACCCAUUAAUGAUUUAUCAAAUUUUCUCAAUUUCAGGUCAGAUAGAGAACUUUUGGGUACCAAUUAUGAACACUUCCCAAAAAUUAUGUCAAUUUUUGCAGAGGUUAGUUCCAUAUCAGAAUCUAUAGAUGCCAGUUUGAGUUGUUUAUUUGCUCCUGAUAAAUAUUAAAUGAGAUAAGUAUUGAAAACAUUCUUAGAUUAGGUGUAAAUUAUUAAUUUCAUAAUCGAACUAUUGACAAUCUUAAAAACACUCAAUUCUUUGACUAACUAAACUUACACUUCUGAUCUUGCAACAUGACCGAAAUACAUCCCUAAUUUAGGGGUGCUUUCAACACUCCUCUAUGAAAUAUGGCAGAUCAGAGAUGUAUCUAAGUUUAAUCUGGUCAAAUAGAGGUGUAUUUUUAAGACUAUCAAUAAUUCAAGAACGAAACGAACAAUUUGUGUCAAGUUUAAGAGUGUUUUUGAAUCAAACUAAAGACUUUUUUUAUUCAAUUUCGUAUAGUUAAUUUAGUUUCACUUUUUAAGGUUAUAUGUGGUGGAAAACAUCUUGCUACAGAAGAAACAACAAAGUGUAUGAUUAAUCUGUUGAGGAAUCUUCUUAAAGAACUACCACCAGACACUUUGACAUCAGCAUGGUCAUUGAUAUUGCCUCAGCAAGAAAUGGAACUAAAAGCCAUUUUAUUUCCUGGAAUACUUCAUGUGGUACGUUUUCACAACAAAACAUUUUGUAUGCUUGACACUGAUACCAAUGAAAGCUCUCCCCCUUACUCUUUACCAUCCAAAAUUGUCAAACUUCUCGAGGAAGAACAUCAGAAAAAUAGUAUUAUUGUUCCACAAAUGUAACUUAUAAACCAUAAAUUGUUUCUUUAAAGUUUUGUAUCAUUUAAGUAUACAAGAUGAUACUAUAGUUGAUUUGUGGGGAAUUGAAUAUGUAAUUAUCAUUAGACUAUCUAUGUUAUAUCUUUUUACGAUUUAUCUAUCCAUUUGGAAUUUCUUUAUUUUAGUUUUUCAUAAGUUGAAAUUCAUAUUGUGGCAUAUAAUUUAAAUAAUUGUUUAUUAAAAUUAAACAAGUCAAACCUUAAGGACCUAAAAUCUAAACCUGACGGCAUAAACCCUGAGAGGUCGUUUGGUGUGAAAGAUAACUUUAAAUAGUCCUACGAUUAAAUUAUAAUGUCACUAAAUUUGUUGUUUGAUUGGCAAUUUCGUGAUAACUUAUCUCAUGAUUAAUAAUUAAUACAAGGAUAAAUUAUCCCUUCCCUUGGAUGGUACAAUAAUCCCGAGACAAUUUAUCACAAGAUAAAAUGACUAAAUGACAAAAAUAUCUUUUUAAACACUUUUUAUACAUUAUUUUUCAUAUUCAUGAACGGUAUUUUUGUAAGCAUAUAUGUUGUUCUUAAGAUUUAUUAUUUUGAAUACAACAAACCAAAAAUUCAAUAAAAAAUAAUAUCAAUAUAACUUAUUCCAUCAUAACUUGAAUUCAAACCAAACGACUGCAUCUUAGAGCCCAAAAAAUAAACUCAAAACUCAAAAUCAUAAACCCUAAACCUUAAACCUUAAACCUUAAACCUCAACCUUAAAGUCUAAACCAUAAACCCAAAACUCAAAAGCUUGGGGCCUAAAACCUAAGAUUUACGAUUUAUGGUUUAGGAUUUAGACCAGGGCUGUCUUAACCCCUAGGCCACUAAAGCCAUCGCUUGGGGCCCCAUAUAUUUUGGGGCCCCCAUUUAAAAAAACAAUUACUUAUAUAUGUUAUUUAAAAAAUAAUAAUUAUAUGUAUUAUGAGUGUUAUGAUUUCUACUAAGGAAAUUGCAUAUGAGAUGAAAAUAAACUGAAUUUCGUAAGAAACAAUUUGAUGAAAAUGUGGAUAGCGAAAUCACAAAGUCCUUUGAAGAACCUUUUAGAAUUGGUUGUUUUAUAUAUGUAGAGUAGAUCAAACUAUUUUUUCACUUCAAAAUAGAUUUAAAUCAAUUGAAACAUAUGGAAAUAUUUUUGAUUUCUUAUUUAGUGGUAAAAUAUUGAGAUCACUAGAUGAACAUAUGGAAAUAUUUUUGAUUUCUUAUUUAGUGGUAAAAUAUUGAGAUCACUAGAUGAACAUAUGGAAAUAUUUUUGAUUUCUUAUUUAGUGGUAAAAUAUUGAGAUCACUAGAUGAUGAGAAUUUUUUUUUUUGUCUUAACUUUGAACUUUCUUUAUCAUGUGAUAGUUAUUAUGAUAUUGAUGGUUUAGAUUCAUUUUUUGAAUUAAAAGUGUUAAGGGAAAUAAUACAAGUAGAAGAUAAUGAUCUAAUGAAAAUNNNNNNNNNNNNNNNNNNNNNNNNNNNNNNNNNNNNNNNNNNNNNNNNNNNNNNNNNNNNNNCUCAAUCAAAUAAAAAGACUUGAUUCUUUUCCAAAUACUCAUAUUGCUUAUAGAAUAAUGUUAACAGUUCCUGUAACUAUUGUCUCAGCCGAAAGAAGUUUUUUGCGAAAUUAAAAUUGAUUAAAUCUUCUUUAAGAUCAACAAUGUCUAAAGAGAGAUUGAAUGAAUUAGCUAUAUCAUCAUUUGAAAAGAAAUUAUUAAAACAAAUUGAUUAUAAUAUAGUACCUAAUGACUUCACAUCUAAAAUAGCUAGAAAAGUAGAUAUUAAAUAAAAGUAUUUAUGAUGAAAAAAAAUUAGGGCCUCUCUCUUAAGUUUCGCUUUAGGCCCCCAAUGUUGUUGAGUCGGUCCUGAUUUAGACUCUAAGAUUUAUAUUUUAGGGGUUAUAGUUUAUAGUUUUGACUAUAAGAUUUAGGAUUUAAGAUUUAUAAUUUUAGAGUUUAGGCCUUAUGGUUAAGUGUUUAGAGAUUAAGAUUUAUAAUUCAUGUAUAAAUUAAAAUAUAGGGUUUAGGUCCAAGGUUCAUAUGGUUAUUUGAGGUCAAUCUUUAAGAAUAAUUGAACCAAACCCAUUUGAACCCAAAAUAAAUUUGAACGCAUUGAUCAACUUCGUGAUUUUUUUCUACACUUUUGACUCUUCAUCACCUUUCUACAAUUACAAUUGUUUCACAAAUCCUUUUUUAAAAUCUUUCAAAACAUAAUUAUAAAAAAUAUCUUUGUAAAUCCAUUCUAUUUCCUAAUCCCUUUCAUAAAACAAAUAAUCAAAAUAGCCUCAGAAGGAAGGCAGUAGUAUAGUCAUAAUCAUUAUUUUGAUCAUUAACGCAAAUCUACUCAUCAUCGGCAAAAAAAUAAUAAUUAAAAGAAACAAAAAAACAAUUAUUAUUGUAAUGCUUGAAAGUUUUGCAAUUUUCCUAAUUCAAAAUUAUUGACUAUCGAUUUUGAUAAUGUAUUUCUCAAAAUUGUUGUGUGAAAUACAUGAGUAAAAUUUUGACUAUCAAUAAUUUUGACAUGAGUAAAAUACAUCUGAACUCAAAAUUCAAAAUACAUUUCAAAACUCAAAAUUAAGAGUCAAAUUUGAGCAUAAAAUUUAGGACUUGGAAUCUAAACUCAAAAUUUGAAAGCAUAUACCUUAGGGCAUAGACCCUAAACCUUAAGAGCCUAAACUCUAAACAUUAUGUCCAAUUUUAUGAACCCUAAAUCUUGAACCUUAAAUCCCAAGUCAUAAACCCUAAAAUCUUAGAACUUAACCCAAAACUCUAAACCUUAAAGCCUAAACCUUAAACCUUAAACCUUUAAAUCCUAAAUCUUAAUGUUUAGGAUUUAUGAUUUAUGGUUUUAGAUUUUAAAAUUUAAGAUUUAGAGUUCAGACAAUAUGGUCAAGAGUUUUAAGUUUUAUGAUAUAAGAUUUAGGCCUUAAAAUUUGAAGUUUAGAUUUUAACAAUUAGCCUCUAAACUUUAAGAUUAAAAAUACAGCAUUUGAACAUUAUUAUAAUAAAUAAUUAUGUAGUACCCCAACGUCCAAAUACACCACAAAAAUUAGAUGCAGAGGAUAGCGAGGGGAACAUUAUUAUAGCUUCACUUGCUAAAGUACCACACCAUAAAAGUGUAAUCCACAAAAUAUAAUUAGCAAAGCAUAGAACAAUUAACAACAACAUACCCAAUAAAAUCCCCACAAAUCCACGCAAACCUUAUCAUUAUCUCGUAAAAAAAAAUAAAAAAAUAUGAAAUUAAUUCAGUCCCUUAGAUGUUCAAUUAAUUGCGAUCAUCUUCGCAAAUCAUUACAGGUCUGUAACUGUAAAAAAUUAAUCAUCAUUGUUGUUUCAGAAAAGGGUCAAAAUUGUCCCCGAACUAUAUGAAAUAGACCAUUUAUACCCUUCGUUACAUUUUGGGAUCAAAAAUGCCCCUGCUGUUAUCCUAAGAGACCACAAAUACCCUCAAGAGUUAACACCCCAAAUUUUUGUUGAUGUGGCAAGCCACAUGGGACUAAUCCUUCCACCUAAGAGUUGCCAACUAGGAUUCACUACAAAAGAACUAGACUUUUAGCGGCAAUAACAGUCGCCACAAAAGCCCAGAAAAUCGUCACUAAAAGUUUUUAACAUUAAAUUCUAAUUUUGUGUUUUUUUCUUCAUUGUUUUUAAAAAACCAAAUAUGAUAUCGAUUAAGUAGGAGUUUGAAGACACUAUAUGUUUUAUUUUUAUGUCAUAUGUAAAUGUAUAAAAUGUACAAUGAUGCAUUAUAUAUAUAUAGUAGGAGAUUUGAAUCGAGAAGUAAUUUUGAUGAUUUUUCGUAAUAAUAUUGGAUAUUUUUAAUAUUGAUAUUGCAAAGUUAUUUAUUUUAGAAAAUUAGGUUGCAAUCGAAAAUUAAUUAUCAUAUUAUUUUGUUGAAAAAAUAGGUUUUACUAGCGAAUGGUUGUUGGAGCGUUAGUCGCCACUAAAAAUCACUCAUAACCUUUAGUGGCAAUAUUUUGAGGUUUUGUGGCGACUUUGUCGCCACUAAAAGUCAAGUUCUUUUGUAGUGAAUCUUAGUUGGCAAUGCUUAGGUGGAGGGAUUAGUCCCAUGUGACUUGCCACGUCACUAAAAAAUUGGGGUGUUUAACUCUUGAGGGUAUUUGUGGUCUCCUGGGAUAACUGCGGGGGUAUUUUUGAUUCCAAAAUGUAAUUGAGAGUAUAAGUGGUCUAUUUCGCAUAGUUCAGGGUCAAUUUUGACCCUUUUCCGUUGUUGUUUUCAUAUACAAUGAUUAGAAUAAAAUAUAUAUAAAAAUUUUUGAUGAACAAACUCAGUCCCUUAGAUGUUCAAUUUUUUGCGAUCAUUUUCGGCAAAUCAUUACAGGUCUGUAACUGUAAAAAAUUACUCAUCAUCGUUGUUCAUCAUCAAAAAACUAUUAUGAAAAAAAUUAAAAAAAAAGUUGUGGCUGCACCAAUUGUUCUCCACAGAUUAAAUUAAAUGAAGAGAAAGAUGAAAAAGGAACAACACACUUAUUAAUGCUUCAAGGGAACGAGUUGGUCAAAAAUAAAUUAUUUCUUGCCAACCAGAUUAAAGAAGCAUAUAACUCAAAAUAUAUACACAAAAAUAAUAAAUUUAUUUAGAGUUUAGAAGAUAUAUCACCAUCUAGCUGGAUAUGAUUAUUAUGCAUAAUGAAUAAAGGAAACAGCUUAAGAGAAAAACUGGUCCGUUAGAUCUCCUCUUUCAAUCGCAAUCUUCUAUUUCUGCACAGCAAAGAAACACUUCUCAAAUAUAUUUUACGAAAGAUUUAACAGGUAAAAGUGUACAAGCUCAAAAUAUGAUGCAAUUAAUCUUGAGUCAGUUACCUGUUAAACCAGUGUUGCCGCUUUUUAUAUGCAAGGGGUAAAUAAGGACCUUGAGCUCUGCAUUUGCAUAUCCUUCUUGCACUUCUUGAAUGUCCUUGACUGAUUUUUCAAGAGACUCACCACAUCGUUUCACUUCAACGUAUCAGAGCCUAAGGGCUCAAAUCUUUAGAUUCUCUAAAACAAAAUUUCAAUAAGGGGUCUACAGUAUAAAUAAAAUUUUAAUAUUCAAACAUUUCAAUAUUAUUUAAAUUAAUUUACCUUAGAGAUUGACAUAAUUCGAAAACCAAAUACCGAAUAAAUAAUUCAUAAAACUGAAAUUAUCAUCGCCGGACCAGUGACCACUAGUACCUCCAAACAACUCAAAAACAAACUACCACCCGAUCACACCAAAUCGGUCGUUACAUGAAAUGAGACAUUUCAUGGUAACGAUGGAUCUAAAUGAUACAAUACAAUAAAAUUUAAGUAACAAUCAACAUAAGUAUUGUAUUUAAACUAACUAUACAAUAUAAUGGGUAACAACCAUCCAAACAAGGUGUUAAUGUAAAAGCAUACAGAAUAUCAUAUAAUAAAGUUCAUAUAUCAAUGCAAUGGAUCCAUUGAAAGAAAGUAUUUUGAAGUACACACAAAACUCAAAAACAAGAAAAUUAUCCAUCUAGCUGGAUAUGAUUAUGCAUAAUGAACAGAGGAAACAGCUUAAGAGAAAAACUGGUCCGUUAGAUCUCCUCUUUCAAUCGCAAUCUUCUAUUUCUGCACAGCAAAGAAACACUUCUCAAAUAUAUUUUACGAAAGAUUUAACAGGUAAAAGUGUACAAGCUCAAAAUAUGAUGCAAUUAAUCUUGAGUCAGUUACCUGUUAAACCAGUGUUGCCGCUUUUUAUAUGCAAGGGGUAAAUAAGGACCUUGAGCUCUGCAUUUGCAUAUCCUUCUUGCACUUCUUGAAUGUCCUUGACUGAUUUUUCAAGAGACUCACCACAUCGUUUCACUUCAACCAUCUUUAGAGUAGCAAUAUGUCCAACCAUGGAAGGAAUUUCUCGAAGAUUAAAGCAGUUUUCUAUAAGAAUGUGUUCGAGGUUGGGAAAGGACUCAUCUGAUGCAUUCCAUGUUGUUAUUGUAAGGGAUCUUAAUUUAAGAACCUUGAGGUUCAGAAACUCUUCAUCUUCGAUCUCCCAUUUGUCCUGCUGAAAUGCUCUAUGUUCCAACUUGAGAACCACUAAAUUUGGUAAUCUUCCGAUAUUAGACAGUUCACUUUGUGGCAACAAAACAUCUGAUAGAGUUAGCUUUGUUAGUGUCGCGGGCAAGGUGAAAUUCAAAAUCUUACCGUUUACACUGAGUGUUUCAAGUUGAAGAGCAUGUAAUUUGAGUUUGAGAGGCUCUUUACAGUGGCAUUUGAGCUUUCGCAGUCUGCUUGCCUUCUUGACCAUGUAGUCUACUAGCUCAUUAGUGAGAGACACUGUGGCCAAGGUCUCUAUGUUUGUCGAUGUCUGAGGAAUGCGUCCAUCAAAAGAUGCAACAGGUUCAACAUGUACAUGCUUUAGCCUUGGCAUAUUCCAGAUGGUCAUCGGUAAAAUUGUGCCACUGCCUACUGUUAUUACAAGCAAUACCUCUAGGUUUGAAAGGUUCGAUAUCCAUAAUGGCAUAGAUACCAUAUAGCCUUUGAUUCCUAAGUACUUCAAAUGGAUCAGCUCUUUUGAUCUCUGGAAUGAACUCUCCGACAUAGUACAUUCCAUUUGUAGUACUCUUAAUAGUUUAAAGUUCUCAAGAUCAAGAAAUUCCUGGCAGCCAGAUUUCGGGGGUCUGAAGAAUGCAGAUCGAACUUGCAUGUUUCCAAUCUUCCCUGCCCAAUAAAGGCUAUGAUGAAUGCAAAGCCUCCGGUGCUCAUAAAAGGAACUAGACAAAUCAGUCUUCCCGGUGCUUGUUAGUUGCAUAAACUUCUCUUCCUUAGACUUUGUCAUGCAAAAAUCAUGUAACAUAUCAUGAAUGCGGCAUGUUCUGACUCCUCCAGUGGACUUUCUCUUGCUCACCAUUAUCAAGCUUCUACCAAUGAGAUCAUUCAGUAAACUUUCUACAGCAAGGUGUAUACUUUCUACCUCUAUGUUUGGCACCAAUCCCUCAAUAGUCCAUAACCACUCCAAGUUCGAGAGUGGAAUUUCUUCAUCCUUUUGAAAUGAUGCAAAAUAUAGAAGGCAGGGUUUGAGAUGAUCAGGCAAGUGCUUGUAGCUCAGUUCUAUAACCUCCAUGCACUCUUUUGCACUAGUAACAGUAUCUAACUUUAUACUCUCUGCGACUCUUCUCCAACUUUCCUCAUUUUCGCUUAUCCCAGACAAAACUCCAGCAACCAAAAUCACAAGGAGAGGUAGUCCUUUACACUUACUCGCGAUGUUUGCUCCUACUUUUGAUAGGUCUGGUGGGCAAGUUUGUUCCUUGAACAGCUUGAUUUUCAUUAGUUCCCAACUUUCAUUUUCGUCAAGAAAACGAAGUUCAAGAGGUUCUCUUCCACGUGUAAUGUUGGAAGCCACAUCAAUGUUUCGGCUGGUUAAUAAAAUCCUGCUUCCGUUUCCAUUAUCCGGUAAGCAUCUGUGCAAGUAUUUCCAUGUGUCAACACUCCAUAUGUCAUCAAUGUAGAGAAGGUACUUCUUUCUUAACAGAAAUUUCCGCAAAGCAUCUGCUGGAUCUUUCUCAUUCUGUUUGUUAGAACAUUUGACUUGAUUCAAAAUUCCGAGCAGCAACUUUCUUCUGUCAUAAGUUUGGGAAACACAACACAUAGCUUGGACGUCAAAAUGACGCCGCAUUUUCUUAUCAUGAAAAACUUUCUUUGCUAGUGUAGUUUUUCCAAGACCAGGCAUCCCUACGAUAGAAACAACAUCCAAGUACUUUGGUCCUAUAGUGAGCUGUUCGAUUAGCAAGUCAGUCUCAUCCUUAAAACCCACCAUUACCUCAUCAUGUUGUGUAGUCUCAACUACUGGUCUGACAGGAUUUGGUCCUUGUUCUUCAAUAGGGACUUCAACUUCUCGCGUAAUCGUAGCAUGGAACUCUUUCAAAUGAUCCCUUACAACCUUAGUUUCUGUUGUGAUCUUACAUAACAAAUGUAGAUACCAAACAGGAUAAUCUCCGGUAACCAGGCAAUCAAUUAUGCAUUCUGCCUGAUAUGCUAGAGAUAUGACUUCUGUCCAUAGAUCAUGUUUCUUCACCUCCUCAAACUCAUGGUUUUUCUUCUCAACUUCCUUCAAGAAGAAUCUUAAGAGAUAUAACUCUUCCCGAGCUUCUUCAAUAAGAUGCUUGACAACAGAAUCACACUUUCCGUCUUGCAGCAGCUCUUUCAGAUAGCAUAAGAGAUAAUCGAUAAACCCCAAUCCAUUUGUCCUAGGAAAAUUACAUUUUGAUGACACUACAUCUUUCAGAAUCACAUCUUUUAGAUCUUCCAUGACAUGUUCAAUCUUUUUUAACAAGUCACUGAAUACCGAGUUAACUUCUGCUGCUUUGUCAACGGAGAAAGAGAAAGCAGCAGAUACUACCUCAGCAAUCAGACCUUCAAUGCAAGUAAGUUUGUCACUCAUUUUUUCCUGGAUAACAUAUAAAUCUUCUGGUGGACAAAUGAGCAAAGUUACCAAUUGCUUUGAUGCUUCGGCAAGGCUUUUGAUUUGAUCCUUUUUAAGAGGAAGCAUCAAAGAACAUGCCUCACCGUCUGAUAACUCCAACAAAUCCUUGAAGAUGAAAUGAACAAAACCUUCAACAAAUUCUAUCACAUCCCGGCUGUAUUGGAUUUGCAAUUUAACUGAACCUCUUAGAGCUCCAGUAUAGAUUUCUGCAACGUCCGGAUCAAUGGGCUUGAUAUAUUUCAAAACAUGAGAGAUUUGAAGUGUCAACACAGAUGCUGAAUCUCCAUCCAUUUCUUCCACAUAACAAAGGUAACAUAUGUAUGCAGCAUUCACUGUGAUGCCCUCUAUAUGAUUAAAAAGAAUCUUGGAUUUCUCUAGCUCCAUGCUUGCAUCUUUUAUGAAAUUGAGGAAGGUUUUUAGAUAUUUUAGACUUUCUUCAAGGACUUGAAACUCUUUCUUCAGAAGAACAAACUUGUCGAAAUCUUUCUUGUUGAUGAGAAGAUCCUUCACAUUCUGAAGGAUACACUCAAUGAAUUUCUGAAACAAUGGGCUGCAUAAAUUUGGUAAAGGCCACCUCCCUGGAACCAAUGAAAGGAGAAACUCAUAACCUUCUUUGACUUCGGCAGAAGCUAAGUCUGCCCUUGGUCCCGAGACAGUGUCACCGACUUGCAUUCCAUGUCUGCACAAUCUCCCCUCCUUAAUCCUUCCUUUUUCAUUUGCCCAAUACAAGAAAGUACCAAAAAAUCUCCUCUCUAUUUCAGACAUUUGUUUUCUAGCAGAAUUUCCUCAGAGUGGAUAUAUGUCGACAGCUCUGCAAAGAGAUUAUAAACAAAUCACAUUCUAGGACAAACAAUGCAUACUCCAUAAUCUAGUUGCUCUUCAUAUUGCGUCAAAUCCGGUGUAUCAUGAAAAAACUAAACAUAUUGAGGUUGAUUGUCAUUUUAUUCGUGAGAAGAUUCAGGAAAACAUGAUUUCCAUUGGCUACGUGAAGACAUGAGAGCAACUAGCUGAUCUAAUUUUAUUGAAUUUUGUUCUUUGGUUUUACAUUGGUUUAGACAAUUAAAAUACAUAAUUUAAUUUUAAUUUUCCUUAAAUAUUUAGUAAUGUAACUAAUACUUAUUAAACUUGUAAUUUUAGCAUGAUUUAGUACUUUUAAAUUAUGAUCAUUUUCAUUAUGACUUUGCAAUAUUUAUUUUAUAUAAUGAUUUCAUUAUUAUUUUUUAUUGAAUAUUUUUGUUCAUCAGUACUCAUCUCAUAUUUUGUGUUAUUUUUUUUUAAGAAAUACCUUAGAUAAUUGUAUUUUGGUUGGACUAAAGAAAUAUUUGGAGCACAAGUUAAUUAUAUGUUUGUAUGCAAACUUUACCGAAAAAAUCCAAAAAUCUAAAAAAAUCCGAGGUUUAUUAGUUUGGUUUGAUUUAUAAAUUUAAAAAUUCGACACAAUGGUUUGGUUUGGUAUUUGAAAAACCUGAAAAAAUCCGAAUUUUAUUAGUUUGGUUUGGUUUAUAAAUUUAAAUUUUUUACACAAAUGGUUUGAUUUGAUAUUUGAAAAACCCAAACCAAUCCGGUCAUGUACACCCCUAAUUGCAAUUAUAACUUGAUUAUGUGGAGUAUAGAUUUCAUAAGAAUAAUACUACUUGUUUAAUGUAGAAAAAAAAUAUAUGUUACUUAAUUCUAUGCAAAGCAUGUUAGCCCCAUAGAAUCGGGUAAUUUUGAUAAUGAAACACUUAAUCGACUUGUGACUUAUUGCAGGCAAAUAAGGAAAGAAAUGAGCCAAGCAUACAACACCUAAAUUAUGAACUAUGUCUAUUUGUAUAACAGAUGAAUGAAGAAUAUAAAAUGAUGCAACUUCAUUGUUUCAUUAUGGCCACUGGUAAUGGCUAAGAAAUGAUUUUUUCCCCUCUGUUUCAAUUUGUUUGACCUAUUUUGACUUGACAUGAAAUUUAAGAAAGUAAAAAAGAUUUUUGAAUCUUGUGGUCUUAAAUAUGUCGUGUAGAAAAUUGAAGUUAAAGAGUUGCUAAAAAAAGAAAAGGUCAUUCUUUUUUAAACAGACUAAAAAGAAAAGUAAAUCAAACAAAUUAAAAAGGAGGAAAUAAUUGAAAGUUUAAACCUACUAAAAAGAAAAUUAGGUGAAGAGUCAGUGUCAUACUAAUUAGAUCAUUGAAAUAUCUCAUGAUUUACGGAAGAAAGUCCUCAUUUGCUGCUACCAAUUUCACCACUUUGUCAAACAUCAUUUAAUUGGCAAAGAAAGUCAAAUAAGACAUUUGCAAGUUAGAUAUUAUUCUUGUCAUUGAUUUCACUCAUGAUAUUAUUCGUAUUAGAAAGCAGAAUGAGGUAUACCAUAGACUGUAUAAAAAAAUAGUCUGCUAAGAAAAAUUGAGUGUUAGCGAUCAUCUCUUAUCGGAAAAGGUCGGAAUCUAAGUCAAUGAUGAAGCAGAAGGAUCCCUAACUCAUUAGCUCUUAAGCUAGCCAAGUCUCUUGGCUCUGAUCAGCUAGCUGCUGCACUUCAUCCUGACAACAACUGGCCUAAAUUAUUACCAAUCUUUUAUAGAUGUUUCAGUACUCACUACAAGAAAAUGUACAUACGGCGACAUUAAUUUGGUGACAUUUGAAAUAAAUGUCGGAAAAUAAAGAAUUUUACGAUAUUUAGGAACAAAAUGUCAUAAAACAAUGACAUUUGAUGUCAAAUGUCGUAAAAAUAAUGACAUUUGGUAUCAAAUAUCAUAAAAAUAAUGACAUUUGGUCCAAAAUGUCACUAUGAUAAUGACAUUUAUUGCAAAAUAUCGUUGUUUUUAGCGACAUUUAGCAAAAAUGUCAUUUAAAUGAUGACAUUUGCUACAAAUGUCGAAUAUAAUAUGACAUUUACUACAAAAUGUCAUUGGUUUUAGUGACAUUUAGAAAAAAUAUCGCUUAAAUAGUGACAUUUAAUAUAAAUGUCGAAUAUAUUAUGACAUUUACUGACAAAUGUCAUUGAUUUUAGUGACAUUUAGAAAAAAUGUUACUAAAAUAGUGACAUUUGUAGUAAAAUGUCAUUGAUUUUAGCGAUUUUUAGCAAAAUUGUUGCUAAAAUAGCGACAUUUCAUACAAUUGUCGAAUAUAUUACGACAUUUAUUGCAAAAUGUCAUUGAUUCGAUCGACAUAUAUAGUGAAAAUUUCCCUAAAACAGUGACAUUUUUAUACAAAUAUCAAAUAUAUUAUGUCAUUUGUUGAAAAAUGUCAUUGAUUUUUAUGACAUAUGAUGAAAAGUACUGUUAAACNNNNNNNNNNNNNNNNNNNNNNNNNNNNNNNNNNNNNNNNNNNNNNNNNNNNNNNNNNNNNNNNNNNNNNNNNNNNNNNNNNNNNNNNNNNNNNNNNNNNNNNNNNNNNNNNNNNNNNNNNNNNNNNNNNNNNNNNNNNNNNNNNNNNNNNNNNNNNNNNNNNNNNNNNNNNNNNNNNNNNNNNNNNNNNNNNNNNNNNNNNNNNNNNNNNNNNNNNNNNNNNNNNNNNNNNNNNNNNNNNNNNNNNNNNNNNNNNNNNNNNNNNNNNNNNNNNNNNNNNNNNNNNNNNNNNNNNNNNNNNNNNNNNNNNNNNNNNNNNNNNNNNNNNNNNNNNNNNNNNNNNNNNNNNNNNNNNNNNNNNNNNNNNNNNNNNNNNNNNNNNNNNNNNNNNNNNNNNNNNNNNNNNNNNNNNNNNNNNNNNNNNNNNNNNNNNNNNNNNNNNNNNNNNNNNNNNNNNNNNNNNNNNNNNNNNNNNNNNNNNNNNNNNNNNNNNNNNNNNNNNNNNNNNNNNNNNNNNNNNNNNNNNNNNNNNNNNNNNNNNNNNNNNNNNNNNNNNNNNNNNNNNNNNNNNNNNNNNNNNNNNNNNNNNNNNNNNNNNNNNNNNNNNNNNNNNNNNNNNNNNNNNNNNNNNNNNNNNNNNNNNNNNNNNNNNNNNNNNNNNNNNNNNNNNNNNNNNNNNNNNNNNNNNNNNNNNNNNNNNNNNNNNNNNNNNNNNNNNNNNNNNNNNNNNNNNNNNNNNNNNNNNNNNNNNNNNNNNNNNNNNNNNNNNNNNNNNNNNNNNNNNNNNNNNNNNNNNNNNNNNNNNNNNNNNNNNNNNNNNNNNNNNNNNNNNNNNNNNNNNNNNNNNNNNNNNNNNNNNNNNNNNNNNNNNNNNNNNNNNNNNNNNNNNNNNNNNNNNNNNNNNNNNNNNNNNNNNNNNNNNNNNNNNNNNNNNNNNNNNNNNNNNNNNNNNNNNNNNNNNNNNNNNNNNNNNNNNNNNNNNNNNNNNNNNNNNNNNNNNNNNNNNNNNNNNNNNNNNNNNNNNNNNNNNNNNNNNNNNNNNNNNNNNNNNNNNNNNNNNNNNNNNNNNNNNNNNNNNNNNNNNNNNNNNNNNNNNNNNNNNNNNNNNNNNNNNNNNNNNNNNNNNNNNNNNNNNNNNNNNNNNNNNNNNNNNNNNNNNNNNNNNNNNNNNNNNNNNNNNNNNNNNNNNNNNNNNNNNNNNNNNNNNNNNNNNNNNNNNNNNNNNNNNNNNNNNNNNNNNNNNNNNNNNNNNNNNNNNNNNNNNNNNNNNNNNNNNNNNNNNNNNNNNNNNNNNNNNNNNNNNNNNNNNNNNNNNNNNNNNNNNNNNNNNNNNNNNNNNNNNNNNNNNNNNNNNNNNNNNNNNNNNNNNNNNNNNNNNNNNNNNNNNNNNNNNNNNNNNNNNNNNNNNNNNNNNNNNNNNNNNNNNNNNNNNNNNNNNNNNNNNNNNNNNNNNNNNNNNNNNNNNNNNNNNNNNNNNNNNNNNNNNNNNNNNNNNNNNNNNNNNNNNNNNNNNNNNNNNNNNNNNNNNNNNNNNNNNNNNNNNNNNNNNNNNNNNNNNNNNNNNNNNNNNNNNNNNNNNNNNNNNNNNNNNNNNNNNNNNNNNNNNNNNNNNNNNNNNNNNNNNNNNNNNNNNNNNNNNNNNNNNNNNNNNNNNNNNNNNNNNNNNNNNNNNNNNNNNNNNNNNNNNNNNNNNNNNNNNNNNNNNNNNNNNNNNNNNNNNNNNNNNNNNNNNNNNNNNNNNNNNNNNNNNNNNNNNNNNNNNNNNNNNNNNNNNNNNNNNNNNNNNNNNNNNNNNNNNNNNNNNNNNNNNNNNNNNNNNNNNNNNNNNNNNNNNNNNNNNNNNNNNNNNNNNNNNNNNNNNNNNNNNNNNNNNNNNNNNNNNNNNNNNNNNNNNNNNNNNNNNNNNNNNNNNNNNNNNNNNNNNNNNNNNNNNNNNNNNNNNNNNNNNNNNNNNNNNNNNNNNNNNNNNNNNNNNNNNNNNNNNNNNNNNNNNNNNNNNNNNNNNNNNNNNNNNNNNNNNNNNNNNNNNNNNNNNNNNNNNNNNNNNNNNNNNNNNNNNNNNNNNNNNNNNNNNNNNNNNNNNNNNNNNNNNNNNNNNNNNNNNNNNNNNNNNNNNNNNNNNNNNNNNNNNNNNNNNNNNNNNNNNNNNNNNNNNNNNNNNNNNNNNNNNNNNNNNNNNNNNNNNNNNNNNNNNNNNNNNNNNNNNNNNNNNNNNNNNNNNNNNNNNNNNNNNNUAUGACAUUUACUACAAAAUGUCAUUGGUUUUAGUGACAUUUAGAAAAAAUAUCGCUUAAAUAGUGACAUUUAAUAUAAAUGUCGAAUAUAUUAUGACAUUUACUGACAAAUGUCAUUGAUUUUAGUGACAUUUAGAAAAAAUGUUACUAAAAUAGUGACAUUUGUAGUAAAAUGUCAUUGAUUUUAGCGAUUUUUAGCAAAAUUGUUGCUAAAAUAGCGACAUUUCAUACAAUUGUCGAAUAUAUUACGACAUUUAUUGCAAAAUGUCAUUGAUUCGAUCGACAUAUAUAGUGAAAAUUUCCCUAAAACAGUGACAUUUUUAUACAAAUAUCAAAUAUAUUAUGUCAUUUGUUGAAAAAUGUCAUUGAUUUUUAUGACAUAUGAUGAAAAGUACUGUUAAACGACUACAACAUUUUAUGUCUACAACCACCCUAGAAAAGUGUGGCCUUUGAUAAAAGGCCACACUUUUUGACUUUAAGCCACGCUUUUCCAGGGGUGACCGAAAGAAGCAUAACCUUAGAGUUUAGGCGACACUUUUCAAGUGUUGCCUUAUCAGCUACGCUUAAAAGCGUAACCUAAAAGGCAAAAAGGCCACGCUUUGUAGUACCUCAUAUAGCUUAACAUUUCUAUCUCAUACAGCUACACUUUCAAGGGUGGCCUUUGCUUCCUUAUUGCCCACGAUUUUAAAGUGUUGCCUUUUCUAUCUUAUGUAUGACAACACUUUGAAGUGUAGUCCUUGCUCAUGUGCAUACCACAAUUUAUAGUUAUUUGGCUGCACUUUUAAGUGUGGUAAUAUUAUUUUUACUAUAAAAUAUUUAUAUGCCACAAUUUCUAAUUAAAAACAUCAAUAUUAUUUUGCAAUAAAUAAUCUCAAACACUAAAUUAGCUAAUAAGUAAUUCAAAUAUAUAGAUUUACAAUAAACUUCAAAAGAUAGUAUGCUAAUCAUUGUUGCCUUAAUCUGUGUGUCAUUUUUUAAAGUGGACAACUAAAUAGGGAUGGAAGGAGUAAUAAACAAUGACUAAGAAAGACUAAUUAAUUAUUUUUCUUGUUCUUUCCUCUAAUGGAGGACAGAUGGAAGAUUAAUAAAAUAUUAUUUAUCUUCUUAAAAGUUUUAGAGGCCCACUUAAUAAUUGCUACAAAACAAAGAUGCUAAUCAGCUAAAGGAUAUAUUGUAGAAUAAUAAUUUAUACUCCCUUCCUUCGUUUUUAUUUGUCCUAAUUUUACUUGACACACCCAUUAAGAAAAUAAUUAUUAAUAUAGAUAUUUUAUUAAAUUGUCCCUAUUAAACGAUGUUUAGUAUUAAGUAUUGGAAAGUGACUUGGAAAUAGAGUAUUUAAUAUUGAGGGUAAAAUAUGGAAAAAUAUAAUUGUCUUUUUAUGAUAUGUCAAAAGCAACAAAUAAAAUGAAAAUUUAUUUUAGGAAUAAGUGAAAGUGAACGGGAGAGUAUUAAUUUUAUCUACCCGAGUUAAGAGGUUCGAAUCAAUGAUUUCUUUAUCUUGUCUUUUUAGCAUUGCAAUUAGGGGUGUAUAAAAUCGAACCGAAAAUCGAACCAAGCCGCAAACCGAAAAAAAAACUUGACUAGUGGUUUGGUUUGACUUGAUUUGGUAUUGGAAAAAAAAACCCGACUAUAUUUGGGUUGAGUUGGUUUUAACUAAAAAAAACCAACCCGAGACCAAACCAACCCGACAUUUAUUAGUUUGGUUUGAUUUAUAAAUUUAAAAAUUCGACACAAUGGUUUGGUUUGGUAUUUGAAAAACCUGAAAAAAUCCGAAUUUUAUUAGUUUGGUUUGGUUUAUAAAUUUAAAUUUUUUACACAAAUGGUUUGAUUUGAUAUUUGAAAAACCCAAACCAAUCCGGUCAUGUACACCCCUAAUUGCAAUUAUAACUUGAUUAUGUGGAGUAUAGAUUUCAUAAGAAUAAUACUACUUGUUUAAUGUAGAAAAAAAAUAUAUGUUACUUAAUUCUAUGCAAAGCAUGUUAGCCCCAUAGAAUCGGGUAAUUUUGAUAAUGAAACACUUAAUCGACUUGUGACUUAUUGCAGGCAAAUAAGGAAAGAAAUGAGCCAAGCAUACAACACCUAAAUUAUGAACUAUGUCUAUUUGUAUAACAGAUGAAUGAAGAAUAUAAAAUGAUGCAACUUCAUUGUUUCAUUAUGGCCACUGGUAAUGGCUAAGAAAUGAUUUUUUCCCCCUCUGUUUCAAUUUGUUUGACCUAUUUUGACUUGACAUGAAAUUUAAAAAAGUAAAAAAGACUUUUGAAUCUUGUGGUCUUAAACAUGUCGUGUGGAAAGUUGAAGUUAAAGAGUUGCUAAAAAAAGAAAGGGUCAUUCUUUUUGAAACAGACUAAAAAGAAAAGUAAGUCAAACAAAUUAAACGGAGGAAGUAAUUGAAAGUCUAAACCUACUAAAAAGAAAAUUAGGUGAAGAGUCGGUGUCAUACCAAUUAGAUCAUUGAAAUAUCUCAUGAUUUACGGAAGAAAGUCAAACAAAUUAAACGGAGGAAGUAAUUGAAAGUCUAAACCUACUAAAAAGAAAAUUAGGUGAAGAGUCGGUGUCAUACCAAUUAGAUCAUUGAAAUAUCUCAUGAUUUACGGAAGAAAGUCCUCAUUUGCUGCUACCAAUUUCACCACUUUGUCAAACAUCAGUUAAUUGGCAAAGAAAAGUCAAAUAAGACAAAGUUAGAUAUAUUUUCUGAAAUGGUAAUCACGUAUAGAAAAACUAGUUAAUACAAAUUAAGUUUGUUCAAAAGUCUAUCACGUACCUUUUGUAACAACUUUGACAGAGCAGAAAACAGUGAUCCAGGUUUCACUACUUUGUUCUAUACUUUUUACCAAAAAGAGAUUUUAGGACUCCGGAGAGCAAAGUCCCGUACUUGCUUUCCUGACUAAAUAUUUUCACAUGUGUGUUAAUCAUGGAAGACUUUGAGAUCAGGAGAAGGCCAUUAUUGUCACUUAAUAUAAAGUAUAAUAAUGAAAUUAAAUUACACCUAAUGAAGAAUAAAAAAUGAUUCAACUUGAUUGUUGCAUUAUACCCCAAUACAUUGCAUUUCAUUAUGGCCACUUGUGAUGGUUAAGAAAUGGAAAAAAAAAAGACUUAGCUCUAAGGUCACGACUCGGUAUCAUAGUAGAUCAUUGACAUCCCACAUUACCUUUUCAUUACUACUAAAUACCAACUGCCUAUAUAGAAAAUUAGUUCACAGCCCUGCUUUUCGCCAACUUCAGAAUUUUGGAAAUAGAAAGGAGAGUUGACCUUACCUUAAUCAACGGAGUAUAUAAUAUUGAUCUUGGAGAAGUGUCUACGAAAUUUACCUUUUCGUAUGGUAGGAAAGAUGGUUUUUCUAUAUAUAUGUUCAUUUUUUCUUACACAACUCCAUAGCAGCCGUUUCUCUCUCUAAUUAGAUCAUUGAAAUAUCUCAUGAUUUACGGAAGAAAGUCCUCAUUUGCUGCUACCAAUUUCACCACUUUGUCAAACAUCAGUUAAUUGGCAAAGAAAAGUCAAAUAAGACAAAGUUAGAUAUUUUUUCUCAAACAUCAGUUAAUUGGCAAAGAAAAGUCAAAUAAGACAAAGUUAGAUAUUAUUAUUGUCAUUGAUUUCACUCAUAAUAUUAUUAGUAUAGAAAGCAGAAUGAGGUAUACCAGUCGUAUAAAAAAAUAGUCUGGUAAGAAAAAUAGAGCGUUAGCGAUCAUCUGUUAUCGGAACUAGCAAUAUGGAUCCUAACUCAUUAGCUCUUAAGCUAGCCAACUUGUAUAGGUGUUUCAGUACUAAUUCCCAUUUGAGAGAGAAUUUAAACUUGUUUGUUGAAUUAAUCCAACACAUUGACGCUGAAGCAAUAGUCCAUUGCAUUGAUAUAUUACACCCUAUGUUCCUAAACACGUUGAAUGAUUCCCUGGUUAAUCUAGACGUGAAGAUCACUGCCCUGACGGCGAUGAGUAACUUCAUUCAACAGGUGGGGAGUUCAAAAGAUAGGGAGAGGUUUCAGGAUCUGUUGCCUGCGAUGAUGGACAUGCUGAAUAAGGCAUUGGAAGAAAAUUGGGAGGCAUCAGCUCAGUCUGAGUUGGAGAUUUUGAUUGAGUUGGCCAAGAAUGAGCCUAGUUUCUUCAGGGUGCAGCUUGUGGUUGUGGUGGGUUCCAUGUUUGAUAUAGCUGAAUGUGAGAGUUAUGAAAAGAAAACGAGACAUUUGGCGGUUGAAUUCGUGAUGACAUUGGUUGAGGCCAGGGAGAAGACCCCUGGCAUGAUCAAGAAGUAUCCAUUGUUUACUGAAAAAUAUAUUGCAAUUUUAUUGAAUUUGUUAGAGCAUGAGGUUUAUUACCCUCUCUUGCCUGAUCCUUAUGAUAGAUGGGAUAUAAAUGAUGAUUUGCCUUUUCUUAAGAAGUGUUUAUGGCGGUUGUCCCAUGCGCUGGGUGGUAAGACUGUUGGUCCUGUUGCCUUUGAGCAGGUCCGUGCUUACUUGGCUGACGACUCGUGGCAGAAGCCAUGCGCAGCACUCUAUGCACUUGCUCAGAUUGUUGAAGGCUGCUCAGAGGUGUGUAUUUAUUGAUACACUACUAAGAAUUGCAUUUAAACUGAUUAGUUAACGAUCUUGGGAUAGCAGAAGGUCACCUUGAUUAUACUUUCUUCUGUUAUUCUCUAGACUAAGUACUUUGCUUGCUCUCAUCUCUUCUUCAUUAUAAUAGGUGAUGAUUAAGAAUAUGAAUCUAGUGGUGACAAUGGUUCUGGAUUGUAUGGGACAUCCUCAUCCUGGAGUCAGAUUCACCUCCAUGGAAGCAGUUCGCGAGUUUUUGAGUUUCAUGUGUCCCCAUUUUCAAGAACAAUAUCAUCAGCAAGUAGUGCCGGCAUUAAUUAAAGCUAUGGAUGAUGACAGUGUACAAGUGCAGGUCUGUUUGUCCUACGAUGAUAUGAAUUCCUUUGGAUGCUAGUAUCAUUUGUCCCAAAUUACAGUUGCAAAAUUUUCUUACUGAACCUUCUCAAUGGCCUUAACUUUAACUUUAUUAGAUAUAAUCCCUGCUCUAACUUUACUAUCUUCAUAUUUUCCUAGGUCAGCGUCAUAUGCGCGGUCACGGGCUUCCUUCGCGAUGACACACCUAAAUAUUUGACACUUUACAUCCAUGGAUUACUCGAUAAAUUGUUUCAACUGUCAUUACAUACUGUUGCGCUAGUACGUAUUGUAGACUAAGUGCAAGAGAAAUCAGAUCAUUUUCUUGAACAAUGAACAGACAAUAUUACGAAUACAUCAAGGGAAACAACCAUAAUUUCCAAGUUCCCAAUAUAAUUAUCCCGCCCUCCUUUAUAAAUUCAAAGUUUGUUACUCCCUUGAAUGUCCUUGAGGUCUUUACUUGCCUGAUUUAUUUUUAUUUUUGACAUGAAAGGUCCAAGAAUCAGCGUCAGCUGUACUCCAAUUUUUGGCUGACCAUUUUAAGGUAUUACCUAGUAAUUCUGCUUCAACUUUUAUUAAGAGUAUGUUGUAUUAAGCUGGUUAUAUAUAUAUAUAUAUAUAUAUUAAUAUUAACAUUACUUCAGCAAGAGUGCUAUGGGAACAACUACGAAUCUAUUCUACCACUUUUUAAAGCUAUCCUGGUACAAGCAAAUUUUCCAAGUAAAGAUGUAGAGAUGAUGAUGUCAUUCCUCAAACCUGGCCGUUCGUUACUUCCAAAACAGGUCUUCCACUAGUUAUACCAAAUGGAUUCUAUACAUCUCACUCAACUUAGAGCUUAUUGUUUAUUCGUUUUCUAUUUUUCUGUUGUUGACAUAAUGUCACUAUAAGAUUAUGGAAGCAGUUAUGUCAUUACAAGGAUCACAAGAGUUUGAUGAGGAUACAAAUACCAUCUUCAAGCUAGAGGUAUGUGUUGUUGAGAAUAUCGUUAACUAAUAAAAUGGUGUUCUCUCUAAUAGCUUAAGCUUUUAGAUGAGAUGGUCACACACUUCAACAUGUUAUCAGAACAGGCAGAGGCCCUGGGAUCAAAUCUCUUCGCCACCCAAAUUAAAAAGAAUUUCCACGUGCUAAUCAGUCAGAAAUUCUUUCAAGAUUGGUCUCUCUAUAUUUCUUGAUCUCAUUGCAGGCUAUUGGUGGAUUUUGUAAGGCCAUAGGGAAAGGUUUUCUUCCUUGCACCAGCAUUGUCAUGCCCCUUUUGUUGCAAUGUGCUCAACUCGAACCUGAUAAAAUCAUAUUAUCUCCAGAUUCAGACCAUACUUGUUUAGAUGAUAAUACGUACGCCUUUUUGUCAUGACGUUUCGCCUUUUUGUCAGAUCAUUGCUCUGAGUGAUUGCCUUUUUAUGUACAUUAUAACAUCUUGCAGUAUACACAGAGUCAAGGUUGGCGAUUCAACGAUAUGUAUAAAAAAAAGUUCCCUAAAGAAGAAAGCUAAAGCAUGUGAAGUCCUAGUCAUUGUUGCUAACAAAUUGAACAAAGACUUUUACCCAUGGAUUUUCCAGGUUGUCACACUUGGACUUCUCUCUUUUUCUACCCGUGCUUUUGAUCGCGAACUGAAAAUUUAACAAGUGGUUUCAAUGGCCUAAUGCUUGAUAAAUGAUACAGACUGCUUCAAUUUUAUUUCCACUUUUGAAAUUCCAUUUCAAUGAGGUCAGGUUCCAUACAGUUGAAGGUGAGAUUUCUCAGGAUUUCACAUAGUUAAUUUCUCCGUCUUUUAUAACUAUCUGAUCACCGCCAAGACUUUUUAAUUUGUAAUGUUUAUAGCGAUGAAGCACCUUUUGCAAUCUGCUAAACUGGCUGAUGAGAAAGGGAUUGCUCGAGGUGAAAGCCAUUCGGAUUUCAAGCAGUUUUCGGACAGUAUAAUACUGAAUUUGGUGGAAGCUUUGCAUGAGGUUUACUUUUAACAUUAAGCUUCUUCUAUUUGGAUAAUGAGAAAGUAACACUUUGAUUUCUAUAUAAUGCAGGAGCCUAAAACACUGCUUAUUUGUUUUGAAACAGAGAUAUAUGUAGAAAUGUUGAAUACAUUACAUGUGUGCCUUCAGGUUCGUGAUCUUUAAACACUGCUUAUUUGUUUUGAUCCAAAGUUUUCAGUGUUUCACUAUGAGCUAGGUAUGAAGUUUUUGGAACUGUUGCCUUUAAGUCUAUUGCUUAAAAUGUUCCAUUAGUAUCAUCGAAGUGAGAAACUAGCAAUGGUGACAAAAAUCGAGUUAGAAUGGCAAAAUAGGAAUUUUCAGGUUGUAUAUGGUCCUUGUGUUUCUUCUUUCAGAUAUGUGGACCACUUCUCAAUGAAGAUCAGCUUCGUCCGAUCGUGGAUGAGAUAAAGCAUGUCAUUACAGAGAGUUCAAAUAGCCAAGGAAAACUCACAGAGAGAGAAAAAACAGAAGAUUUUGAUGCUGAGGAAGCUGAAUUGCUGAGAGGGGAAAAACAUCGACAAGAUCAAAUAUUUAAACUUGUAUGUUCUAUAUUAAAACAGUGAUUCACUGUUGUCUUUAUAUAUUCAAGAAUUUUCACUUUGGUUCUGCUGUUAUUCUUGAACACAGGCUGGUCUCAUAUUAUGUAGACUGAUCGAAACAUUCAAGGUUGUUUUCUUGCCUUACUUUGACGAGUUAUCAUUAUAUCUGAUUCCGAUGUGGGUAAGUUCAUUGACACUAUUGUAACAUGAUGUUAGUUUAUCAUUAUUCAUAUCUAGUAUAUCUUAUUGUUUCCGAUUUUUGUUAAGGACAAAGAAAUGACAAUUCAAGAGAGAUGUACAUCACUUUAUAUCUUUGAUGGUCUUGUGAAGCAUUGCUCUGAAGCAGCUCUAAAGUGAGUUUAAUUUAUCUGUAUGAGUUUUCUUAAAUUAUUGGGGUGUCACCAUUUUGAUAAAUCACUUACUUCCUAUGCCAACUAGGUACUGUGAUGUAUUUCUACCUUUGCUUCUGAAAUCAAGCAACGACGAAAACCCAGCAGUUAGACAGGUUUGGAUCAUCGUGAUUGCUUACAUUCCUGUUACUCAAGUUGGUUGCUCACAGUAUGGUUUAACCAAAACACCAAUGACUUCAUGUUCAGAAUGCUCUAUAUGGACUUGGGCUUUAUGCAGAAUAUCAUGGUUCUGUUUUCAAACCUUUUGUUAGAGGUAUUAAUAUUAUUGAAUGUGAUACUUCUAAUCAAGCAAGUGUUUUUGUUAACUUACGCGUUUAUGUUCAGAGGCUAUGUCACGGAUCAAUGUAGUGAUAAUGCAUUUACGUGCUCGUGAACCUGAGAAUGAACUUGCAUAUGAUAAUGCUGUUUCUACCCUUGGUAAAAUAUUUCAGUUUCAUCGAGAACUUAUCGACUCAGCCCAGGUUUGUCCUUCUCAGAAUCCCUAAUGUUAAGUCUUGUUAUAAUUUCUGAUUCUGAAUCCUUGUGUAGGUCAUUCCCAUUUGGUUGAAUUGCCUGCCUAUAAAAGGUGACCUUCCUGAAGCCAAAUAUGUUCAUGGUCAACUAUGUUCCAUGGUUGAAAGGUAUUGGAUUUGUUUGCAAACUCUAAUAUGUCAUAUCUUCAUAGUCUUUAAAAUGUUUUAUAUCAAAUUUUUUCACUUGCAGGUCAGACAGAGAACUUUUAGGUCCCAAAUAUGAACACUUUCCAAAAAUUAUGUCAGUUUUUGCAGAGGUUAGUUCCAUAUCAGACUCUACAGAUGCCAGUUUGAGUUGUUCAUUUGUUCCUGAUAGAUAUUUAAGGAGAGAAGUAUUGGAAAUAUUCCUAAACUAGGUGUGAAUUAUUAGUUUUAUCUUCGAACUAUUGACAACCUUAAAAACACUUAUUUACUUGACUAACACCCAUGAUCUUGCAAUAUGAGUGAAAUACACUCCUAAAUUCUCUCAAGUUUAUGGGUGCUUUGAACACUUCUCUCGACUUUUUAUUAAGAGUUUCAUGUCUUUACAAGAGUGUAUGCAAUGUGGCAGAUCAGAUAUGUAUCUAAGUUUAAGCUAGUCAAGUAGAUGGGUGUUUUUAAAACUGUCACUAAUUUGGAGACGAAACUAAUAAUUUGUGCCAAGUUUAAGGAUGUUUUCAACACUUGUCUCGUAUUUAAUCAAUCAUGAGACAUUUUUGGACCAAACUAUUGACCUAAAGAUAUUUUUAUUCGAUGUUGUAUAGUUAAUUUAGUUUUGCUUUUUAAGGUUUUACGUGGUGGAAAACAUCUUGCUACAGAAGAAACAGCAAAGUGUAUGAUUAAUCUGUUGAGGAAACUUGAGAAAGAAGUAGCACCAGACACCUUGAUAUCUGCAUGGUCAUUACUAUUGCCUAAGCAGGAGAUGGAACUGAAAUCCAUUCUAUUUCCUGGCAUACUUAUAAACCACAAAACAUUUUUUGUGCUUGGCAGUAAUUUCUCAAUUGUCAAAUUUCUUGAGGAAGAACUCCAGAAAAAUAUUACUAAUGUUCGACGAAUGUGACUUAUAAACCGUGUAUUGUAUCUUUAAUUUAGUUUUGUUACAGAAUAAUGUAUAGAUGAUACUAUAGUUGAUUUGUGGGAAUUUGAAUAUUUAAUUACCAUAAUUAGACUAUUCUCACUUAUUUAUAUCUUUGUAUUCUUUGAGUAGUACUCCCUCCAUUUCUAUUUAUAUGUCGUCCUUUUCUAAGGAUAGAUAAUAUUUAAUAUUUGACAUUUCACAAAACCAAUACAUAAAUAAAACGAUUCUUUCUAUUUUUACCUUUAAAAGCUAUUAGCCUUGAAAGUAUGAAUUUGACCAAUAUAGGAAAACUAAAUGAUUAGAUCAUUUUCAUUGAUCAAUUUAAUUAAUCAAAAUAAAUUAAUUUAUAUUCAUUUGUUGAAACUUGACUUCAAGAGAUCACUAAAUAAGGAUACACCAGUCAAUUCACCUAGACGUGAAAUCUAAAAUUGUGGCAUAUAAAUAGAAGUGAGGGGGUAGAUAAGAAAUUUUAUGUAACUUCUCUUGUUUUCGUGGUAUCAGAGCCUAAGGGCUCAAAUCUUUAGAUUCUCUAAAACAAAAUUUCAAUAAGGGGUCUACAGUAUAAAUAAAAUUUUAAUAUUCAAACAUUUCAAUAUUAUUUAAAUUAAUUUACCUUAGAGAUUGACAUAAUUCGAAAACCAAAUACCGAAUAAAUAAUUCAUAAAACUGAAAUUAUCAUCGCCGGACCAGUGACCACUAGUACCUCCAAACAACUCAAAAACAAACUACCACCCGAUCACACCAAAUCGGUCGUUACAUGAAAUGAGACAUUUCAUGGUAACGAUGGAUCUAAAUGAUACAAUACAAUAAAAUUUAAGUAACAAUCAACAUAAGUAUUGUAUUUAAACUAACUAUACAAUAUAAUGGGUAACAACCAUCCAAACAAGGUGUUAAUGUAAAAGCAUACAGAAUAUCAUAUAAUAAAGUUCAUAUAUCAAUGCAAUGGAUCCAUUGAAAGAAAGUAUUUUGAAGUACACACAAAACUCAAAAACAAGAAAAUUAUCCAUCUAGAUGGAUAUGAUUAUGCAUAAUGAACAGAGGAAACAGCUUAAGAGAAAAACUGGUCCAUUAGAUCCCCUCUUUCAAUCGCGAUCUUCUAUUUCUGCACAGCAAAGAAACACUUCUCAAAUAUAUUUUACGAAAGAUUUAACAGGUAAAAGUGUACAAGCUCAAAAUAUGAUGCAAUUAAUCUUGAGUCAGUUACCUGUUAAACCAGUGUUGCAGUUUUUUAUAUGCAAGGGGUAAAUAAGGACCUUGAGCUCUGCAUUUCCAUAUUCUUCUUGCACUUCUUGAAUGUCCUUGACUGACUUUUCAAGAGACUCACCACAUCGUUUCACUUCAACUAUCUUUAGAGUAGGAAUAUCUCCAAUCAUAGAAGGAAUUUCUUGAAGAUUAAAGCAGUUUUCUACCAGAAGCUGUUUGAGGUUAAGCAAGGACUCAUUUGAGGCAUUCCAUGUUGUUAUUUUAAGGGAACUUAAUUUAAGAACCUUGAGGUUCAGAAACUCUUCAUCUUCGAUCUCCCAUUUGUCCUGCUGAAAUGCUCUAUGUUCCAACUUGAGAACCACUAAAUUUGGUAAUCUUCCGAUAUUAGACAGUUCACUUUGUGGCAACAAAACAUCUGAUAGAGUUAGCUUUGUUAGUGUCGCGGGCAAGGUGAAAUUCAAAAUCUUACCAUUUACACUGAGUGUUUCAAGUUGAAGAGCAUCUAAUUUGAGUUUGAGAGGCUCUUUACAGUGGCAUUUGAGCUUUCGCAGUCUGCUUGCCUUCUUGACCAUGUAGUCUACUAGCUCAUUAGUGAGAGACACUGUGGCCAAAGUCUCUAUGUUUGUCGAUGUCUGAGGAAUGCGUCCAUCAAAAGAUGCAACAGGUUCAACAUGUACAUGCUUUAGCCUUGGCAUAUUCCAGAUGGUCAUCGGUAAAAUUGUGCCACUGCCUACUGUUAUUACAAGCAAUACCUCUAGGUUUGAAAGGUUCGAUAUCCAUAAUGGCAUAGAUACCAUAUAGCCUUUGAUUCCUAAGUACUUCAAAUGGAUCAGCUCUUUUGAUCUCUGGAAUGAACUGUCUGACAUAGGACAUUCCAUUUGUAGUACUUUUAAUAGUUUAAAGUUCUCGAGAUCAAGAAAUUCCUGGCAGCCAGAUUUCGGGGGUCUGAAGAAUGCAGAUCGAACUUGCAUGUUUCCAAUCUUCCCUGCCCAAUAAAGGCUAUGAUGAAUGCAAAGCCUCCGGUGCUCAUAAAAGGAACUAGACAAAUCAGUCUUCCCGGUGCUUGUUAGUUGCAUAAACUUCUCUUCCUUAGACUUUGUCAUGCAAAAAUCAUGUAACAUAUCAUGAAUGUGGCAUGUUCUGACUCCUCCAGUGGACUUUCUCUUGCUCACCAUUAUCAAGCUUCUACCAAUGAGAUCAUUCAGUAAACUUUCUACAGCAAGGUGUAUACUUUCUACCUCUAUGUUUGGCACCAAUCCCUCAAUAGUCCAUAACCACUCCAAGUUCGAGAGUGGAAUUUCUUCAUCCUUUUGAAAUGAUGCAAAAUAUAGAAGGCAGGGUUUGAGAUGAUCAGGCAAGUGCUUGUAGCUCAGUUCUAUAACCUCCAUGCACUCUUUUGCACUAGUAACAGUAUCUAACUUUAUACUUUCUGCGAUUCUUCUCUAAUUUUCCUCAUUUUUGCUUAUCCCAGACAAAACUCCAGCAACCAAAAUCACAAGGAGAGGUAGUCCUUUACACUUACUCGCGAUGUUUGCUCCACUUUUGAUAGGUCUGGUGGGCAAGUUUGUUCCUUGAACAGCUUGAUUCUCAUUAGUUCCCAACUUUCAUUUUCGUCAAGGAAACGAAGGUGAAGAGGUUCUCUAUCAGGGUUAAUUUCUGAAGCCACAUCGCUGAGUCUGCUAGUUAAUAAAAUCCUGCUUCCGUUAUUAUCAUCCGGGAAGCAUCCUCUCAAGUCAUCCCAUGUGUCAACACUCCAAAUGUCAUCAAUGUAGAGAAGGUACCUCUUCUUUUUUAAGAAUUUCUGCAAAGCAUCUGCUGGAUUUGACUCAUUCUGUUGAUUGGAACUUUUAACUUGAUUCAAAAUUUCAAGCAGCAACUUUCUCCUGUCAUAAGCUUGGGAAACACAACACUUAGCUUUGACAUCGAAAUGACGCCGCAUUUUCUCAUCAUGAAAAACUUUCUUUGCUAGUGUAGUUUUUCCAAGACCAGGCAUCCCUACGAUAGACACAACAUCCAAGUACUUUGGUCCUCUAGUGAGCCAGUUGAUUAGCAAGUCAAUCUCGUCCUUAAAACCCACCAUUACCUCAUCAAGUUGUGUAGUCUCAACUACUUGUCUGACAGGAUUUGGUGUUUGUUCUUCAAUAGGGACUUCAACUUCUCGCGUAAUCGUAGCAUGGAACUCUUUCAAAUGAUUCCUUACAACCUUAGUUUCUGUUGUGAUCUUACAUAACAAAUGUAGAUACCAAACAGGAUAAUCUCCGGUAACCAGGCAAUCAAUUAUGCAUUCUGCCUGGUAUGCUAGAGAUAUGACUUCUGUCCAUAGAUCAUGUUUCUUCACCUCCUCAAACUCAUGUUUUUUCUUCUCAACUUCCUUCAAGAAGUCUCGUACGAGACAUAACUCUUCCUGAGCUUCUUCAAUAAGAUGCUUGACAACAGAAUCACACUUUCCGUCUUGCAGCAGCUCUUCCAGAUAGCGUAAGAGGGAAUCGAUAAACCCCAAUCCAUUUGUCCUAGGAAAAUUACAUUUUGAUGACACUACAUCUUUCAGAAUCACAUCUUUUAGAUCUUCCAUGACAUGUUCAAUCUUUUUAACAAGUCACUGAAUACCGAGUUAACUUCUGCUGCUUUGUCAACGGAGAAAGAGAAAGCAGCAGAUACUACCUCAGCAAUCAGACCUUCAAUGCAAGUAAGUUUGUCACUCAUUUUUUCCUGGAUAACAUAUAAAUCUUCUGGUGGACAAAUGAGCAAAGUUACCAAUUGCUUUGAUGCUUCGGCAAGGCUUUUGAUUUGAUCCUUUUUAAGAGGAAGCAUCAAAGAACAUGCCUCACCGUCUGAUAACUCCAACAAAUCCUUGAAGAUGAAAUGAACAAAACCUUCAACAAAUUCUAUCACAUCCCGGCUGUAUUGGAUUUGCAAUUUAACUGAACCUCUUAGAGCUCCAGUAUAGAUUUCUGCAAUGUGCGGAUCAAUGGGCUUGAUAUCUUUCAAAACAUGAGAGAUUUGNNNNNNNNNNNNNNNNNNNNNNNNNNNNNNNNNNNNNNNNNNNNNNNNNNNNNNNNNNNNNNNNNNNNNNNNNNNNNNNNNNNNNNNNNNNNNNNNNNNNNNNNNNNNNNNNNNNNNNNNNNNNNNNNNNNNNNNNNNNNNNNNNNNNNNNNNNNNNNNNNNNNNNNNNNNNNNNNNNNNNNNNNNNNNNNNNNNNNNNNNNNNNNNNNNNNNNNNNNNNNNNNNNNNNNNNNNNNNNNNNNNNNNNNNNNNNNNNNNNNNNNNNNNNNNNNNNNNNNNNNNNNNNNNNNNNNNNNNNNNNNNNNNNNNNNNNNNNNNNNNNNNNNNNNNNNNUGGGCUGCAUAAAUUUGGUAAAGGCCACCUCCCUGGAACCAAUGAAAGGAGAAACUCAUAACCUUCUUUGACUUCAGCAGAAGAUAAGUCUGCCCUUGGUCCCGAGACAGUGUCACCGACUUGCAUUCCAUGUCUGCACAAUCUCCCCUCCUUAAUCCUUCCUUUUUCAUUUGCCCAAUACAAGAAAGUACCAAAAAAUCUCCUCUCUAUUUCAGACAUUUGUUUUCCAGCAGAAUUUCCUCAGAGUGGAUAUAUGUCGACAGCUCUGCAAGCAAAGAGAUUAAAAGCAAAUCACAUUCUAGGACAAACAAUGCAUACUCCAACUCUACACCAGCAAAACUCUGGUACCAUAAUCUAGCUGCUCUUCAUAUUGCGUCAAAUCCGGUGUAUCAUGAAAAAACUAAACAUAUUGAGGUUGAUUGCCAUUUUAUUCGCGAGAAGAUUCCGGAAAACAUGAUUUCCACUGGCUACGUGAAGAGAGGAGGGCAACUAGCUGAUUCUGUUCACAAAAAUGUUGAAUGGAACUCGAGUUGAUUAUCUUUGUAACAAGCUACUAUAAAGCUAUAUGUUUUCUUGUAUAUAAUAUUCUAGCUGAUUUCUAGGGAUUCAGAUAUCUAGUUACCUUAGUUAGCCUUUUCUUUACGUGUACUUAAAUCAGUGUAUUCUUUGGAUAAUAUACAAAUACAAGCUAUACUCUUAAACUUCAUUCUUUGAUAUAUAACAAUAGCUGAUUGCAUUAUGUCUGCAUUCAAAAUUAUGUAGCAAAAGAUGCAAGAAUUAAUACAAAUUAAGUUUGUUAUAAAAGUCUAUCACAUACCUUUUUAACAACUUUGGCAGAGCAGAAAGCAGUGAUCUAGGGUUCAUCAAUUUGUUCCACAAUUUUAACCAAAAACAACUAAAGUGGACUUGCUUUUAUAUGUGUGUUAAUCAUGGAAUACUUUUGAGAUUACUUAAUAUAAAGUAUAAUGAAACUAAAAAUUACAGAUAAAUGAAGACUAUAAAAUGAUGCAGCUUGAUUGUUUCAUUCUGGCCACUGGUAAUGGAUAAGAAAUGAUUUGUUUUCCUCUGUUUCAAUUUGUUUGGCCUAUUUUGAUAUGACGUGAAGUUGUAGAAAGUGAAAAAGACUUUUGAAUCUUAUGGUCUUAAACAUGUCGUGUGGAAAGUUGAAGUUAAAGAGUCGCUAAAAAAAGAAAGGGUCGUUCUUUUUUAAACAGACUAAAAAAAAAAAAGUAGGUUAAACAUAUUAAAACGGAGGAAGUAAUUGAAAGUCUGAACCUACUAAAAAGAAAAGUAGGUCAUGAGUCGGUAUCAUAUUAAUUAGAUCAUUGAAAUAUCUCAUGAUUUACGGAAGAAAGUCCUCAUUUGCUGCUACCAAUUUCACCACUUUGUCAAACAUCAUUUAAUUGGCAAAGAAAAGUCAAAUAAGACAUUUGCAAGUUAGAUAUUAUUCUUGUCAUUGAUUUCACUCAUGAAAUUAUUCGUGUUAGAAAGCAGAAUGAGGUAUACCAUAUAGACUGUAUAAAAAAAUAGUCUGAUAAAAAAAAUAGAGCGUUAGCGAUCAUCUCUUAUCGGAAAAGGUCGGAAUCUAAGUCAAUGAUGAAGCAGAAGGAUCCUAACUCAUUAGCUCUUAAGCUAGCCAAGUCUCUUGGCUCUGAUCAGCUAGCUGCUGCACUUCAUCCUGACAACAAUUGGCCUAAAUUAUUACUCCCUCCGUCCCAUUUUAUGUGGCAACAUUUGACCGGGCACGGAGUUUAAUAAAUAGAUAAAGACUUUGAAAUGUUUAUCAAAUUGCCCUUCAAAAAAAUAGAUAUAUUUUUCUCUCUCCUAAUAAAUGUAUUGGAGUACUCUUUUCAAGAUUAAGUGGGACCAACAAGGGUAAAAGAGAAAUUAUACCUUUAAAUACUUACCAAAUAAGGAAAUGUGACAUUCUUUUUGAGACUGACCAAAAAGGAAAUGUUGCCACAUAAAAUGGGACGGAGGGAGUACCAAUCUUUUAUAGGUGUUUCAGUACUCACUACAAGAAAAUGUACAUACGACAUUAAUUUAGUGACAUUUGAAAUAAAUGUUGGAAAAUAAAGAAUUUUACGAUAUUUAGGAACAAAAUGUCAUAAAACAAUGACAUUUGAUGUCAAAUGUCGUAAAAAUAAUGACAUUUGGUAUCAAAUAUCAUAAAAAUAAUAACAUUUGGUCCAAAAUGUACUAUGAUAAUGACAUUUAUUGCAAAAUAUCGUUGUUUUUAGCGACAUUUAGCAAAAAUGUCAUUUAAAUGAUGACAUUUGCUACAAAUGUCGAAUAUAAUAUGACAUUUAUUACAAAAUGUCAUUGGUUUUAGUGACAUUUAGAAAAAAUAUCGCUUAAAUAGUGACAUUUAAUAUAAAUGUCGAAUAUAUUAUGACAUUUACUGCAAAAGGUCAUUGAUUUUUAGUGACAUUUAGAAAAAAUGUCACUAAAAUAGUGACAUUUGUUGUAAAAUGUCAUUGAUUUUAGCGACUUUUAGCAAAAGUGUUGCUAAAGAAGCGACAUUUAAUACAAAUGUUGAAUAUAUUACACUAGUAGAAUUUCGUUUGCAAAAUUGUUGCUAAAAUAGUGACAUUUCAUACAAUUAUCGAAUAUAUUAUGACAUUUAUUGCAAAAUGUCAUUGAUUCGAUCGACAUAUAGUGAAAAUUUCGCUAAAACAGUGACAUUUUUAUACAAAUAUCGAAUAUAUUAUGUCAUAUGUUGAAAAAUGUCAUUGAUUUUUAUGACAUAUGAUGAAAAGUACUGUUAAACGACUACAACAUUUUAUGUCUACAACCACCCUAGAAAAGUGUAGCCUUUGAUAAAAGGCCACACUUUUUGACUUUAAGCCACGCUUUUCCAGGGGUGGCCGAAAGAAGCAUAACCUUAGAGUUUAGGCGACACUUUUCAAGUGUUGCCUUAACAGCUACGCUUAAAAGCAUAGCCUAAAAGGCAGAAAGGCCACGCUUUGCAGUACCUCAUAUAGCUUAACAUUUCUAUCUCAUACAACUACACUUUCAAGGGUGGCCUUUGCUUCCUUAUUGCCCACGAUUUUAAAGUGUUGCCUUUUCUAUCUUAUGUAUGACAACACUUUGAAGUGUAGUCCUUGCUCAUGUGCAUACCACAAUUUACAGUUAUUUGGCUGCACUUUUAAGUAUGGUAAUAUUAUUUUUACUAUAAAAUAUUUAUAUGCCACAAUUUCUAAUUAAAAAACAUCAAUAUUAUUUUGCAAUAAAUAAUCUCAAACACUAAAUUAGCUAAUAAGUAAUUCAAAUAUAUAGAUUUGUAAUAAACUUCAAAAGAUAGUAUGUCUUGUGUACAUACACAUACUUGUUUGACAGAGAAUUUAAACUAGUUUGUUGAAUUAAUCCAACACAUUGACACUGAAGCAAUAGUCCAUUACAUUGAUAUAUUACACCCUAUAUUCCUAAACACGUUGAAUGGUUCCCUGUAUCUAGACGUGAAAAUAUCCAUUAUGAUGUAUUCAAAUUGUCUCAUUGAACUAACUACAUAUCUGAAGCUGUCUCACUGCCAGCAAAAUGUGUACCUUGUACUCUUUGCUUCAAGUAGUAUGAACCAUGUCUAUUUGACCCUAUAAGUAAUAUGAACUAUGUCUAUUUGUAUAAUUUUCACUCGAACCCUAAAGUACUUAGGUCCAAUAAACACAUUCAUCCUAUGUGGUGUCCUGUAUGAUAAUUUUGUGUCCUAUGUGACGUCCUACAUGUAUUAUGUUGUAGGACGUAUGAGUCAACUUGUUCAAUUUUAUACAAGUUGAAGUGUCUAUUUGUGCAUGCCAAAAAUUGAAGGACAUAUAUGUCAGAUGAAUUCAAAUUUAAAAACAUAUUUAUGUAUUAUGUCAAAUAUUAAUCUAAAGACAUCACAAAUAUGGCCGUGUAAGAUGGUAAUCGAUCCGUUAUACCAACACCAAAUGAACAGAAGGACAAAUUUAGAUGUGCAUGAAAUACUUUUAAUUAAUGGUGAAAGAUAUAUACAAGUGAGUAAGCAUACAUGUGAUCUACACUCUAACCAAAAAGAGCAAUUAUUUUUUGUUGUUGUCAAAAUUAAUCCUCCAAUAAUUCCUUUCAUCUUCAAAAAUUACUUUCACUUUGCAAUUUUUUUCUUGUCUUCAAAGCAUACUGCUUAAAAAUAUAGAGAGAAGAGCUAGUAUUGAUCACUUUGCUAUAGUCUGUCUAUAGUUUCUUUCAAUUGAGUACUAAACAAUGACUAAAUGUUCUUCUCUUCAUUUUUAAUUGCACUUAAUAGGUACUAUUUCCUAAUUAUUUGGCCACAUUUCCUUUUUUAAUUAUCCCUAAUUAUUUGUUCAUUUUGAUAAAUCAAGAAAUGACAAUUUUUUACCUAUUAUACCCUCAAUUAAUUACAUUGAAAAAUGUAGAACUUUUUGAAAAUCUUAAGUUUUUAUUCAUCAACUUCAUAAUUAAUAAGGGUAAAAUGGUAAACUCACUAUAUCAAUUAUUGUUUUCGUAAUAGACGUGUCAAUUCAAAAGUGGACAAGUAAUUAGGAACAUAGUACUCCUUCCGUCCGAAUUUAGUUGUCCAUAUUUCUUCUUUUAGUUGUCCCUAUUUAGUUGUCCAUUUUGACAAAUCAAAAAAGGAUAACAAAUUUUUUCCUAUUAUACCCUUAUUUAAAUGAAGUUGUCAUAAAUAAAGUAAAUAAACUUAUGAACUUCCCAACAUUGAUUAGUUAUCUUGAGUGAAUUUAUUUUGAAAUUGUAAAUUGUACUAUAAGGGUAAAAUUGUAACUUCACUAUGCUAAUCAUUGUUGCCUUAAUCUGUGUGUCAUUUCUAAAGUGGACAACUAAAUAGGGACGAGUAAUAAACGAUGACCAAGAAAGAAUAAUUAAUUAUUUUUCUUGUUUUUUCCUCUAAUGGAGGACAGAUGGAAGAUUAAUAAAAUAUUAUUUAUCUUCUUAAAGUUUAGAGGCCCACUUAAUAAUUGCUACAAAACAAAGAUGCUAAUCAGCUAAAGGAUAUAUUGUAGAAUAAUAAUUUAUACUCCCUUUGUUCGCUUUUAUUUGUCCUAAUUUUACUUGACACACCCAUUAAAAAAAUAAUUAUUAAUAUAGGUAUUUUAUUAAAUUGUCCCUAUUAAACGAUGUUUAGUAUUAAGUAUUGGAAAGUGACUUGGAAAUAGAGUAUUUAAUAUUGAGGGUAAAAUAUGGAAAAAUAUAAUUGUCUUUUUAUGAUAUGUCAAAAGUAACAAAUAAAAUGAAAAUUUAUUUUAGGAAUAAGUGAAAGUGAACGAGAGUAUUAAUUUUAUCUACCCGAGUUAAGAGGUUCAAAUCAAUGAUUUCUUUAUCUUGUCUUUUUAGCAUUGCAAUUAGGGGUGUAUAAAAUCGAACCGAAAAUCGAAUCAAGCCGUAAAUCAAAAAAAAAACCUGACUAGUGGUUUGGUUUGACUUGGUUUGGUAUUGGAAAAAAAAAUCCGACUAUAUUUGGGUUGGGUUGGGUUGGUUUUAACUUAAAAAAAACCAACCCGAGACCAAACCAACCCGACAUUAUAUAUGUAAUUUUAAAAUUUUAUUUUAUACAUAAAAAUAUUUACUUUGAUAUAAUUUUAAAAUAUUUCUUAUACUAUUUCAUAGUUUUUAUCUUUUAAUAUAUUAUUUCAAGUUUAAAACUUAGAAUUCGGAAUGGUCCAAUAAAGAUUAUAGUUCAUAGAUGUUGAUAAUUAUAAUUAAAUUUAAAUCAAAAUCAAAUUAAUACUAAUGCAAAAAGAAAAUCAAUUCAACACUAAGAAUGACAAUAAUAUUGAAUAUUUGUUCUUUAGUUUUACAUUGGUUUAGACAAUUAAAAUACAUAAUCUAAUUUUAAUUUUCCUUAAAUAUUUAGUAAUGUAACUAAUACUUAUUAAACUUAUUUUAGCAUGAUUUAGUACUUUUAAAUUAUGAUCAUUUUCAUUAUGACUUUGCAAUAUUUAUUUUAUAUAAUGAUUUCAUUAUUAUUUAUUAUUGAAUAUUUUUGUUCACCAGUACUCAUCUCAUAUUUUGUGUUAUUUUUUUUUUAAGAAAUACCUUAGAUAAUUGUAUUUUGGUUGGACUAAAGAAAUAUUUGGAGCACAAGUUAAUUAUGAAAUAUGUCUAUUUGUAUAACAGAUGAAUGAAGAAUAUAAAAUGAUGCAACUUCAUUGUUUCAUUAUGGCCACUGGUAAUGGCUAAGAAAUGAUUUUUUCCCCCUUUGUUUCAAUUUGUUUGACCUACUUUGACUUGACAUGAAAUUUAAGAAAAUAAAAAAGAUUUUUAAAUCUUGUGGUCUUAAACAUGUCGUGUGAAAAGUUGAAGUUAAAGAGUUGCUAAAAAAAGAUAGGGUCAUUCUUUUUUAAACAGAUUAAAAAGAAAAGUAAGUCAAAUAAAUUAAACGGAGGAAGUAAUUGAAAGUCUAAACCUACUAAAAAGAAAAUUAGGUCAAGAGUCGGUGUCAUACUAAUUAGAUCAUUGAAAUAUCUCAUGAUUUACAGAAGAAAGUCCUCAUUUGCUGCUACCAAUUUCACCACUUUGUCAAACAUCAUUUAAUUGGCAAAGAAAAGUCAAAUAAGACAAAGUUAAACAUUAUUCUUGUCAUUGAUUUCACUCAUGAUAUUAUUCGUAUUAGAAAGCAGAAUGAUGUAUAUCAUAGGCUGUAUAAAAAAUAGUUUGGUAAGAAAAAUAGAUUUUUAGCGAUCAUCUGUUAUCGGAACUAGCAAUAUGGAUCCUAACUCAUUAGCUCUUAAGCUAGCCAACUUGUAUAGGUGUUUCAGUACUAAUUCCCAUUUGACAGAGAAUUUAAACUUGUUUGUUGAAUUAAUCCAACAUAUUGACGCUGAAGCAAUAGUCCAUUACAUUGAUAUAUUACACCCUAUGUUCCUAAACACGUUGAAUGAUUCCCUGGCUAAUCUAGACGUGAAGAUCACUGCCCUGACGGCGAUGAGUAACUUCAUUCAACAGGUGGGGAGUUCAAAAGAUAGGGAGAGGUUUCAGGAUCUGUUGCCUGCGAUGAUGGACAUGCUGAAUAAGGCAUUGGAAGAAAAUUGUGAGGCAUCAGCUCAGUCUGAGUUGGAGAUUUUGAUUGAGUUGGCCAAGAAUGAGCCUAGCUUCUUCAGGAUGCAGCUUGUGGUUGUGGUGGGUUCCAUGUUUGAUAUAGCUGAAUGCGAGAGUUAUGAAAAGAAAACGAGACGUUUGGCGGUUGAAUUCGUGAUGACAUUGGUUGAGGCCAGGGAGAAGACCCCUGGCAUGAUCAAGAAGUAUCCAUUGUUUACUGAAAAAUAUUUUGCAAUUUUAUUGAAUUUGUUAGAGGAUGAGGUUUAUGACCCUCUCUUGCCUGAUCCUUAUGAUAAAUGGGAUAACAAUUAUGAUUUCCUUUUUCUUAAGAUGUGUUUAAGGCGGUUGUCCAAUGCGCUGGGUGGUAAGACUGUUGUUCCUGUUGCCUUUGAGCAGCUCCGUGCUCACUUGGCUGACGACUCGUGGCAGAAGCCAUGCGCAGCACUCUAUGCACUUGCUCAGAUUGUUGAAGGCUGCUCAGAGGUGUGUAUUUAUUGAUACACUACUAAGAAUUGCAUUUAAACUGAUUAGUUAACGAUCUUGGGAUAGCAGAAGGUCACCUUGAUUAUACUUUCUUCUGUUAUUCUCUAGACUAAGUACUUUGCUUGCUCUCAUCUCUUCUUCAUUAUAAUAGGUGAUGAUUAAGAAUAUGAAUCUAGUGGUGACAAUGGUUCUGGAUUGUAUGGGACAUCCUCAUCCUGGAGUUAGAUUCGCCUCCAUGGAAGCAAUUCGCGAGUUUUUGAGUUUCAUGCGUCCCCAUUUUCAAGAACAAUGUCAUCACCAAGUAGUGCCGGCAUUAAUUAAAGCUAUGGAUGAUGAGAGUGUACAAGUGCAGGUCUGUAUGUCCUACGAUGAUAUGAACUCCUUUGGAUGCUAGUAUCAUAUGUCCCAAAUUACAGUUGCGAAAUUUUCUUACUGAACCUUCUCAAUGGGCUUAACUUUAACUUUAUUAGAUUUAAUCCCUGCUCUAACUUUACUAUCUUCAUAUUUUCCUAGGUCAGUGUCAUACGCACGGUCUGGCACUUCCUUCACGUUCGCACGCCUGAAUAUUUGACACUUUACAUCCAUGGAUUACACAAUAAAUUGCUUCAACUGUCGUCACAUACUGUUGCGGUGGUACGUAUUGUAGACUAAGUGCAAGAGAAAUCAGAUCAUUUUCUUGAACAAUGAACAGACAAUAUUACGAAUACAUUAAGGGAAACAACCAUAAUUUCCAAGUUCCCAAUAUAAUUAUCCCGCCCUCCUUUAUAAAUUCAAAGUUUGUUACUCCCUUGAAUGUCCUUGAGGUCUCUACUUGCCUGAUUUAUUUUUGUUUUUGACAUGAAAGGUCCAAAAAUCAGCGUCAACUGUACUCAAUUGUUUGGGUGAGCAUUUUGAGGUAUUACCUAGUAAUUCUGCUUCAACUUUUAUUAAGAGUAUGUUGUAUUAAGCUGGUUUUAUAUUUCUAUUAAUAUUAACAUUACUUCAACAGGAGUUCUAUGGGAACAACUACGAAUCUAAUAAACCACUUUUGAAAGCUUCACUGGUAGAAGCAAAUUUUCCAAGUAAAGAUGUAGAGAUGAUCAUGUCAGUGUACGAACCUGGCAGUUCGGUACUUCCAAAACAGGUCUUCCACCAGUUAUACCAAAUGGAUUCUAUACAUCUCACUGAACUUAGAGCUUAUUGUUUAUUCGUUUUCUAUUUUUCUGUUGUUGACAUAAUGUCACUAUAAGAUUAUGGAAGCAGUUAUGUCAUUACAAGGAUCACAAGAGGAUGAUGAGGAUACAAAUACCAUCUACAAGCUAAUGGUAUGUGUUGUUGAGAAUAUCGUUAACUAAUAAAAUGGUGUUCUCUCUAAUAGCUUAAGCUUUUAGAUGAGAUGGUCACACACUUCAACAUGUUAUCAGAACAGGCAGAGGCCCUGGGAUCAAAUCUCUUCGCCACCCAAAUUAAAAAGAAUUUCCACGUGCUAAUCAGUCAGAAAUUCUUUCAAGAUUGGUCUUUCUAUAUUUCUUGAUCUCAUUCCAGGUUGUCACACUUGGACUUCUCUCUUUUUCUUUCUUUCUACCCGUGAUUUUGAUCGCGAACUGAAAAUUUAACAAGUGGUUUCAAUGGCCUAAUGCUUGAUAAAUGAUACAGACUGCUUCAAUUUUAUUUCCACUUUUGAAAUUCCAUUUCAAAGGGGUCAGGUUCCAUACAGUUUGAAGGUGAGAUUUCUCAGGAUUUCACAUAGUUAAUUUCUACCGUCUUUUAUAACUAUCUGAUCAACUCCAAGACUUUUUAAUUUGUAAUGUUUAUAGCGAUGAAGCACAUUUUGCAAUCUGCUAAACUGGCUGAUGAGAAAGGGAUUGCUCCAGGUGAAAGCCAUUCGGAUUUCAAGCAGUUUUCAGACAGUAUAAUACUGAAUUUGGUGGAAGCUUUGCAUGAGGUUUACUUUUAACAUUAAGCUUCUUCUUUUUGGAUAAUGAGAAAGUAACACUUUGAUUUCUAUAUAAUGCAGGAGCUUGAAACAGAGAUAUAUGUACAUAUGUUGAAUACAUUACGACUGUGCCUUCAGGUUCGUGAUCUUUAAACACUGCUUAUUUGUUUUUGAUCCAAAGUUUUCAGUGUUUCACUAUGAGCUAGGUAUGAAGUUUUUUGGAACUGUUGCCUUUAAGUCUGUUGCUUAAAAUGUUCCAUUAGUAUCAUCAAAGUGAGAAAAUAGCAAUGGUGACAAGUCGAGUUAGAAUGGCAAAACAGGAUUUUUCAGGUUGUAUAUGGUCCUUGUGUUUCUUCUUUCAGAUAUGUGGUCCACUUCUCAAUAAAGACCAGCUUCGUCCGGUCGUGGAUGAGAUAAAGCAUGUCAUUACAGAAAAUUUAAAUAGCCAAGGAAAACUCAGAGAGAGAGAAAAAACAGAAGACUUUGAUGCUGAGGAAGCUGAAUUGCUGAGAGGGGAAAAACAGCGACAAGAUCAAAUAAUUUUCCUUGUAUGUUCUAUUUUAAAACAGGAACUAAAGUGAUACACUGUUGUCUAUAUAUUCAAGCAUUUUCGCUUUGUUUAUGCUGUUAUUCUUGAACAGGCUGGUCACAUAUUACGUAGACUUAUCGAAUCAUUCAAGGUUGUUUUCUUGCCUUACUUUGACGAGCUAUCAUUAUAUCUGAUUCCGAUGUGGGUAAGUUCAUUGACAUUAUUCUGACAUGACGUUAGUUUAUUUACUAUUAUUCAUAUCUAGGAUAUCUUACUGUUUCCGAUUUUGUUAAGGGAAAAGAAAUGACAAUUCAAGAGAAAUCUACAUCACUUUAUAUCUUUGAUAGUCUUGUGAAGGAGUGCUCUGAAGCAGCUCUAAAGUGAGUUUAAUUUGUCUGUAUGAGUUUCUGGUGUAUCACCAUUUUUAUAAAUUACUUACUUCUUAUGCCAACUUAGGUACUGUGAUGUAUUUCUACCUUUGCUUCUGAAAGCAAGCAAUGACGACAACCCGACAGUUAGACAGGUUUGGAUCAUAGUGAUUGUUUACAUUCCUGUUACUCAAGUUGGUUGCUCACAAUGACUUUAUGUUCAGAAAGCUUUAUAUGGACUUGGGCUUUAUGCAGAAUAUGAUGGUUCUGUUUUCCAACCUUAUGUUAGAGGUAUUAAUAUUGUUGAAUGUGAUACCUUCUAAUCAAGCAAGUGUUUUUGUUAACUUACGCGUUUAUGUUCAGAGGCUAUGUCACGGAUCAAUGUAGUGAUAAUGCAUUUACGUGCUCGUGAACCUGAGAAUGAACUUGCAUAUGAUAAUGCUGUUUCUACCCUUGGUAAAAUAUUUCAGUUUCAUCGAGAACUUAUCGACUCAGCCCAGGUUUGUCCUUCUCAGAAUCCCUAAUGUUAAGUCUUGUUAUAAUUUCUGAUUCUGAAUCCUUGUGUAGGUCAUUCCCAUUUGGUUGAAUUGCCUGCCUAUAAAAGGUGACCUUGCUGAAGCCAAAUAUGUUCAUGGUCAACUAUGUUCCAUGGUUGAAAGGUAUUGGAUUUGUUUGGAAACUCUAAUAUGUUAUAACUUUCAUAAAAUGCAGGAUUAUUUUAUCCAACGUUUUGUUGGAAAUAUUAUAUUAUCAUAAGACUAUUUAUUCCACCAUUUAUACCUUAAAAUGUGAUAAGUUAUUUCAUCCCGAAAUAGUUGAUGUCAGGAUAACUUAUUCCGAACCAAACCAUCCCUUAAUGAUUUAUCAAAUUUUCUCAAUUGCAGGUCAGAUAGAGAACUUUUGGGUACCAAUUAUGAACACUUCCCAAAAAUUAUGUCAGUUUUUGCAGAGGUUAGUUCCAUAUCAGAAUCUAUAGAUGCCAGUUUGAGUUGUUUAUUUGCUCAUGUUACAUAUUAAAUGAGAUAAAUAUUGAAAACAUAAUUAUUAAUUUCAUAAUCAAACUAUUAACAAUCUUAAAAACACUCAUUUCUUUGACUAACUAAACUUAAAUACACUCCCGAUCUUGCAACAUGACCAAAAUACAUCCCUAAUUUAAGGGUGCUUUCAACACUCCUCUAUGUAAUGUGGCAGAUCAGAGAUGUAUUUAAGUUUAAUCUGGUCAAGUAGAUAUGUGUUUUUAAGACUAUCAAUAAUUCAAGAACGAAACGAACAAUUUGUGUCAAGUUUAAGAGUGUUUUUGAAUCAAACUAAAGACAUUUUUUAUUCCAUUUUUAAGGUUAUAUGUGGUGGAAAACAUCUUGCUACAGAAGAAACAACAAAGUGUAUGAUUAAUCUGUUGAGGAAUCUUCUUAAAGAACUACCACCAGACACUUUGACAUCAGCAUGGUCAUUGAUAUUGCCUCAGCAAGAAAUGGAACUAAAAGCCAUUUUAUUUCCUGGAAUACUUCAUGUGGUACGUUUUCACAACAAAACAUUUU